rnacentral:lncRNA from 1 species
UUUAUUUCAUUUCAUUUCAUAAACCCAUAUGUCAGCCAAACAAGAAAAUUGGGUAUGGAAUCCAAAUCCCACCAAAUGAAAUCCUCUCAGGAUUAUGUUUUCAUUUCAUUUCCACAAAACGAAAUGAAAAGCUAGGUGCCAAACGAGCUGGUAUAGAAAUCACCAUAGUGAAAUGUGGAUAUAGCCAACUGUACUACUAUUUGGAGUGUCAUCUCAACUCAUAACAUGCUCAUCUAGACAACCACAAAGAAAGUAGGGAUUUAUUAUUUAUUUUAACAAGCCUGCAUCUUUAUUGAUGUAACUAAGUUUGAUACACCCGCCAAUGGGAUCCCCCACCUCUUCAUUGUUGUGUGUCGGAGUGAUGUGCAUGUUAUUUAUCACACUACUCACUCCGCUUAUAGUAAAUGACAUUUAAAAUCCUCUUAUUUUAAGCUUUUCUAGAGAUAUCCACAGGGUAGCAAUUGAUGCAGUUAGCCCAGGGUCCAUCCGCGCAGGAAGAUGGUUGUAUACACACCCAACUAGCGGUGUUGCACUCGUACCCUGCACCAAAUCCGAUCAUCCACACCUUGUCGCCUUUCUUCAUUAGGCCUUUAGCAUCGAUGUAUGCCAACUCAUACCACACUGAUGCGGCCGACUGGUUUCCAAAGCGAUAUAGUGUCAUUCGUGACGGUUCAACGUGCUUGUCUGAUAGAUUGAGGCCACGCUGUAUUGAGCUGAUAACCGCAGGUCCACCUACGUGGAUGCAUAUAUGUUCAAAUGCAACACAAAAGUUGGGGAUGUAUGGUCUAAUCUUCCUCCAAUAGAGCACCUUUCCAGCAAUGUCAAAAAGGAAAAACUUGAGAAGCUCUGCUGUCGGCAGUACAAGUGGCCCGCUUGUAGUGAGAUUGUCCUUGAGUGCUUCUCCAGCAACAACCAUAAGGUCUUUAGUGAGACGUGUCCCUAGGAUGCCCUUCUCAUCUUCCUCCUGAUAUGCACAUCGGUACGCGGAGUUGUUUGGCGCAGUAAUUAUCCGCGUGACAUGUGCAAGCUCAAACCGAGCUUUUGAGCUAGAAGUCGACAACAACUUCGCCACUCCACCUAUGCGGAAUAAGAUGUUAGGCAACUGCAUGGAGCUUGUAUUCCCUUGAUAGUGGCCUGGCCCAGUGGUCUCUGUUGACACUAUCAAUGCAUGCGACCCCCAAGGCAUGACCUGCAACAUAUUGCUUGCGAGCCCCACUGCGGUCACUGAUGCAGAGCAUGCCAUCCCCGAGAGGUUCAUUACACGAAGAUCACCUCUUAACUUGUAUCUAUUCACAAUCAUGUCAGCAAUAGAUGGUAUCGGACAAAAUAUACUUGAGGUGGUGAUAAGAACACCGAUUGCAUCACGAUUGAUGCAUGUCUUGGCCAAAAGAUCGUCGGUCACCGAGAAGACAAUUGACUCUGCUUCGGCACGUGCUUCGUAAAGCCCACAAUAUGGCUCUAUAUAGUGAAGUACAGGCGGGACAUAUGUCUCAUCGCUCAUUCGAGAAAAAGGGUUUCCCCCGCUUUGUAUUACAAAGCAACCAGUCUCAUCGCUCAUUCCUGAGCGCUUGAGAACAUUUCCUAUGAAGUUGACAGUAGAAUCAUCAAGCAAAGACGAGAGAUGUGCAUGGGCAUCUUAGGUUGAAACUUGGCCGGAAGCAAGCGUAGUCAACAAGGUAUACAGUUUUACGACGGAGUGCAAGGUAGAUAGUUGCGGUGAUGGUCAGUAGAACCAUGGCAAGAAGUAGGUGGAUGGGAUAAAUAGCUCCGGGUUGAGGUGCAACUAUUUUUAGGACACCUGCUGCAAGUGCCAUUGUGAUUACAAUUCGAGGGACGUGGGUGUUGGCUGAAAGAUUGUAUAGCAAUCUGAAGUGCUUGACAGAAGUAGGGACGAAGCUCUAGUAUGGCCGCUGGGGUCAAUCAAGGGACCUCCUAUAUGCCGCGCUUUGCGGCAAAUUAGCGGCGUGCCGCACAGAGAGGGACCCGACUGGGCCGGCCCAUGGAGUUCUACCGCAGGACGCAAAAAUACAGGAGAAGAAUGAAACGCGCGUGACCCAGGAAUCGAACCUGAGACCAGCUGCGUACUAGCACGCACUAGUAGAAACUCCAACUAACAAGUGCUGUUGUCAAAUAAAGCAGUGGAUAGCUUAAAGACCUAACCAUAAAUGUAAAACAGAAACGGUAUCCUGUAGCGAACUGGAACCAGUACUGUAGCAAAUUAGCUAUUGUAGCGAAUCUGAAUUAGUUACUGGGGUGAACGUUUUUUAAUGCAUAUUUUGAAAAAAGUAUCAACAUUUCUUGAAUUUCUGAAGAAGAAAAACGGAGACAGGAACAUUUUCUGAAUAUGCGAACAAAAAAAUUGAAAAAGCUAUGCACUGCUUUAUUCAGUUUCCGUGCGUGCUAAUGAUUCCAAGUUUCCAAUUGUCCGAUUUACAGCGCUAGUAUCUAAGAAUAACAACAGUGCCAGAACUCAACACUUUUUGAUUUUAUUCGAACAAAUCUUGGAAAUUAUGAACAAUUUUAAGGUAAGUAAUGUUUCAAAGUUUGAACAUUUUUCAAACAAGGCGAACAAAUUUUGAAACUCCAAACAAUUUUUUUGAAUACGUGAACCAUUUUAAAAACAGGAACAUUUUUUUUGAAAAUUUCUGAAUGAAAAGUUGAAAAGCUGACCAUUUAUUGAAUUUGCGAACAAUUUUUUGGAAACGCGAGCAAAUUUUUAAGAAACACGAAGAAUUUUUUAAAAAUGGGAACAAAUGUGAAAUCCCAAAAAAUUGAAAAAAUGAACAAAUUUGGAAACGCGAACAUUUUUUGAAAACCACGAACAAAAUUUGAAACUCCAAACAAAUUUUGGAAACACAAACAAAAUUUUGUACAUUUUUUGAAAAGAAUGAAAUGUUUUUCGAAACCUGAACAAUAAAAUUCGAACAUCUUUUUAAAAACCGAACAAAGUAUUGAAUAUACUGAACUUUUGUUUAAAUUGCGAUUUUUAUAUUAAAAAAGAAAUAAACAGAAAAACAAAAACGAAAAAACGCGAAAAAAAGAAACAGAUAAUAGACGCCCUCUUGCACGCUAUGACACUAGCGUUGUUAUGCUGCAGUGGCUAGCAACCCACCUCCACGAGUGGGAGGUCGGAGGUUUGAUUCCUGUGGGCUGGGCCGCGAACGAUCGAUGGUGUGUGGCAGGUCGACACUUUUCCGCAUAAUGCGGCCAAUAGGGAUUUCCGCCAAUUGACCCCAAUGCCUUCGAGUAUUUGAAGCUAACUAGGUCCAUCCAAACUGCGUUUGACCCCAGCCCAAAAUAUGUGUUGACCCCAGCCCAGUAGCUAAUGUCCAAUUAUUCAUAGUCUCAGCCCAUAACAUCCAUAAAAUCUAGUAAAAGAUAAAAAAGAAUGUGGUGUACAGCUCCACACAGCGUUAGCACACAAGGCCCAAUGCAUAAUACGUGGCUUAGGCUUACACACCAUAACACACACGUACACGUUUGACGUUUCGUGAACAGCCCAGGUCACCUCACCUCUUCGUCUCUUCCGCAUCGUCAGGUCGCCUCUCCGUCUCAUCGCCUUCCCCUAAUCUUUUCCUCAUCUAAACUCUCAAUCCCUAAUCCCCAAUUUGCAUCGGCGACGAACAGCGGCGAUCCCUAAUCUCCAAGGGUGAUGCCGGCCGGCCGGCCGCCGCCGUAUAGUCCUUAAUCUCCCGAGUGUUGCCUGUUGGUUGCCCACUUGGCACUUGCCCUCCUCGUAGGCUGUUCUCACGCAGGUACGGCAAUCUCUUUCUCAGUUUCUCUUGGUCUCACGCACUAACAACUCGGUCUCUCACUCUCUCCGGAUGGCUAAUUACUAAAUUUGCGUUUAUGUUUUUUUGCUGCAUCUAGGAGGCUAGGGCUAGAAGGAUAUGGACAGAUUUCUGCUGAAACGAACGGCACCAGAGACUGAUCUUGCAGGGACUUCAAGGCCAGUUAGACUAAGGCAAGAUCAUGCAUCAAAUAUUGGUACUACUACUACUACAGCAGAUAUUAAUUUGGAUGAACUUCCUUUUGAUCUGGCCAAUCGAAAAAGAAUAUCACAGUACACUAAGAAUCCAAAGAAGCAAGAUGAGAUCAGAAGAAUAUAUUUAACUAGAGGACCUUAUAGGCCAAAAUAAGGCUUUGUAUAUCCGCAGAAGACCAUCGGAGGAUUCGAAAGAAGAUUCAAGCCAGAAUGGUUUAAAGAUUAUCAUUGGCUAGAGUACAGUGAUAAAGUGCAUAAGGCAUUUUGCCAAUGUUGCUAUUUGUUCAGAGAUUGCAUCGACGGUCAAGGUGGGAAUGAUGUAUUUGUUGUCAAUGGUUUCUCUAGUUGGAAUAAGAAAUACAGAUUGGAUACUCAUGUGGGUGAGGUUAAUAGCUAUCACAAUGUAGCUGCUAAAAGGUGUGAUGCCUUGAUGAAUCAAGAUCAGUCCAUUAAAGUUGCCCUCAACAAGCAAACAGAUAUUACAAAAAGGCAAAAUCGUAUUCGGUUGAAUACUUCCGUCGAAUCUGUUAGAUACUUAUUACAUCAAGGUUUAGCUUUCCGGGGCAAUGAUGAAUCAGAGGAAUCCAAAAAUAAGGGGAAUUUUCGAGAGUUGGUACAAACAUUAGCAUAUCAGAAUGAGGAUGUGAGGAAUGUAGUUCUUAAGAAUGCUCCAAAAAAUUGCAAAUGGGUGUCUCCAGAUAUUCAAAAGGAACUUGCAAAUUAUUUUGCAAAGGUAAAUUACUACUUUCUAGCAUCUCUAUUCUUUAUUUAUUUCAUAUGAUUUAUCUCUCCGAGCACCCAAAAAUAUAUUUUAUCUGGUUUGUUACAGAUAACAUUGAAUUCUAUUCUUGAAGAAAUUGGUGGUGAUGUUUUCAGUUUGUUGAUUGAUGAGGCUUCCGAUGUGUCAGACAAAGAACAAAUGGCUGUUGUGUUGAGGUAUGUUGAUAAGCUUGGGUUAAUCCUAGAACGACUAGUUGGGGUAGUACAUGUGAAGGAAACAUCGACAACGUGUCUCAAGUCAGCCCUUGAGAAAUUGCUUGUUGAUAUUGGAUUAAGCUUCAAACAAGUUAGAGGGCAAUGCUAUGACGGGGCGAGCAAUAUGAGGGGUGAGUUCAAUGGUUUGAAAGCUAAAAUUCUGGAAGAGAAUAGGUCAGCAUAUUACGUGCAUUGUUUUGCUCACCAAAUCCAAUUGGUUAUCGUAGCGAUUUCAAAGAAGAAUGAAGAUAUUGCAGAUUUCUUUUACAUGAUUUCUCUUCUAUUUAAUGUGGUUGGAGCUUCUUGCAAAAGAAAAGACAUGAUCAGAGAGACUAAUAGAGAGAAUGUAAAAAAAGCCAUAAGUGUUGGGCGAAUUAGUACCGGCACAGGGUUGAAUCAAGAUCAAUCACUUCAAAGGGCGGGUCUUGCUAAAAAGUUGGUGGAUACUAAGAAGCAUCUUGCUUUCCCUUUGGUGUAUCAACUUCUAAAGCUAGUGCUAAUUUUGCCGGUUGCCACAGCGUCAGUGGAGAGAUGCUUUUCAGCAAUGAAUAUUGUGAAGAGUGUUUUACGCAACAAAAUGGGUGACCAGUUCAUGAGUGAUUGCUUGAUUUGCUAUGUGGAGAAAGAUAUAUUUGCUACCAUUACGAAUGACGCCGUAAUUGAUCUAUUUAAGAAGAUGGGAGAUCGAGAAGGCAAGUUAUAAAAUGUGAGUCUAUGUGAAUGCAGAGGAGAUCGAUACACAUAGAAGCAGGCAACGAAGGGUGGGGGGGGGGGGUUAUACAAGGGCGAAUGUUGUACUUUAUACUACGUACGGGACCUUCCAUGCCUACUUCUCAACUACUUCAUAGAAUAUUAUUCAUGUUGCACAUUAGUGUAAACCAUGUUUUUCACAUCAAGCUGCGGGAGCAUUCUCGUUCAGAUUUAUUACGCAGAUCAAGCUAUUUGUUUUCUCACAUUUUCUAUAGCUUACAAUAUCUUCUUUUUGUAAAACUAAUAGGGUGGACCUCGCCAAUGCGAGGACGUCAUCCCUAUUGCAUCGAAAGUAUUAAGUAUUUUAUUUUUAUCCCAUGUACACAUUUUUCACUUCUUUGGGAUUGGCGUUGAUACAUUUGCAAAGUUGCAUCUUCGACCUUUAUUUUGCAUAUAAAUAUUUUUCUUAUGUUUCUAACUGUAAUAACAAAUAAUUGUGAUAAUCCUUUUACAAGAUAAUUGUGCCCCAGAUAGAAAAACUUGUACGGUGAGAACAAAUUAAUACAAAAACUUGAAAAACAUGCACCUUGGUACAUGAACUUGACUCGCAGGUUCGUAUCUUGUACAAUUCGCUCCUAUGUUGACACAUAACAUUGUUAUUUUGCUAGAAAACCCUCGUACAUCUAUUUCUUUUUUUUGCGGGUGUACAUCAUCUAUUUCUUUAGACGUAGCCUUCUCAUCUUUCACCUGUUGUACUGAGGCGCCACCCCAUGCACCAGCUCAGGCGGCGACGGCACCAUGGACCUUCGACUCAGGAGGUGGCAUCCAUGGCCGACCAGAGGAAGGAAGCGACGGCAGGGAUGGAGCGCGGCGACUAUAUAUCGCCUUACAUGAGUGCAACUUUCCGUCUCGUGGGCGACAGCCAUUCCUCGGGUCGCUCCCGCGGGCGGCCAGGGUGCGAAAACCUAGCCGCCGCCAGCGCCGAUCCACCGGCCAUCUUCCACUCGCUGCCACCGGCAGACAUCGCCUGGUAAAGCCCGCACGGAUCGGCAGCGACGGGGCACUUCCUCCUCCCGUCUGAGCUCCGGCAGCGCGGGCUGCUCAUCUCGGCGGGAUCCAGGGCACUGCCCCCAUGCCGGUGCGCGCACGGGAAGGGGCGACCAUGUUCGGGCGCCUGCCCAUGCGCGGGGAGGUCCGUGUAGGGCGGCGCAACAUGGCUGUGUCUGGGAGGCCGCAGAUAUGACAGUCUCACACAAUGAUGGGCUUCCUCAAAAUGUCCUAGGUCUUCGUGAGCAAGUGAGUUGGAUGCACACCCAUUUAGUUUUUUUGAGCUUUCAUACACUUAUAGCUCUAAGUGCAUCCGUUGCAUGGCAAUCCCUACUCACUCACAUGCCUGAAGAUUGAAAAAGUUUGAGAACAUCAAAAGUAUGAAACAAUUGCUUGACUUGUCAUUGGGGUUGUGCAUGAUUUAAAUAUUUUGUGUGAUGAAGAUAGAGCAUAGCCAGACUAUAUGAUUUUGUAGGGAUAGCUUGCUUUGGCCAUGUUAUUUUGAGAAGACAUGAUUGCUUUGUUAGUAUGCUUGAAGUAUUAUUGUUUCCAUGUGAACAUUAAACUUUUUUUUGAAUCUUAUGGAUCUGAAUAUUUUUGCCACAAUAAAGAAGAUUACAUUGGAAAUUAUGUUAGGUAGCAUUCCACAUCAAAAUUCUGUUUUUAUCAUUUACCUAUUCAAGGACGAGCAGGAAUUAAGCUUGGGGAUGCUUGAUACGUCUCCAACGUAUCUAUAAUUUUUGAUUGUUUCAUGCUAUUAUAUUAUCCAUCUAGGAUGUUUUAUAUGCAUUUAUAUGCAUUUAUAUGCUAUUUUAUAUGAUUUUUGGGACUAACCUAUUAACCUAUAGCCCAGUGCCAGUUUCUGUUUUUUCCUUGUUUUUGAGUUCUACAGAAAAGGAAUAUCAAACGGAGUCCAAUUGACGUGCCAAUUUUUGAUGAUUUUUUAUGGACCAAAAGAAGCCCCCGGAGUGAAAGCGUUGGGCCAGAAGAGUCUCGGGCCGUCCACGAGGGUGGGGGGCGCGCCCUACCCCCCUGUGUGCGCCGCCCUAUCUCGUGGACGACUCGGAGACCCCCCCUGACGUGAGACCUAUGCCAAAAAUUCCUAUAAAUACAGAAACCUCUAGAAAAUAACCUAGAUCGGGAGUUCCGCCGCCGCAAGCCUCUGUAGCCACCAAAAACCAAUCGGGGCCCUGUUCCGGCACCCUGCCGGAGGGGGGAUCCCUCACCGGUGGCCAUCUUCAUCAUCCCGGCGCUCUCCAUGACAAGGAGGGAGUAGUUCACCAUCGGGGCUGAGAGUGUGUACCAGUAGCUAUGUGUUUGAUCUCUCUCUCUCUCUCUCUCUCUCUCUCUCUCGUGUUCUUGAUUUGGCACGAUCUUGAUGUAUCGCGAGCUUUGCUAUUAUAGUUGGAUCUUAUGAUGUUUCUCCCCCUCUAUUCUCUUGUAAUGGAUUGAGUUUUUCCUUCGAAGUUAUCUUAUCGGAUUGAGUCUUUAAGGAUUUGAGAACACUUGAUGUAUGUCUUGCGUGGGAUACCCGUGGUGACAAUGGGGUAUUCUAUUGAUUCACUUGAUGUAUGUUUUGGUGAUCAACUUGCGGGUUCCGUGACCUUCGGAAUCUAUGCAUAGGGGUUGGCACACGUUUUCGUCUUGACUCUCUGGUAGAAACUUUGGGGCACUCUUUGAAGUUUUAUGUGUUGGUUGAAUACAUGAAUCUGAGAUUGUGUGAUGCAUAUCGUAUAAUCAUACCCACGGAUACUUGAGGUGACAUUGGAGUAUUUAGGUGACAUUAGGGUUUUGGUUGAUUUGUAUCUUAAGGUGUUAUUCUAGUACGAACUCUAUGUUAGAUCGAACGGAAAGAAUAGCUUCGUGUUAUUUUACUACAGACUUUUGAAUAGAUUUAUCAGAAAGAAUAACUUUGAGGUGGUUUCGUACCCUACAAUAAUCUCAUCGUUUGUUCUCCGCUAUUAGUGACUUUGGAGUGACUCUUUGUUGCAUGUUGAGGGAUAGUUAUAUGAUCCAAUUAUGUUAUUAUUGUUGAGAGAACGUGCACUAGUGAAAGUAUGAACCCUAGGCCAUGUUUCAACGCAUUGCAAUACCGUUUGUGCUCACUUUUAUCAUUAGUUACCUUGCUGUUUUUAUAAUUUCAGAUUACAAAAACCUUUAUCUACCAUCCAUAUUGCACUUGUAUCACCAUCUCUUCGGCGAACUAGUGCACCUAUACAAUUUACCAUUGUAUUGGGUGUGUUGGGGACACAAGAGACUCUUUGUUAUUUGGUUGCAGGGUUGCUUGAGAGAGACCAUCUUCAUCCUACGCCUCCCACGGAGUGAUAAACCUUAGGUCAUCCACUUGAGGGAAAUUUGCUACUGUCCUACAAACCUCUGCACUUGGAGGCCCAACAACGUCUAGAAGAGGAAGGUAGAGUAGUAGACAUCAGGCGCCCCCCCCCCCCAAGCCCAAUCCGAAUUGGGGUGGGCGACCGGCCCCCCUUUCCUUCUCUCCCUCUCCCUCUUCCUUCUUCUCCUACUCCAACUAGGGAAGGGGGGAAAACCUACUCCUACUGGGAGUAGGACUCCCCCCUUGGGCGCCCUAUGAGGACCGGCCCUCUCCUCCUCCCCUCCUUUAUAUACGGGGGAGGGGGACACCCCAUAGACACACAAGUUGACAGUUGUCUAGCCGUGUGCGGUGCCCCCCUUCAUAGAUUUCCACCUCGGUCAUAUCGUUGUAGUGCUUAUGCGAAGCCCUGUGUCGGUAACUUCAUCAUCACGCCGUCGUGCUGACGAAACUCUCCCUUGGCCUCAGCUGGAUCAAUAGUACGAGGGACAUCACCAAGCUGAACGUGUGCAGAUCGCGGAGGUGCCGUGCGUUCGGUACUUGAUCGGUUGGAUCGCGAAGACGUUCGACUACAUCAACCGUGUUACUUAACGCUUCCGCUUUCGGUCUACGAGGGUACAUGGACACACUCUCCCGCUCGUUGCUAUGCAUCAGAUAGAUAGAUAUUGCGUGAUCGUAGGUAAAUUUUUUGAAAUAUGCGUUGCCCAACAUUCCGGUCUUAGGACCUUCACCACCUUGUUGUUUUCUGUUGCUUCCUGCUAUUUUCAAUGAAUGCUAGCGAUGCUGGAUAUUUCAGAAAAAAAACUUUCCGUCUCGCUGAAGCGAAUGUAUCCACGUUGUAGCUAUUGGGCCGGCCUCUUAGCGAAUGUUUAAAAAAAGAAGAAAAAUCGGCGAAACCAGGAUUCAAACCCUCGGGUAUCCUGGCUGAGCUGCCACUCUCCUAAACACUAGGUCAGCUUCGCCUCCUUGUAGGGCGCGAACAAUUAAGGUUAAUAGAGUCGGUUUUGCAUUGUUUUAUCCUUGUUUCUUGUUUUUGUUUUUUCUUUCUUUUUUCACAAGUUUUUUUCGUUUCUUUCUUUGUUUUAAUUGUUUUUAUUUUGUUUAAUUUUCUUCUAUUGUAUUCGGUUUUCUCUUUUUUUUCCUUUUCCUUUUGUUUUUCUCUUUUCUUUUCUUUUUUCUUCUCCGGAUUUUUUUCAUUUUUCUUUUUGUAUAUCAUUGUCUUUAUCGGUUUGCAUCGCCUCAUCGGGAUAUUUCAAUGUUGAAUAAGUAUUAAAAAUGUUGACCAAGUAUUUGAAAAUGGUUGAAUAUGCAUAAAAAAAUGAUGAACAAGUAUUUGAACAAUGUUGAACAAGUAUUAAAGUGUUGAACAAGUAUUUCAAAAUAUUGAAUAAGCAAAAACUAUUUUAAGGAUAUUUUUCCUCAUUGUUGUACAUUUAUAAAUGACAGAUAAUGAUGAUCGUUUUCCAUGUCGUUAUUUGGUCGGCUAGGGAAACCCAAAAUUUUACCUAUUAGCACCCACUGUAUAAUUGGACUGGGCAAUUUGAGAGGUUUACUACUCUGCUAUCGCUUAAUAGAACACAAGUGAAAGAAGCGUAACGUUCACAUUGCAUUUCUAUUGGCUUGCGUCUGUGGGGUGCUUUGCCCGGUAAGCUAGCUGGCUGACCUUGGUCGGGCUUCUUUCAGGAUGUCGGGUACCCUAAUAUGCAAACCUAAUUCCUGAAGAAAGAAUCUUUACAGUUUCCAAGCUCCCAAGAAAUGGAGCUCUCUGGUUGAAUUGGGGAUGUGGGACCAUCAUGUCAUUCACUGAAAGAAAUGUAUUUACGGCCUUAAACCCAAGCUUUGUUUACACAUGUCCUGUUCUCCCGUGUCAGGGCUCAGCUGGGCAUAUGCACCCCACUGGUCAGCAGUAGGAGGUCAUGGGAUUGCAGCGAUCAAACUUUAGACAGGGUAAAUACUAAACCAACCGGCUAGAGACGUGACACUAUAUUACUCGUGCAUCUAUUGUAUCUUUCUUGAGAAGCUGAACGAGAGAUCCCUAUAUCUACCUCAUACCUUUCUUCGUAUACCAAAUCACUUCUAAAAUAACACCAACACGAUGCAGCUUCUCAGAUGUUUCUAUUUGUGUCCACUUUUAAAAUCCACCAACAUUUUUCAAUUCAUGAAUAUUUCUAAAGUUCAUGAACAUUUUUUUUUCUAAAUUUUAUUUUUUUUAAAUUGACGAACAUAGUUUAAAAUUAAUUAAUAUUUCUAAUAUUUAUGAUUUUCCUAAAAAAAUAUGUUUUUUAAUGCGCAACAUUUUCAAAAAUACAUAAAAAUGGUUUUUAUAAAAUUUUGUAUAAAAUACAUUUUAUAAAAUGGUUUUUCAAAAAUGGCAACAUUUUAUAAAAUACAUUUUUAAAAAUUUGUAAUUUUUUUAUUUAACAAAAAAUUCAAAUAAAAAUGUGGUAUCCGGUUUUGUCUAAGCUAGCAAUGUAGCGAGCGGAAAAAAGCUAAGCAAGCAGAGCAGGAGCCGAACUGAGUGAGCAAGAGUUUCAUUGGCCGACCCAUAGGAGUGUUAUAGCAGCAAAUUCCAUGGUCUCAUUGUGGAAUAAGAGCUCUUGAGGGGAUCACACAAGAACCACCAGCUGACACUGACGAUGAAACGCGAAGAACACCACAACCACACAUCAAUCAACUCCACUCUCCUCUCAAAACAAAUACAAUUUUAAACAAUAGCCGAAUGCGAUAUACAAAUGAAAAGAAAGUAUGGUCGAACAUAAUUAAAAUCCAAGUCAACAUAUAUAGAAUCAAAAUGACAAAAUUGACUGCAAUGACAUGCUAAAGAAAAAUAGAGUUAAUACCAUGAGUGAACAACGGUGCGGCGAAGCGCGCGACAACCUCUAGUAUUAAACGAAUCAUCACAAAAUGCAAGGCCACGGUUGUUCAAGCCGUCCUCCUCUCGCACCUGCCAACAAGCUUCUUCAGCGUUGCUUCACGGUUGGUCAUCGUGAAGUCCCUAAUAUUCAACAAAAGGAGCUUAAAAACCCCGGCCUCUACAUUAAUUGAUGCAUAUGGCCAUUUUUAUUUAUUAUUCAAUAAAAGUCUAACAAGAACAUUCAUCAAUCCAUUCGAAGCCAUCACUCACACCUACAAAACUCGAUAAUAUGGAGCACUCUCACUCCCCAUAUCCAAAAUCGGUGUCGUUGCCGAUCCAUCCACAUAACAUAUCGGAACCAAUAACCGGUGAAGUAGACCUAAAGCGUACACCACAUGCACACGUUUUAGAGCAUGCCAUCGUCAUCGGACCGCUGACCAAUUUUCAGAAGAGAGAUCCGCAUCAUCCUUGCCAGUUCGUCUAUCCUUCGACGCUACCACGGCGCCCAACAGCGCCAUUGCCCCCACGCUCAUCCAUCCAGACGCGAACAUUCUGAAAGAUCUGUCAUGCGUAGCACCUGCCGAGUAGGCAUGACACAACGUAGCACCUGUCGGCCAGGCAUGACUUAACAUCUCCAUCGAAGCUCCGUAUAAGACGAAGCCGCUCCGUCUCCUGCCUCUGUCUUCCAGUGCUGCUCCACAAACGAUAUCCCCAAUAGAGAAACAACACCGCAGUGCCGUCAUCGUCCGAUCUGGAAGACCAGAUCCUAGGGUUUCCCCCGGAACAGCACGAGUGGGUCGCUAGUUGUUACACGACGAUGCCUUCAUCAAGGUAACGGCGCAUAACUCCACAAUCGCAUGCCAUCGGCUCGGUUUUCACCGCACUAGUAGAAAACAGGGCUUCCGUCACAGGGCAAUAUUCACAUUAGUCCCCGUUCAGUCACGAACCCCCGGUUCGUGCGGCUAAGGUAUUAGUCCCGGUUCACCUGGGCCCUUUAGUCCCGGUUGGUGCCAUGAACCGCGACUAAAGGGUGCGAUGCCCAUUAGUACCGGUUGGUGGCACCAACCGGGACUAAAGGGCUUUGAGGCAUUAGUACCUGUUCAUGGCACGAACCGGUACUAAAGGUCUCAUUUUCAAACUCUACCCACCCCUCGUGGACCGCCUUUUCAGUUUUAGAAAAAACAAAAGAAAAUGAUGAAAAAAUAAAAUAAAAUAAGUUUCCCAUGUGAUAUGUGGUCUAGUUGUUGGGAAAAUUUACAAAUAUGAAUUUCGACUUUAUUUGCAAAAUCUCUCUGGAAUUUGUAAAAUGGGCAUAACUUUUGCAUACGAACUCGGAUUAAAAAGUUUUUUAUAUGAAAAAUCAUCUACUUGGAAAGUUACAUCCGAUUUUAACGGGGGAACCCCGUUAAACAUUUUCAAAAUCCUCAAAAACCUAACAGAAAAAAAGUUACGGGGCUUUUAAGAUCUGGAGAGGCAAAAAAAAUUCAAAAAUUUUCAAACUGUGGUCAAACUAAUUAUUCUAGAAUAUUAGUGUUACUAAAUAAUUAUUUUAGUUUUUUGAAUUUUGGUCAAAUGUGGUCAAACAGUGGUCAAACAAUGGUCAAACUAGUUAUUCCAGAAAUAUUAGUGUUACUAAAUAAUUAUUGUUUUUUAAAACAAUAGUUUCAAACUCAAACAGUGAAAUGUGUCACUUCAUGCUCAAGCUAAAUUCCUGAGGGUUAAUAGGAUUGACAUCUUACUAUUGUCAGGAAAACAACAAGUGCAGACUUGGAAACGAGGGAGAAUAGAACCUGGAAGUUAAGCGUGCUCAGGCUGGAGUAGUGAGAAGAUGGGUGACCGUCCAGGAAGUUAGAUGAUUUGGAAUGACGAGGGGUGAUUAGAGAUUAGAGGAUAAAUUGAGCAGUGAUGAGGGGUGGUGAUUAGAGAUUAGAGGUUAAAUAAUUCAGAAAUUUGAAAAUCAAAAAAAAUUCAAAAAAAAAUUUGCAAAAUUUUUUUUCAAGAAAAAAAUCAUAAAAUUUCCUUUAGUCCCAGUUGGUAACACCAACCGGGACUAAAGGUGGAGCUCCACGUGGCCGAAGAACCGGGACUAAAGGGGGGAGGCAUUAGUAACGACCCUUUAGUCCCGGUUCAAAAACCGGGACUAAAGGCCCUUACCAACCGGGACAAAAGCCCCCUUUUCUACUAGUGCCGGUAACUUGUCUUCCCGACUCGUAGCGGGACUAGAUGACGGAUAUCGAGAUCUGACCAUCCAGCCUCAGGCCGACCACCUCCGAUGGAGGAGAUGGCCACCACCGCCGGCUACACCGGCGGCAGCCGUCGCCCUUCCCAGUACAGGGCCGCGUCGCGCCUACAGCGGCCGUCGUCCGAGGCAGGGCCAGCCACCAUGCCGUUGCCUGCUGCAGCCAUGGUGCACCGAUGGAUGAAGGCCCACUUUUCUGUGUUUUUUGUAUUAGAGUUGGGCUGCCGGACGAUUCGGUCGUCAAAAUACAUAUCGACAAUGGGGAUAUGCUGAGCGGCGGAAGCAAAAAAGGCAAGCGACAUAGGACGAAACGACGAAGCGAUUCUACGUUGGGUUGCUUUGGUUGGGCCAUAUAAAACACAUUAAGGCUCAGGCGGGCAUCAUGUGUGUGGAAUCGUUGCACGCAACCAAACAACAUAUUUCUUUUAAAUCUCAGCUGUUAAACUUUAUGGUUAAGACAAAAUCAACGGAUGUAAAAGGGUGACGGAAGAAGAACUAUGAAAUCCUUUGUCCUUUAAUAUUAGGUAAUAGAUUACCAUGUUCGGAUGUGUUUUGAUCAUGUGGACACAGCUUGGCGAGGGCGGGAAAGAGGAUAAUCGGCCACAUGGGCAAGGUUCUGUGUUGAAACUAUGCGCAUAGGUUGCGGGGGUCUUGAGCAAUGUUUAUUGGGUAUAGAUCUAUUAUAUUUUUCUUCUCCCGUUGUAACACACAGGCAUAUUUGCUAGUGAAAUAAUAAAAGUAAGACGAGACAAUGCCAUAAACUCGUUAGAUCUAAAUAAUAUGUUUUAUGAUGACACAAACUUGUCUUUCUUGAUGUCACUACAACAAUAUGAGUGACCGGAAUUAUUUUAUUCAUAAAAGCAUAUGUCCACUACUAGAAGGGCAUGUAGAAAGACAAAGAAGAACACUAAAAAUAUGAUGCAUCCUCCUCUCAGCGACCAGAUGGCAGCCCGUGACAAGGAGACUGAAUGUAUAUUCGACGGUGAUUGUGGUUCUCUGUAUCGCCCUCAAGCCCUGGUUUUAGGAUUGUUAGCGGAAGAGAAAACAAAUCACCCAUUAUCUCUUGUGGACCUAUAAAUUUGGGUCGGCCAUGUGAAGGCAAUUACCACUAGCAUACAAGCCGUACACUUUUGGGCCCCACAAAAUUAGGUGGCAAAACGAAGUUGGUUGGUAAUAUGCAAUAUCUAGUGGUACACCGCGCAAAGGGUGCAUCUUGCUAGACUCGGUGAUUGAUAAUCGACAACAUCUACUUUUUUAUUAAAAAAAGAAGUUGAUGUGAACUAUAGGAAAUGCAAGAAAACAAAUAGACCACCUUGUCGUUUUCAAUAUCUUUGUUCUUACGUCUGCUUAAAACGGCAUUGCUCCUGCAUCGUGCUGUGAAAAACAUGUGCUACACUAAUGUUCAACAUGAAUAAUGUUAGGCCAGUGAACUGAUUGCUUGUGGUUGUGGUGUAACCAGCCCACUGGGUUCAAGUCCUAAUCUUAGCAUGUGUACUCAUAUUUUUAUGAAAUUAUUUUAGAAUUUUUGCUUAUGCUCGUGCACCCCUCGACUACGAGGUGCCUAUGAUUAUUUAGACAAUUGAAGAUUUGCCGGCUCAGUUUUUCAAAGGUAUUAAUAGUUAGGAUAGGGUGUAUGUGUGUGAGUUUAUAAGGAUCAAUGUACGUACAUGUCGUACUAUCAUGGCUCAUUUACUAUUGGGAAGUUCAUUGAUCUCGCUAGAUGCCGCAUGAGCCUUUGACGUUAAGUAUUUCUCUCAUAUGUUGUUACAAGAUUCUGAGUGCAAAGAAACGUUCGUUUGAGAUAAGGUCCAAGGACAUGGCAGUUGACACUUUCACAGUUGGAGCCUUAAAUCGUUAGAAGUACUACACGAUUACGAAGUACAGCACAUGCAUGCUUCAUUUGCAUAAAAAUCUCCCACCCUUAGAGUUCCCUCCUAUAUAUCCUCGUCGGUCACCUCUGCAGGCACGUAAACGAUACCACCAAACAAUAUGAGUUCAGAGUCUCAUCUCAGGCGCCUCACAUUGGUAUACAAUUGCACUGCCAACACCCUCAUCCUGCGAACUGUCAGCAAGAAAAUUGCACCAUGGCUUGCUGCUGGACCCGAGAUUGUGCCCCAACCCACUGCUAUCUGGCCCAUCCACUCACUUCUUGUCAUAGCGUUACUGGUCAUCACAUCUACUUUGUACCUUGCACUCCGUUCUAGAACUGUAUACCUUGUCGACUACGCUUGCUUCCGGCAAAACUCCAACUUAAGAAUCACAAAGGCAACCUUCCUCGAGUAUGCACGUCUCUCUUCUUUGCUUGAUGAUUCUAUUGUCAAUUUUAUAGCUACUAUUCUUAAGCGCUCAGGCAUGAGCGAUGAGACAUGUGUGCCGCCUGUACAUCACUAUAUAGAGCCAUGUUGUGGGCUUGAUGAAGCGUGCAGUGAAGCAGAGUUGGUCAUCUUCUCGGUAAUCGAUGACCUUCUGGCCAAGACUUGCAUCAAACGUGAUGCAAUCGGUGGUCUUAUCACCAACUGCAGCGCGUUCUGCCCCGUACCAUCCAUUGCCGACAUGAUUGUGAACAAAUACAAGUUACGGGGUGAUAUUCGUCUCAUCAACCUCUCUGGGAUGGCAUGCUCAGCUUCGAUGAUCGCAGUGGGGCUAGCGAGCAACAUGUUACAGGUCAUGCCUCGGGGGUCGCAUGUGUUGGUGGUGUCGACAGAGACCAUUGGGCCAUCCUACUAUUCGGGGAAUAAGCGUUCCAUGGUGUUGUCUAACAUCUUGUUACGGAUAGGAGGAGUGGCAAAGUUGUUGUCAACUUCUAGGUCAAAGGCUCGGUUUAGGCUUGUGCAUUUCAUUCGGACGAUCACCGCGGCCAACAACUCUGCCUACCGAUGUGUGUAUCAAGAGGAAGACGAGAAGGGCAACCUAGGCAUCGCUCUCUCAAAAGAUCUUACUGUUGUUGCUGGACAUGCAUUGAAGGCCAAUAUCAUGGCAACCGGGCCUUACGUGCUACCAACAUCAGAGCUUCUUAAGUUUUCGCUCUUCAACAUGGCAAGAAAGAUGCCCCAUGGGAGGAAUAUCAGGCCAUACAUUCCUAACUUUUGUGUUACAUUUGAGCAUUUCUGCAUCCACGCAGGUGGUCCGGCAGUUAUCAGCUCAGUACAACAUGGCCUCAAACUAUCUGACCAGUAUGUCGAGCCAUCGUGGAUGACACUACAUCGGUUUGGAAACCAGUUGAGCUCAUCGGUAUGGUAUGAGUUGGCAUACAUCAAUGCUAAAGGACAGAUGAAGAAAAAUGAUCGGGUGUGGAUGAUUGGAUUUGGUGCAGGAUACGAGUGCAACACAGCUAGUUGGGUCUGUAUACAACCAUCUUCCAGUGCGGAUGGACCCUGGGGUAACUGUAUCAAUCAUUAUCCGAAGGAUAUCUUCAAAAAUAUAUUAAAUUAAGAGUAUUUGUAUUUUGUAAUCUACUAUCAGGAGGAGGGAGUAAUAUGAUAAUAAAAUAACAGGCACAUCUCUUGGAUACACAAUUUUUUUUUGGAUGAUGAGAUGGGGGAUUCCAUUGGCGGAUGGAUAAAAACUAGUGAAAUCAAUGACGAUGUGGGGCUUUUAUAAAGUAAUAAAAAAAUCAAUCCCUACUUUUCUAUGUGGUUGUACAGAUGAGCAUCUUAUGAAUUGAGGGACAACAUCCCAAUUAGUACACUAUAAAUAGCCGCACUUCAAUUUGGUAAAUUUUGUAGCGACUCGCUGUGUGAGACAUGCGACUUCUACAACUUGUAUUCUUGGGAGAUAGGGUUUGGUAUACGUUAUGGCUUAUGGGACGAGCAGACUAAACUCAGAGAGGACUAAAUCCAUGCAGGAGAUUGUUUGCGGGUGUUCGAUGAGUCUUGUGUACUUUGUUGCUGAAUUAUAUCCGGAAAUCCAAGUCGGUGCCCAGGCUCAUCUGCUCCCGCUCAGAAAAAAAUCAAAAUUAAUACUUGAAAAUUCAAAAAAUCAAUUUUUUUAGGUGGUAGAUAAUUUGAUGCGUGAGGUCCACACCAAAUUUCAACCCAUUUGGACAUCUAAGCAGCUCUCGGCAAAAAAGACAAAUCGGGUCAAAACAGUGCGUGAACAGUAAACAUUUUUACAGACCCCAAUUUUGUCUUUUUUGCAGAGAGCUGCUCAGAUGUCUAAAUGAGUUGAAAUUUCGUGCAGACCUCACACAUCAAAUUAUCUAUCAUCCAAAAAAAAUUGGAAUUUUUUGAACAUUUUUAGCAUUUGUUUUGAUUUUUUUUUUUUGAAAGGGGGUGCAGAUGAGCCUGGAAGCAGAAACUCCGCAUCCGGAUGUAAUAUCCCUAUCCCCGUUUAUAAGUGCAUCCUAGAGUAUGGACUAAAUGGUGUUCCAAUUUUUGUAGGCCACGCUUGGAUUAUCGUAUUUCCUUCAGAUACGUCCGUAAAAAAUACACACUCCUGCACGUUAUCAUUUCCGGCCGGAAAUCAUUCUAAUCCGGUAAAAUACACUUCUAAAAUUGAUACACCUGUAUUAGAUUACACUCAGUCCAAGCACGGCCUUAUGCAUGGAAAUCUAGAGGCACAGGACAGGCGGUCUUGCAUAUCAGGCUGUUGCGCGCGAAUGAUAACAGCUGGUUCAUACCUGUAGGACAUGCUGUUCGACCUUUUAUAAGAGCAAAAAAUCAUUUUCAGAGCAUUAUAUUAGCUGGAUCUUUUUAUGAGGGAUGAGCAAGUCAAGAGUCUCGAGUGGUUAUUUUGUGAGUUCCUAAAUACGAUGGGUGGGCUGGUGCUGAAGUCUAUCUUGACACGUACGUAGAUUCAGAUAAUUAGUAUGACUCAAGGUUGUUAUCUGGUUCAUGUGUCAAGGAGUUGUAAGGUAUACUCUGUAGAUCAAAACAGAGCCAUGGAGAUUGCUAUCAGCAAAGUGUAUCGAGGAAAUUAAACAACUGCAGGUCACCUUACUGGUUGGUCUGCUCUUAAUAUUUAUUAUUCCAUUGCGUGCAGUUCUUUCGUUAGAUCUAUUGUGUGAUCAUACAAUGUGUAGUGUAUUUGAGGAAAAUAACAAUUGACUGCAUGUAAUGUGCUGGGUAUUUUUAGCUGAACUUUGCUGACCUGAGCACUGGUGGGUAGUAAACAGGGAAACCAUCGCGUAUUUGCCAGAGUUCAGUCCUUUAAAUUGUUUCUGAAAUGGUUAGAACUAAAAGAUGGCCUUCAUUUAAUAUUGAUUUCGAGAGUAUUGUUGUUUCGAAAAAUACUAGUUUAGCAGGAAGUUAUGUUGACAUGCACUUCUUCUGAAAACAGCCCCUUGGUGACCUAGGAACCCUAGCCCCUUGGUGAUUCUUCAACCUUGCUUACGAAGGGGCCAGGGCACAGCUGUUCACUCCCAGACCUUGUGGCAGCCAUGAGAGAACCAGGUGACUCCGGACUAUGUGAAAACCAUCGUUCCAUGGCAGGUCUCUCCGUACUCCGGCGUCUUCUGAGGGGCCUUGGUUUUCAUUUUGAUCUUGUAGGCAAGUUUCUGGUUUGUGCUGCUGAAUUGCAGGGUGCUCGGCUCCACGAUGGCGUCCGUGUCUUUGAACUGUGUGACCUUGACCUGGUAAGAGCCAAGGACGGAGGACCGACAUUUGUCAAGGUGCACCGGCAGGGUUGAUGGCUGGUCGGCGAAGACCGCAGAGAUGGCCGGGUAGUUGAGGUCGCUGAGCAAACUGAAGGUGUACUUGCCUUUCAUGUUGGAGUUCUUGGUGAAGCCUUGAGCUACUUCGGCAUCAGGUUCUGCAUGCAUAUGAGCUCCAGGUAGCCGUAGCCGUACUGGCCAAUGUCCAAAACCAGCCAUGCUAGAAUGGCGUGGACGCCUCGCCGGUCGCGCGUCCUUCAGCACACAGUAGGUGUUUUUUUUUUUAACUAGCACACGGUAGGUGUUGUCGUGGACGUACGGGGUGGAGCAGCGCGGCCACGCCGGCAGCGUUUGGACUCCCAUCACAGACCAGCGGCUCAGGCUGGCUCAGGAAAUGCUCCCGAACGUGACCCAAGCUCCCGGUCCGGCUGCACCGUCGGGUCACCUACACUCCAUAAUGAUUGGGUUGUAGGAGUAUUCUUUAUAUCUUGACCAUACGUUAUAGAUACGACUUAUAAUCCGUUUCAUAAUGAAGUUGUAUAUAUUUUUUCAAAAAUCAAACUUUACAAACUUUGAUCAUGUAUAGUGAGAAAAAUAUUUUCAUUUAGAAUACCAAAUACAUAUCAUCGGAUGCAUCGUGAGUUAAAUUUUCAUAUUGUAUUUGUUUGGUAGUAGAUAUAGAUUGUUUUCUUCGUAAACUUGGUCAAAGUUUGCUAAGUUUGACUUUUCAGAAAAUCUAUAUGUACUACGUUAUGGAACGGAGGAAGUACAUGUGAAGCCUCGAAUCCCAAUCUGUACGAGCGGCUGUGAUGCAAGGAGCAUCUGAGCCCGAGCUCAUAAACUGAUUUUCGGGGAAGGAGACACAUCUACAGCUACCUGCGAUGACAACGAGCUCCACCGCGCGCACCGACCCAGGAGCGGCGACUGCUGCCAUGUGCACGGGCGUGGAUUCGACGCCGCCUUACAGGUGAUGGGAGGCUUUGCUCCUUCGUGUCCUCUAGCAAAGAGAGCUCUCCACAGGCACAAUCGUGUCGAGGAGCUCCACCACGCACGGAGCAUUGCCACACCGGCGGGCGCUGGUCUGGGCCGCCUCAACGGUGAUGAAGGCCUUGUUCUGCCUCCCGAUGGAGGACAGACUCCAGAGAACGGGUGGGUGGUGGUGGUGGCGGCGGUGGAAAAGGGGCAACCCUAGUGUGCGUUUAGCAAUGUGUUAUGUGUGUGAGAAAGAGGAGAAGAAGGGAAGAUAUAAGGACGAGUUUGGUUGCGGAAGCUAUAUGGACGCAUUUGGUUGCUCGCAACAUUUUUUUGCCCUUUUGCAUAUUUGUCCCAGACAAGAUUUUGGAUUCUGNNNNNNNNNNUAAACUCGGUUACAACGGUAACCACGAAAUUCCAAAAAAAAUCGUGCGAAAUUCAAAAUCAAAAUUUGAAUUCAAAAUUUUAAGACAAGAAUACAUAAGCCUUGAGCACCAAAUGUUGUCUACACUAGUGCUAGUGCAGCGGUAAGAGGUCUGCUCCGAUGCCGCGCACAUGCAGGUCCCAAUUUCGACCCUCCCACGCUCAUAUUUUUUUAAUAAAUUACAGCUUCAAAAAUCAAAAAGGAAAACGUGCGGAGCUCCACCACGCACGGAGCAUUGCCACACCGGCGGGCGCUGGUCUGGGCCGCCUCAACGGUGAUGAAGGCCUUGUUCUGCCUCCCGAUGGAGGACAGACUCCAGAGAACGGGUGGGUGGUGGUGGUGGCGGCGGUGGAAAAGGGGCAACCCUAGUGUGCGUUUAGCAAUGUGUUAUGUGUGUGAGAAAGAGGAGAAGAAGGGAAGAUAUAAGGACGAGUUUGGUUGCGGAAGCUAUAUGGACGCAUUUGGUUGCUCGCAACAUUUUUUUGCCCUUUUGCAUAUUUGUCCCAGACAAGAUUUUGGAUUCUGNNNNNNNNNNNNNNNNNNNNNNNNNNNNNNNNNNNNNNNNNNNNNNNNNNNNNNNNNNNNNNNNNNNNNNNNNNNNNNNNNNNNNNNNNNNNNNNNNNNNNNNNNNNNNNNNNNNNNNNNNNNNNNNNNNNNNNNNNNNNNNNNNNNNNNNNNNNNNNNNNNNNNNNNNNNNNNNNNNNNNNNNNNNNNNNNNNNNNNNNNNNNNNNNNNNNNNNNNNNNNNNNNNNNNNNNNNNNNNNNNNNNNNNNNNNNNNNNNNNNNNNACGGUAACCACGAAAUUCCAAAAAAAAUUGUGCGAAAUUCAAAAUCAAAAUUUGAAUUCAAAAUUUUAAGACAAGAAUACAUAAGCCUUGAGCACCAAAUGUUGUCUACACUAGUGCUAGUGCAGCGGUAAGAGGUCUGCUCCGAUGCCGCGCGCAGGACCCAAUUUCGACUCUCCCACGCUCAUAUUUUUUUAUAAAUUACAGCUUCAAAAAUCAAAAAGGAAAACGUGCUGCUGGCUGACCUAGAACACACGACCUGCAACUGCUGGUUAAAUAUCCUUACCACUGGGACACGAGAAUACUUGUGUUUUAGUUAGAGAUAUACCUUAUUUAACUAUGUGAAAGGAGUUUAAAUUCAAAAAGUUCGAGAUUUUCUGCCCGUACACAUGAUUCUCGUGGGGGAGCGGGAAACGCGGUUACCGGGCGGUAACCGAAUUUACCGCCCGAUACCCAAAACCAUGGUCUCAGAUCAGUCUAGUUGAGCAAAUGCAGGGUAAAAAUCAUCAUUUAAAUGUUGUUUGGUUGUCUGCAUACUGCUUCCCUUCACCGUAGCACCGACUGUAGGCACUGUGUGUUUGGUUGCCUGCAUUGCUUGGUCUCAUAUUAUUAUAUGGUGUUUGUAGAAGUACAUGUUCUAGACAAUGCAACCAAAAAAACCGAUCUGAUGAAAAAGACUAGGUAAUACAUUUAUACAUCAAUAAUCCUCCUCACGUGUGGCUUCCUCGGGCCUAAACUUGACAUAAAGUGUGAUGCAAUUUAAUUGCGUCAAUCAGGUUUUAAACUCGAAACCUCAUGAGAUCUUGACUCUGAUACCAUGUAGACAGAUAAUAAGAUGCAACACAUGAUGUACAGAAAGCAGACCCAUAUACGUGCUAACAUCCAAGUGGUGACAAGGCGUGCGGGCAACCAAGGCCUACACGGCAUGCACACAUUAUCCACAGGCCACGCAGGCGCCCGAGCAGCAAAACCACGCUCGAUGCGUGAGUGGCCACACGGCGCGGGACGAUGACCCAGCCUAGGACGAUGUGUGCGGCCGCCUCGCCCGAUACGCGGCACAACGCCGACACGCGGAUGACUACACUGCCUAUCGUGACAGGCUGUCCAGUCGAAGAAAAUGCUGUUCCAAUCACCGCGAGUGACAGAGUACGGGCGCUUUGUAGAUGACGAAUGGUGGGGACGACGCAAACUGAUUUUAGAAGAUAUAACAAGAAGAAACACCCAUCAAUACGACCGGCGAAAGAGAAAAUCCGGAUCAUAAAAUCCAGAUCUCGUAACUCCUCCCGACCUCUCUCCCCCAACCUCUCUCCCCCGAGGCGGCGGCGCCACGCCGCCCCCGGGGAGUCCCCGUCCACACCGCCCUCGGUCCUCCCCCUCCAUCGCCUCCCACUAUCGCCGCCGUCGCUGAGGACGCCGCGGGGCGAAGCCCUUAUGGUGAGGCGGCGGCGGCGCAGUCCUCGGCCGGCGGUAACGCGUGGGGGCUGCGGCGUCAUCUCCCUCCUCCUCCAACGGCAGUGCGCAUCGGGUUGGCGGUGGCCAGGAGAUCUCCGGCGGCCGUUUGGCGGAUGAGAUUUUGGCUGCGAUGAGAUCUGAUCUGGGCCCGAGGGGUUUAGAUCGAGAUCCACUGCGGCUGCGCCUCGUCUCGACAACGACAAGAGGAGAUCCCCCUGGGUAAUCUUCACGGCACGAGGACGUCCGGGUCUCUUGGUCCGGGCAUGGUGGUGGUGGCUGCCUUCUCCACCGAAGACGGUUGGCCAGGCUGGUAGUGACGGAUCUUGGAUCCCACUAUUAGCACCGGCGGCGAGUUGGGGAGACAUAGUCGCCGGUGAAAACCGAGCCGACUCCGGUCAUGGCGGGCGAUGGCGGCGUCUAAGUUGUUACCUUGAUGGAGGCAUCGUCAAGCAACUAUCGUCAACCUGCCCGUGCCGCUCCGGGAGAAAUCCUAAGAUCACCAGAUCGGACGAUGGCGGCGCUGCGGUGUCGUGUUCCCUAUUGGGGGCAUCGUUUGUGGAGCGGCGCCGGAAGGAAGAGGCCUGAGGUGGUGUGGCGUGCCUUCUCUCGCGUUGACGACGGCGGGUCUCGACGGCAUGGAGCAGCGGGGUCUCACCGAUGGGCGUGUGAUGAUGGACGAGCGCAGGAUGGUGGCGUUGCCUGACGUCGACGACAACUAGACCGGGCAAGGUAGAUGCAGCAGUACAUCACUGAAGAUGGAUUGGUGACAGGUGGCUGCGGCGGCCUCAUACCAGGCAGGCGUCCUGGUUGAGGAGUGCGCCGGACUGGUGGGUGCCCCAUACCCGGCAGGCGUCCUGGUUGGGACCUCAGGUCUUAGAUGUUAGGUUUGGCUGCGAGGUCUGUUUGGUAUUAGGCCUACACUAUCAGCAUCCCUACAUCAACUGGAUAGGAGUAGCGACAGAUGUUGCCUAGACGGUGGCUUUAGUCUUACUGUUGUAUGACUUUGUAAGGUCUUGUGUGAAUAAUUAAUAAAGUGGCUGCAUGCAUUGUCCAGAUGCAGAGGCCGGGGGUCCUCCUCCUUUUCUAAAAAAAAUAAAAUCAGGAAAAAGGACUCUUUAUGGUAGCCAGUCAACACGACCGGCAGACGAACCCUAGGUACGGUCGGCGUGACCCCCGAUGGUGAUCGUGGAGACCGACCGCCUCGGGGGCGGCGCGGAGCGAAAGCGGCCGCGGUGGCGGCUAGGGUUUGGACCGGUUAGUCUGAUACCAUGUAGAUGGAUAGAGAGUGAUUGACGUAAUGCGGUGGUUGUAUUACUGAGCCUUGAGGGCGAGUAAAUAUUGAGUAAAGACUUGAAGGACAAGACGUCUCCUAGAGAUAAGAUGGAAAUAAUUCCCGUCUAAUCCUGGACAAUCUUUAACUACCAAAUAUAUCUCUAACGUCUCCCCACAGUAGCGGUAGCGUUGGAAACAACAGGAGUGUCAUGGACGGUCAUACUGGAGAGAAUAGUAUCCGACUGGAUGACAUCCCCUCGUAGUCGUAGCAGGAGCAUUGUGGACGGUGUCGCGUUGUCGACACGUUGACUAUAAGGAAGCUGACCAUUUGUUCAAAUGCGGUGAUAGCCCUUUCUGCCGAUGUCGAUGUAGUCGAGAGCAUAUAGGGGUGUAGCCGUGGUCGAGGUAGCUGUGCGAGAGACACCGUGGUCGAUGUCGACUCGGGAUGGCCGAUGUCGAGGUAGUCGCCGUUGUUGGGGAUCGUAGCAGAAUUUAAAAUUUUUCUACGCAUCACCAAGAUCCAUCUAUGGAGUAUACUAGCAACGAGGGGAAAGGAGUGCAUCUAUAUACCCUUGUAGAUCGCGAGCGGAAGCGUUCCAAUGAACGGGGUUAAUGGAGUCAUACUCGCCGUGAUCCAAAUCGCCGAUGACCGAGUGCCGAAAGGACGGCACCUCCGCGUUCAACACACGUACGGAGAAGCGACGUCUCCUCCUUGAUCCAGCAAGGGGGAAGGAGAGGUUGAUGGAGAUCCAGCAGCACGACGACGUGGUGGUGGAAGUAGCGGGGUCUCGGCAGGGCUUCGCCAAGCUUCUGCGAGAGGGAGAGGUGUUGCAGGGGGAGAGGGAGGCGCCAGAGGCUGUCAUGCUGCUGCCCUCCCUCCCCCCANNNNNNNNNNNNNNNNNNNNNNNNNNNNNNNNNNNNNNNNNNNNNNNNNNNNNNNNNNNNNNNNNNNNNNNNNNNNNNNNNNNNNNNNNNNNNNNNNNNNNNNNNNNNNNNNNNNNNNNNNNNNNNNNNNNNNNNNNNNNNNNNNNNNNNNNNNNNNNNNNNNNNNNNNNNNNNNNNNNNNNNNNNNNNNNNNNNNNNNNNNNNNNNNNNNNNNNNNNNNNNNNNNNNNNNNNNNNNNNNNNNNNNNNNNNNNNNNNNNNNNNNNNNNNNNNNNNNNNNNNNNNNNNNNNNNNNNNNNNNNNNNNNNNNNNNNNNNNNNNNNNNNNNNNNNNNNNNNNNNNNNNNNNNNNNNNNNNNNNNNNNNNNNNNNNNNNNNNNNNNNNNNNNNNNNNNNNNNNNNNNNNNNNNNNNNNNNNNNNNNNNNNNNNNNNNNNNNNNNNNNNNNNNNNNNNNNNNNNNNNNNNNNNNNNNNNNNNNNNNNNNNNNNNNNNNNNNNNNNNNNNNNNNNNNNNAGGCAAGUGGGGCGCCCCCACCCUAGGGUUUCCAACCCUAGGCGCAGGGGGAAGGCCCAUGGGGGGCGCCCCAGCCCACUAAGGGCUGGUUCCCUUCCCACUUCAGCCCAUGGGGCCCUCCGGGAUAGGUGGCCCCACCCGGUGGACCCCCGGGACCCUUCCGGUGGUCCCGGUACACUACCGGUGACCCCCGAAACUUUCCCGGUGGCCGAAACUUGACUUCCUAUAUAUAAUUCUUCACCUCCGGACCAUUCCGGAACUCCUCGUGACGUCCGGGAUAUCAUCCGGGACUCCGAACAACUUUCGGGUUUCCGCAUACUAAUAUCUCUAUAACCCUAGCGUCACCGAACCUUAAGUGUGUAGACCCUACGGGUUCGGGAGACAUGCAGACAUGACCGAGACACCUCUCCGGUCAAUAACCAACAGCGGGAUCUGGAUACCCAUGUUGGCUCCCACAUGUUCCACGAUGAUCUCAUCGUAUGAACCACGAUGUCGAGGAUUCAAUCAAUCUCGUAUACAAUUCCCUUUGUCAAUCGGUACGUUACUUGCCCGAGAUUCGAUCGUUGGUAUCCCAAUACCUUGUUCAAUCUCGUUACCGGCAAGUCACUUUACUCGUACCGUAAUGCAUGAUCCUCUGGCUAACUCCUUAGUCACAUUGAGCUCAUUAUGAUGGUGCAUUACCGAGUGGGCCCAGAAAUACCUCUCCGUCAUACGGAGUGACAAAUCCCAGUCUCGAUCCGUGUCAACCCAACAGACACUUUCAGAGAUACCCGUAGUGUACCUUUAUAGUCACCCACUUACGUUGUGACGUUGGGUACACCCAAAGCACGCCUACGGCAUCCGGGAGUUACACGAUCUCAUGGUCUAAGGAAAAGAUACUUGACAUUGGAAAAGCUCUAGCAAACGAACUACACGAUCUUUUAUGCUAUGCUUAGGAUUGGGUCUUGUCCAUCACAUCAUUCUCCUAAUGAUGUGAUCCCGUUAUCAACGACAUCCAAUGCCCAUGGUCAGGAAACCGUAACCAUCUAUUGAUCAACGAGCUAGUCAACUAGAGGCUUACUAGGGACAUGGUGUUGUCUAUGUAUCCACACAUGUAUCUGAGUUUCCUAUCAAUACAAUUCUAGCAUGGAUAAUAAACGAUUAUCAUGAACAAGGAAAUAUAAUAAUAACCAAUUUAUUAUUGCCUCUAGGGCAUAUGUCCAACAGUCUCCCACUUGCACUAGAGUCAAUAAUCUAGUUCACAUCACCAUGUGAUUAACACUCACAGGUCACAUCACCAUGUGACCAACAUCCAAAGAGUUUACUAGAGUCAACAAUCUAGUUCACAUCACUAUGUGAUUAACACUCAAUGAGUUCUGGUUUGAUCAUGUUAUGCUUGUGAGAGAGGUUAUUAGUCAACGGGUCUGAAUCUUUCAGAUCCGUGUGUGCUUUACGAAUAUCUAUGUCAUCUUGUGGAUGCUACCACGCGCUACUUGGAGCCAUUUCAAAUAACUGCUCUACUAUACGAAUCCGGUCUACUACUCAGAGUCAUCCGGAUUAGUGUCAAAGUUCGCAUCGACGUAACCCUUUACGACGAACUCCUUUUCACCUCCAUAAUCGAGAAAAUUCCUUAGUCCACUAGAUACUAAGGAUAAGUUCGACCGCUGUCAUGUGAUCCAUUCCCGGAUCACUAUUGUACCCCUUGACCAACUCAUGGCAAGGCACACUUCAUGUGCGGUACACAGCAUAGCAUACUGUAGAGCCUACGUCUAAAGCAUAGGGGACGACCUUCGUCCUUUCUCUCUCUUCUGCUGUGGUCAGGUCUUGAGUCUUACUCAAUACUCACACCUUGUAACACAGCCAAGAACUCCUUCUUUGCUGAUCUAUUUUGAACUCUUUCAAAAGCAUGUCAAGGUGUGCGUUCUUUGAAAGUAUCAUCAGGCGUCUUGAUCUAUCUCUAUAGAUCUUGAUGCCCAAUACGUAAGCAGCUUUAUCCAGGUCUUCCUUUGAAAAACUCCUUUCAAACAACCCUUUAUACUUUUCAGAAAUUUUACAUCAUUUCGGAUCAACAAUAUGUCAUUCACAUAUACUUAUCAGAAAUGUUGUAGUGCUCCCACUCACUUUAUUGUAGAUACAAGUUUCUAACAAACUUUGUACAAACCCAAAAACUUUGAUCACUCCAUCAAAGCGUAUAUUCUGACUCCGAGAUGCUUGCUCUAGUCCAUGGAAGGAUCGCUGGAGCUAGCAUACCUUUUAGCAUCCUUAGGAUCGACAAAACCUUUCUGAUUGUAUCACAUACAACCUUUCCUUACGAAAACUGGUAAGGAAACUUGUUUUGACAUCCAUCUGCCAGAUUUCAUAAAUGCAGCUAAUGCUAACAUGAUUCCGACGGACUUAAGCAUCGCUACGGAUGAGAAAAUCUCAUCGUAGUCAACUCCUUGAACUUGUGAAAAAUACUCUUUGCCACAAGUCGAGCUUCAUAGACGGUAACAUUACCUUCCACGUCCGUCUUCUUCUUAAAGAUCCAUUUAUCUCAAUGGCUUGCCGAUCAUUGGGCAAGUUCACCAAAGUCCAUGCUUUGUUCUGAUACAUGGAUUCUAUCUCGGAUUUCAUGGUUUCUAACCAUUUGUCGGAAUAUGGACCCACCAUCGCUUCUCCAUAGCUCGUAGGUUCAUUGUUGUCUAACAACAUGAUAUCUAAGACAGGAUUACCGUACCACUCAGGAGUAGUACAUAUCCUUGUCGACCUACGAGGUUUGGUAGUGACUUGAUCCGAAGUUUCAUGAUCACUAUCAUAAGCUUCCACUUCAAUUGGUGUAGGUGCCACAAGAACAACUUCAUGUGCCCUGCUACACACUAGUUGAAGUUAUGGUUCAAUAACCUCAUCAAGUCUCCACCAUCCUCCCACUCAAUUCUUUCGAGAGAAACUUUUCCUCGAGAAAAGACUCGUUUCUAGAAGCAAUUACUUUUGCUUCCAGAUCUGAAAUAGGAGGUAUACCCAACUGUUUUGGGUUUUCUAUGAAGAUGCAUUUAUCCGCUUUGGGUUCGAGCUUAUCAGCUUGAAACUCUUUCACAUAAGCAUCGCAGCCCCAAUCUUUUAAGAAACGACAACUUAGGUUUCUCUAAAUGGUGUCGUCUCAACGGAAUUUCGUGGUGCCCCUUUUAAAGUGAAUGCGGUUAUCUCUAAUGCCUAACCCAUAAACGAUAGUUGUAAUUUGAUAAGAGACAUCAUGGUAUGCACCAUAUCCAAUAGGGUGCAGUUAUGAUGUUUGGACAGACCAUCACACUGUGGUGUUCCAGUCGGUAUUAAUUGUGAAACACUUUCCACAAUGUCUUAAUUGUGUGCCAAACUCGUAACUCAGAUAUCUCUAUGAUCAUAUCAUAGACAUUUUAUCCUCUUGUCACGACGAUCUUCAACUUCACUCUGAAAUUACUUGAACCUUUCAAUAAUUCAGACUUGUGUUUCAUCAAGUAAAUAUUCUCAGCAUCUACUCAAAUCAUCUGUGAAGUAAGAACAUAACGAUAUCCACUGCAUGCCUCAGCACUCAUUGGACUGCAUACAUCAAAAUGUAUUACUUCCAAAUAAGUUGCUCUCUUGUUCCAUCUUACUGAAAACGAGGCCUUUCAGUCAUCUUGCCCAUGUGGUAUGAUUUGCAUGUCUCAAGUGAUUCAAAAUCAAGUGAGUACAAACGAUCCAUUUGCAUGGAGUUUCUUCAUGCAUAUAUACCAAUAGACAUGGUUUGCAUGUCACAAUCUUUUCAAAAACGAGUGAGUCCAAAGAUCCAUCUACAUGGAGCUUCUUCAUGUGUUCUAUACCAAUAUGACUCAAAUGGCAGUGCCACAAGUAUGUGGAACUAUCAUUACUAUUUUAUAUCUUUUGGCACGAACAUGUGUAUCACUACGAUCGAGAUUCAUUUUAGGUGCAAGACCAUUGAAGGUAUUAUUCAAAUAAACAGAGUAACCAUUAUUCUCCUUAAAUGAAUAACCGUAUUGCGAUAAACAUAAUCCAAUCAUGCUCAACGCAAACACCAAGUCUCGAUGGUAGAGGGAGCAUGCGAUGCUUGAUCAUCACAUCAACCUUGGAAACACUUCCAACACAUAUCGUCAUCUCACCUUUAGCUAGUCUCCGUUUAUUCUGCAGUUUUUAUUUCGAGUUACUAACACUUAGCAACCGAACCGGUAUCUAAUACCCUGGUGCUGCUAGGAGUACUAGUAAAGUACACAUUCAUAUAAUGUAUAUCCAAUAUACUUCUGUCGACCUUGCCUGCCUUCUCAUCUACCAAGUAUCUAGGGUAGUUCUGCUUCAGUGACCGUUCCCCUCAUUACAGGAGCACUUAGUCUCGGGUUUGGGUUUAACCUUGGGAUUCUUUGCUAGAGCAGCAAAUGAUUUGCUGUUUCAUGAAGUAUCCCUUCUUGCCCUUGCCCUUCUAGAAACUAGUGAUUUUACUAACCAUCAACAAUUGAUGCUCCUUCUUGAUUUCUACUUUCGCGGUGUCAAACAUCGCGAGUUGCUCAAGGAUCAUCAUCUAUCCCUGAUAUGUUAUAGUUCAUCACGAAGCUCUAAUAGCUUGGUGGCAGUGACUAUGGAGAACCAUCACUAUCUCAUCUGGAAGAUUAACUCCCACUCGAUUCAAGCGAUUGUGGUAUUCAGACAAUCUGAGCACAUGCUCAACGAUUGAGCUUUUCUCCCUCAAUUUGCAGGCUUAAGAAACUUGUCAGAGGUCUCAUACCUCUUGACGUGGGCACUAGUCCGAAAUCCCAAUUUCAGUCUUCGGAACAUCUCAUAUGUUCUGCGACGUUUCAAAAACCGUCUUUGGUGCCACAAUUCUAAACCGUUAGCAUUACGCACUGAACUAUCACGUAGUCAUCAAAACGUGUAUGUCAGAUGUUUCGCAACAUCUACAGACGACGCUGAGGUUCAGCACACCGAGCGGUGCAUUAAGGACAUAAGCCUUCUGUGCAGCAAUGAGGACAAUCCUCAGUUUACGGACCCAGUCCGCAUAAUUGCUACUAUCAACUUUCAACUAAUUUUCUCUAGGAACAUAUCUUAAUCAGUAGAACUAAAGCGCAAGCUAUGACAUAAUUUGCAAAGAUCUUUUGACUAUGUUCAUGAUAAUGAAGUUCAUCUGAUUAAUGAACUCCCACUCAGAUAGACAUCCCUCUAGUCAUCUAAGUGAUACAUGAUCCGAGUCAAACUAGGCCGUGUCCGAUCAUCACGUGAGACGGACUAGUCAUCAUCGGUGAACAUCUCCAUGUUGAUCGUAUCUACUAUACGACUCAUGUUCGACCUUUCGAUCUCUUGUGUUCCAAGGCCAUGUCUGUACAUGCUAGGCUCGUCAAGUCAACCUAAGUGUUUCGCAUGUGUUCCGAGGCCAUGUCUGUACAUGCUAGGCUCGUCAACACCCGUUGUAUUCGAACGUUAGAAUCUAUCACACCCGAUCAUCACGUGGUGCUUCGAAACAACGAACCUUCACAACGGCGCACAGUUAGGGGGAACACGUCUCUUGAAAUUUUAGUGAGGGAUCAUCUUAUUCAUGCUACCGUCGUUCUAAGAAAAUAAGAUGUAUACAUGACAAACAUCACAUGCAAAUCAUAAAGUGACGUGAUAUGGACAAUAUCAUCUUGCGCCUUUGAUCUCCAUCUUUGAGGCACGGCAUGAUCACCUUCGUCACCGGCAUGACACCAUGAUCUCCAUCAUCAUGAUCUUCAUCAUUGUAUCUUCAUGAAGUUGUCUCGCCAACUAUUACUUCUACUACUAUGGCUAACGGUUAGCAAUAAAGUAAAGUCAUUACAUGGCGUUUUCAUUGACACGCAGGUCAUACAAUAAAUUAAGACAACUCCUAUGGCUCCUGCCGGUUGUCAUACUCAUCGACAUGCAAGUCGUGAUUCCUAUUACAAGAACAUGAUCAAUCUCAUACAUCACAUAUAUCAUUCAUCACAUCCUUUUUGGCCAUAUCACAUCACAUAGCAUACCCUGCAAAAACAAGUUAGACGUCCUCUAAUUGUUGUUGCAUGUUUUACGUGGCUGCUAUGGGUUUCUAGCAAGAACGUUUCUUACCUACACAAAAGCCACAACAUGAUAUGCCAAUUUCUAUUUACCCUUCAUAAGGACCCUUUUCAUCGAAUCCGAUCCGACUAAAGUGGGAGAGACAGACACCCGCUAGCCACCUUAUGCAACUAGUGCAUGUCAGUCGGUGGAACCUGUCUCACGUAAGAGUACGUGUAAGGUCGGUCCGGGCCGCUUCAUCCCACGAUGCCGCUGAAUCAAGAUAAGUGUAGUAACAGCAAGAAGAAUUGGCAACAUCAACGCCCACAACUGCUUUGUGUUCUACUCGUGCAUAGUAACUACACAUAGGCCUGGCUCAUGAUGCCACUGUUGGGGAUCGUAGCAGAAUUUAAAAUUUUUCUACGCAUCACCAAGAUCCAUCUAUGGAGUAUACUAGCAACGAGGGGAAAGGAGUGCAUCUACAUACCCUUGUAGAUCGCGAGCGGAAGCGUUCCAAUGAACGGGGUUGAUGGAGUCGUACUCGCCGUGAUCCAAAUCACCGAUGACCGAGUGCCGAACGGACGGCACCUCCGCGUUCAACACACGUACGGAGCAGCGACGUCUCCUCCUUCUUGAUCCAGCAAGGGGGAAGAAGAGGUUGAUGGAGAUCCAGCAGCACGACGGCGUGGUGGUGGAAGUAGCGGGGUCUCGGCAGGGCUUCGCCAAGCUUCUGCGAGAGGGAGAGGUGUUGCAGGGGGAGAGGGAGGCGCCAGGGGCUGUCAUGCUGCUGCCCUCCCUCCCCCCCCCACUAUAUAUAGGCCCCCUGGGAGGGGGGGGGGCGCUGGCCUGGAUCCCAUCUGCAAGGGGGGGCGGCGGCCAGGGGGAAACUUACCCCCCAAGGCAAGUGGGGCGCCCCCCACCCUAGGGUUUCCAACCCUAGGCGCAGGGGGAAGGCCCAUGGGGGGCACCCCAGCCCACUAAGGGAUGGUUCCCUUCCCACUUCAGCCCAUGGGGCCCUCCGGGAUAGGUGGCCCCACCCGGUGGACCCCGGGACCCUUCCGGUGGUCCCGGUACACUACCGGUGACCCCCGAAACUUUCCCGGUGGCCGAAACUUGACUUCCUAUAUAUAAUUCUUCACCUCCGGACCAUUCCGUAACUCCUCGUGACGUCCGGGAUCUCAUCCGGGACUCCAAACAACUUUCGGGUUUCCGCAUACUAAUAUCUCUAUAACCCUAGCGUCACCGAACCUUAAGUGUGUAGACCCUACGGGUUCGGGAGACAUGCAGACAUGACCGAGACACCUCUCCGGUCAAUAACCAACAGCGGGAUCUGGAUACCCAUGUUGGCUCCCACAUGUUCCACGAUGAUCUCAUCGGAUGAACCACGAUGUCGAGGAUUCAAUCAAUCCCGUAUACAAUUCCCUUUGUCAAUCGGUACGUUACUUGCCCGAGAUUCGAUCGUCGGUAUCCCAAUACCUUGUUUGCAAUCUCGUUACCAGCAAGUCACUUUACUCGUACCGUAAUGCAUGAUCUCGUGGCUAACUCCUUAGUCACAUUGAGCUCAUUAUGAUGAUGCAUUACCGAGUGGGCCCAGAAAUACCUCUCCGUCAUACCGAGUGACAAAUCCCAGUCUCGAUCCGUGUCAACCCAACAGACGCUUUCAGAGAUACCCGUAGUGUACCUUUAUAGUCACCCAGUUACGUUGUGACGUUGGGUACACCCAAAGCACUCCUACGGCAUCCGGGAGUUACACGAUCUCAUGGUCUAAGGAAAAGAUACUUGACAUUGGAAAAGCUCUAGCAAACGAACUACACGAUCUUUUAUGCUAUGCUUAGGAUUGGGUCUUGUCCAUCACAUCAUUCUCCUAAUGAUGUGAUCCCGUUAUCAACGACAUCCAAUGUCCAUGGUCGGGAAACCGUAACCAUCUAUUGAUCAACGAGCUAGUCAACUAGAGGCUUACUAGGGACAUGGUGUUGUCUAUGUAUCCACACAUGUAUCUGAGUUUCCUAUCAAUACAAUUCUAGCAUGGAUAAUAAACGAUUAUCAUGAACAAGGAAAUAUAAUAAUAACCAAUUUAUUAUUGCCUCUAGGGCAUAUUUCCAACAGCCGUGACCCAUGAACUAGGAGAAGAGCGACGGCGGCAGCAACUAGGUUAGGAGCGUGGCGGCGAUGCUCGAAGUAGGCAGGGAAGAACCUGAUAGCAUGACGAAGACUAGCGCGGACGGUGAUGUUCCUGCUCCUAGGAAGGCGGUGCGGCGCACACCAUACAGAAGUCAACGCGCGUGGAUGGCAAAGUGGACCGCGUGUCGCGAUGCUAUGGCCCGAAGGGCCGACGCAGCGGCAGCACGCAGGUUGGAAUACCUUAGGGCGGCAGAGACCGCAUGCAACGCUCGCUACGACCCGAUGGGGCGAUGCAAUGGCAGCCCGAGGGUUAGUGCAAUCACGGGAACGGCCUGGAGUCGACGGUCUUGAGGCGACGGUGGACCGCGGGCCACGGCACUACGGCCCGAAGGGGCGACGCAGCGCCAGAGCGGAUCGAUACAGCCGCGGGAGAACCAUGGACCGAUGGACAACUAGCUAGCUAGCAGUAGCAGUAGUUAGCGGCAGCAGGGCUAACGCAAAUAACCGAAGAUCUUACAUACAGGCAGCAAGGUCUGCUUACCUUGUAUUCUAUGUGGCGAGCUUAUCAACUACACCUAUGAUCACAUCGAUCACACCAAUAAAACAACGCUACAAAUCAGGACGAACUGGAUGAUGAGAUGAAGUUCUUCAUCCAACACAACCCAAACUGCGAGGAGCCUUGCCUGAUGCCUAGUUUUAAACCCGUCUAGGAGUGCUCUAGGCAACAAUUAACUUCUUUCUUCGCAUGCAUCCAGUGAACUGUAAAUUUCUUGAACCCUCCCUUUAUACAUAACAUACCACUUGUACUAGCAUGACAAAAGAGCAAAAAUUCAAGCAGCAAGCAAUGUAGCAGCAAUAUACAUGAAACAAAUGAAACUUAGGCAUGCAUGAUUAUAAGGCAGAGCAAGUUCAUCCUAGCUACUAUGCUGUCAUCCUACCACCAGAUUCAAAAGAAGGUGUAAUCCUACCACCGCAAGUUUGCCAUCAGCUUGAGGGGUUAGUAUAUACCACUUCAUCAAAAUAUACAGGCCAACAUCAGUGUUCACGGUCUAACUACCACAAAAUGUACAUCAUCAUCGUCAUCACCAUCGCCACCCUCGUCGAGUAUCAUGCACGCUAUCACCACCUCUACUGGAAACAACACUAGUGGUAGUGCUUGUCCAGCCAGGUCCUGAACCAAAGCACUCUAUGGACGCCUGACAUGCAACAAACCAUUUGAUAAACUGCCUUUUGCUACAUUUGAUGAACUAAAUCUAACAUUGUAUCAAAUGAACUGAAGAUUUGCUCGUUGUUGCAAAUCUGUAUGUAGUUUUAACAUUGUUCAAGACUGAAAUGUGAAUGUGAAAACUGAUACAAAGCUAGCACUGAUGUAUAUUCAGGCUAGUUUACACAUGGACAGUGAAAUCUAUAUGUAUAUAGCUAGUUCGCACUUAUGUAUGUUCAAGCUAGUUUGCGCAUAGACAGUGAAAUCUGGGUGUGGGGAUGAGAUUGUGUAGGGUUCGGUGUCGGGAACGAGCAAAACGAUAGAUGAUAAGAACGAGCUGGGAGGGUUCACUACCUCGCGACCUCGGGACGCCUCAGCCUUGUACAGAAAAAUGACUGAGCCGUGCCACUGCCACUAUUCUGUGUAUUAACGUCUGCCAUUGCAAGAAAUGCGCCAGCGCACGCACGCUGAUCCGAAAUGAUACAACCUAAGAGCUAAUAUCAGUGAUCUGGACUUUGAGAAGAAAGACAAACCUCCCCAAACAGCGACCGCGUCGCCCCCNNNNNNNNNNNNNNNNNNNNNNNNNNNNNNNNNNNNNNNNNNNNNNNNNNNNNNNNNNNNNNNNNNNNNNNNNNNNNNNNNNNNNNNNNNNNNNNNNNNNNNNNNNNNNNNNNNNNNNNNNNNNNNNNNNNNNNNNNNNNNNNNNNNNNNNNNNNNNNNNNNNNNNNNNNNNNNNNNNNNNNNNNNNNNNNNNNNNNNNNNNNNNNNNNNNNNNNNNNNNNNNNNNNNNNNNNNNNNNNNNNNNNNNNNNNNNNNNNNNNNNNNNNNNNNNNNNNNNNNNNNNNNNNNNNNNNNNNNNNNNNNNNNNNNNNNNNNNNNNNNNNNNNNNNNNNNNNNNNNNNNNNNNNNNNNNNNNNNNNNNNNNNNNNNNNNNNNNNNNNNNNNNNNNNNNNNNNNNNNNNNNNNNNNNNNNNNNNNNNNNNNNNNNNNNNNNNNNNNNNNNNNNNNNNNNNNNNNNNNNNNNNNNNNNNNNNNCGGACUGGCGGCGCCCGCCCAGCACAGAUCUGGGCCCUUCGGGCCCCAUCUGGGCCGGGAUGGGCCGGCGACAGGCGUGGCGUCGGCGCGGCUCUCGGGAGGCCGUGGCGGUGCGUCGGGCUGGUGGCGGGUGGCGGCUCGGCUGCCGGCGUGCAACAGCGCGGUGGCCAGAGCUUUGCGGUCCCGAUAUGGUCCCGGUUAGGCCCGGGUGGCUCGGUUUGUCUCGGCUGCGACAUCAGGUCGGCAAUCCGCGUUGGUGCAGGAGGCAGAGGCCUCCGGCUCAACGACGGUGGAGGCGGUUCCCUCCCGUUCGGCUCCGGUGCUUCUGUCCGUGCCAUCUAGGCACAUCUUGCCUCUGCUCUCUUGACCUCGUGGUGGUGUUCGCAGCCAGACGGCGUGGAUGGGUCCAAGACCGUCGUGGCGCGUGCUUGCGGGUGGCAAGAUGGUGGGCUGGCUCCGUUCUAGUGGGUGCUGGGGCAUGGGGUGUGGGAGAAAUCCUUGCCGGCUUUUCCGGCUUUGACACCGUGACGCCGGUGGGUGCCGCCAUUACUUCUGAAGGGCGUCGGUGCUACCCAUCCCCCGCUCCCCUUCUGCGUGCCGGGGAAAACCCUAGAACUUUUCCGGGCAGCAGCGUCGUUGGCGUCGUAUUCCUUUUUGGAGGUGUUGUUUGAUACGCAGUGCCAUGGCAAGUGGUGGAACGUAGAUGGAGAGUUUAGCGGUGGCGGGCCAUCUGUUCUUGUCGAGCUGCCUUGUUGGCAUUUUUUGUCUUUUUCUUUUUACUUUUGGGCUUGAUGUGCCGUUCGCCCCGGGCAGUUAUCUUAUGAUCGUUGUCCCUUCUUUAUAAUAUAAAGCGGGGGGAAUACUAUUUCGUUAGAUGAUACAACCUAAAUACAAACUGGAAUACACCGCAGGGCAUUGAUCAAUGUGCUAACGAACGGUGGCGAUUUCAGGAUCAUAUGAGCCUAGGCUCGGAAUUUGAUAUUUGGUCUAUAUCCUACAACUAUGUGAAAUAAUGCAGUUGGAAAAUAAAAAUUUUGAGUUUACAAAUAAUGUCUUCCUUGCAAAUAAAUAUUUACCAUUCCAUAACUAUAUAUCACUAGUAGACUGUGCGUUGCCACGGGCCAACAAAUGAAUUUACUAAGAAAACACUCUCACCCUAUUUUUAUAUAUGAUAAAGCAACAAUCAACAUACACGCAACAACGUACAACAACCUAAUUGACUAAAAUGCCCCCCUCCUUAAAUUUCACAUCGGCAAUACAUGGCAACAUUCCCCCUCAAGUAGCUCUCGUCGGUCUUGAUUGUCUAUGUUUCUUUACUAACUUAUUCGUAAGAGAACUAUUCCAUCCAAAUGUAGGAUGUACCCACUCUCUAAAGAAAAAUAAGACUUUAUAGCUUCACAAAGGGAGCAUUUCUUGUUUUUUAUUGAUAAUACACUACUAGGGAAAAGCCUAGCAGUAGCGCGGGUUUUUGGCCUAUCAGUAGCGCGGGGUGCCGCGCUACUGAUACGGCGCUACAGCUAAAGUUUAGCAGUAGCGCGGGCUUACACACGCUACUGCUAUACGUACUUAGUAGUAGCGCGUUUUGUAGAAAACACUACUGGUAAUUUCUAGCAGCGCGCCUUUGUGCCCGCGCUACUACUAUUAUUGCUACUACUAUUAUUGCAUAUUCUAUUUUCUUUUUCUUUUUAUGUCAUAUUCAUACACCAUUAUACAAGUUUUCAUACAGUAGCAAUUUAGAGAUUGUUUUUACAUCAUAAUCAUCAUAUCAUCAUCAUUAUCAUCAUCUCAUUAACAACUUAUCAUCAUAAUACAUCAUUGUCAUAUAACAACUCCUCAUAAUCAUCAUUGUCAUAUAACAACUCCUCAUGAUCAUCAUCAUCAAGUCUAGCUAACACAUUGUAGCACAUAAUAACACAUUGUACCUAAGACCUACUCCUCUUUUAUAGGACCUACUACCUUCUCUUAGGUAAAAUAACAUAAAACAAGAUAGGCCCCGACUCUUCAUUAUGCAGAAUGGAGAUUAUCCUGUCUCCAAUUCCUGCGCUUCGCACAAUAUUGCUUCCAAUUAGCUGCCUACGAUUGACCAUACAUUUUUUCCAAUAUUUGAUUGCCAUGUCUCCAUCGGUUUUAGAAAUCCAGUAUGAACAAGAGUGAUUCAUCGGAUGACCUGGCCGUAAGUUCAAAACAUCAAGGCGACCAUUCGGAAACAUCAUAUGAGGCACACAAUCCUUUGGGAUUUUCUAUUGAAAAACAUAUUAAUAACUUCGUAGUUAGCAAUGUAGUUGAGUUUUAAAAGAAUUUAUGCAAAAGAUGCACAGAUGUCGUAAUAGUAAAAAAUCUUACCAUGACAUCUCCAUGGAUGUUACCGUAGUUCAACACGUGCACUAGUGGCACGUAUUGACCAUAAUGUGGAGGAGUUUGAUAAUAGAUAUUGUAAUUCUCAAGAUCAGUAAUAAAUGAGAUUAGGUGAUUUUUUCUCCUGAUAGGUUAAUUCUGAGCCAUCGGUAUAGUAGGUUCUGUCUACCAUCUUCCACACAUUCUUUGAAGAAUGAAAAUAAGCUAUCAAUGAAAAUAAGCUGUCAACUAUUUUGAAAUAAACAAUAUAAAUUACUUAAUAACUAUGUUUGAGAAACUCACAUGGCGGUAGAAUUGGAAGCGUAUCAACAAGGACCCAAAUGUCCAUAUUGUCUUGGGCGAUGUCAGGAUCGCCAAGAUCCAUGGUGACAAGCAUACCCUCAUGAAAAUCAUACAUCUUGCAAAGUGCUUCCCAAUUCGGGCAACCAAAAUGGAUAACGCUCUAAGAAUUGUCUAGAUUUACAUCAAGAUCCAUACCAUGAUGGGUCCUUAGGUGAAUUAUCUUUGUUUCCAUACUUUCAUGAUCUUCUACAUCCAUCCUCUCCAAGACAUAGGGUCUUGCAUGGCAUGGGAUAAGCUAGUCGAAUUGUAAAAGACGAAAAUUACACGUUGAAGUAGCAGAAGUCGUGCUUAAUUAUGAAAAAAACACUUGUCGUCAUUGCGUACCGUUUCAACAUCGAAGGUCUCCUGGAGCUUAAUGCCGAAGUGUCGUGGUUGUGAUAGUUUGAGAAGUAACAUAUUUAAGGUGGUAGAAACCCUGUUCGCGGAGCGACGUGGGACUAAAUUUAGGUGCAAGGAGUGGAGUAAACUUAGCAGUAGCGAGCAUUAUCAAAAGGUGCUACUGCUAAGAUAAAUAGCAGUAGCGCUGUUUGGAAUAAGGCGCUACCGCUAUAACUAGCUUGGCGGUGAGGUCGUGGCAAUUAUAGCAGUAGCACGGCUUAGUACAGGCGCGCUACUGCUACUUAUUUCAGCAGCGCAUUUUGCCGGCACGCGCUACUGCUAGAUAGCAGCAGCGCUUUGUUUUAAUGCGCGCUGGUGGUAAUAUUCUGUGUAUAAGGUUUUCCCUAGUAGUGAUAUAGUACAAUAUUAAAGUGGCCUCGUACAUGUAGAGCUAGGAGUUUACCAUACAUGCUAUGCCUUUAUAUGUGUAUCAUUUCUUCUACCUAUUAUUGAACAUGCGACACAACAAGUCCUCCUCAUAAAGAAAGUUGUAGUGAUAAUUAUUCUCAACAGAGGGAGUAUCUCCAAAACAUAAUGUGUUUUUAUGUAAGGUGUGUAUUGCAUAGCACAAGUAGAAAUUAUAAUGUGAUUAUAGGCGGCCAAAUCACGAAUAAAAAGAAGGGACAUGCCCCCAUCCAAACAUUACUACCCCACAAAAAAAGGUUUGGGCAACCGCCGCAGGAUCAUGGUUCUUUUUUUAACAGACUCUGUUGACUUCUGACAAAACUGAGACAAAGUAGUUGCAAAGUGACCUGAUUUCUCUGUACACUGUUUGGUUUCUGCAAGCUGAAUCAUGUGUGGUGUAUUAACUGUGGUGAUUGGUGAUUAUCGCAGAACAGUCAAAUUUGAACAUCAUUGCAAGUAUGCACAAAACGAUGUGUAUCAACAAUAACAUUACAAUUUGAAAAACUGGAAUUAUUGAGUGCAACCUUGGGUGCUAUUUUAAAGGUGUACUAACCCAAUUCUUUUCUAGGUACCUCCAUUCAUUUCUCACAUGAAUCUACUAAAGUAUGUAAGCAAAUUUACAAAUAAUUACUCUACAUAUAGUGAUAUACAUUAUGCAGCUCUCAAAUUCUGCAUUUCUCGUCUGCCGACACAAUGGCUUUGCAUAGGUAUUUUAUCCAUCGCAGUACAUCCUUCAAAAUUUGUGGAGCAACACUAUUCUUAAUUAAAACCUCCAAAAUUGCAAAUUGAUUCCAACUUGAAAAGAAAACUAAAUGGUAAUGACGACUUGCCUUGUGCAGAAACUUCCAAGUUUCUCAAAUACUCCUACUUCAAAAAUUUGAUCAUCUAGCAAACAAAGAUGACAAAGGUCCAUGCAAGGAAUGAGUGCACACACAUCUGGAUAAUACCUAGCCUAUAAGUGUUCAUUCAACAAUAGGAUGGUGUAAACAAUGUAGAUUCCUUAUAAAAGAUCGUAGAAAAUGUUAUAGGCAUGAACAAAAGGUUACGACAAAAGAACCAACAAUGACGGUCCCGGUAUGUAAAUCAUACUCUUCUGAAGGUUGCCCGAUAUGUAUUAAUUGGCAUGGAUUGUUCUCCUUUCAGGAAAGCUUGUCCUUCAAGUUACAUGGUGACGAUCUAACACUCUUAACACAUAGGUGCAAUUACCUGCACCCUUCUUUUCCUUAACAAUGAAUAAAAUUUAAUUACUCAAAAACCAACGAAACCUUUCAAUGGUAAAUUCUUCACCGGCCAUCAGUGCAAUCAGAGACUAUGAGGCGACAUGCUGAAUCAGAAAAGGUGGAGCACUAAUAUGUUUGCAAUAGUGAUUUAACAUGUUGUCAUCAUAUAGUAUGUUCAAAACGAGCCUCGGAACAACCUACCAACAAAUGAAUCCAAUUAGUCACAUCUGUAUUGAGAUAAAAAUCGUAUUUGAUUGUAUUUAAGAUAAUAGAAAGUAUUGAGAGGAGAAGAUAUGAUGUGAUUACUCAUUGAACUGGUGGCCACAUUUAUAUAAUGCAAUUGCGGAAACUUACUCCCACGAGAUUUAUAUCUAAGAUACAGAAAUAGUAUUGAUGACGGGAGAUUUUGUGGGAGUUAUUAUUUAUCUUUGGCACAUUUUAGCUCCCUGAGCAUCAUUGAAGAUUGAACCUUCAACCAUCUAUGAACCAGCCAGUUCCCCUGGUUUGAAGCAACCUGCUAUUUGGCAUUUCUGAUAAUAUAUGUACAAAACAAUGAAAAGAUUUUCCUAGAUAUUUGUAAUACAUAUUAGUUAUUAUUUUCUAAUGAAACAAUAUGUAAGAUAAAGUUUCUUUACGAUGACUAAGUUAUAUGUACAUUGUAGCAGAUACCAACCUUAUUUCUAAGCACACAUAGAAUUGCAUGAUAUCAUAGAUUGUCUGUACAACAAAGUUUUAUAUUGUAUCUGAUGUCUGAUCUCAGUAUUAAUCUCAGAUUACCAGUUGUACUUCUGAAUGAAGUCCCAAGUAAAUUAUUUGAAUCCCAUGCAACAACCACAUGAAAAAAAGCACUCAAGACGAGCUUUAUCUUUAAAUGAUACCACCUCUAAUUCGCUAGAUAUCUUAUUGACCUUGCUUUCUCACACAUGAACAUUGCCAACAAAUACACAUACCUAUGCCAUAUGCACUCUAGCAUCAAAAUGUAUGUUUUGCUAAUCCAAUUGGAGAUGAAAGCAAAAUGUAGAUGAUAGAUUCUUAUUAAUAUCAUCUUAUCCUAUACGUCGAUGCAACAACAUCUUUGUGGCAUUGGUGAAAACUUCCUGCAACAUAAGAUCUUCAUAACACCAAAACAAAGGAAAGCUUCCAAGUGUUUCCAAAUAAAAAAUUUAACAAUCAUUAGAUCAAUUAAAGGAGUAAUCAUUUCAACCCAAGGGGGCCAGAAUGAGGACCCCUUUGUUGUUGAACUCAUUUUUUUCACAAGAAGAAAAAAAAGAAAAGGAACAUAUAUAAGAUAACAAGAAAAUCUGCAUCUCCUGAAAUUUAAUAUACAUAUAGCAAAAAUGUAUGUUAUUUUACCAACACAGUUUGAACAAUUACUUCCUUGGGAUUUCUGAGAAAAAUAUUCCUGUUAGUUUUUCCUCAAGCAAAUAAGAAGAAAUAGUUAGAAAAUUUACAAUAUAUUCAAUCUUAAUGUGACAUGUCCAGGUAUGAUCAUGCAAAUACUAAAGAAAGAAAACAACCCCGCUUAUUCACCAAUCCUAGAACCCUACAACGAAAGUUUCAGGAAAUAAUUACAAAAACCAACAGUUCAUGGAAUUUACACCUGACAUCUACUAUGGUUUUAGAAAUAUUUCAUUAGGGAAAAGGUAGAGGAUGUAUGCAUAUCUUUUGAGCUACUCUCAACCUCUUAAUGUGACAUGUGCAUGUUUGAUCAUUAAAAACACACAUUGGUCAUGCAGACAUUAAAGAAAGAAGAAAAGACCCUAUAACAUUAGCCGAUCAUUAAUGUUGCUACUACACAAUAUCUACUGUGACUUGUUGUUUCUCUUUGUCCCUCCUAUAACAUUGAAAGUGGUUUUUCAAAUCAAAGCUUAAACCAUGAAUGUUGCUUGAAGAACAAAAUUUUGAAUGGACAAAGCAAAAAAAAUUGAAGACCUUGCUGGAUUAACAAUCAGUAAUAUCUAAAUAAGGUCAAAUGAUAUAAGAAGACAUGAGGUCAAAAUAAUCACAGUAAUAGCUCCGAAAGUAGAAGAAUUAUACAAGAACACAUCAGUCAAAUGAUAUAAGAAGACAUGAACAUUGUAGCUUACUGAAGAUCGUCCCACUUUUUCCUGCCUAAAGGUUGGUCAUGAGCUCCUGAUUAAAAGAUGCAAUUAGGAAAUAUGUAUAUAUUUUCUUCGCAGAUCCAAUACCAUCAUCGCUGGUAUAUUAAAUUACACUACAUCAAACACUGGAUGCCUUUGAAAAAUUCACAUUAAAAUUAUCCUAGCUUCUAGACGAACAUGAAGAAUAAAAUUAGUCAUUCGAUUAAAUAGGAUGGUCCUACCUACCUGGCAGUUGGAAUAUAAUUUAUUUUCUUACCCAUUGUUAUAGCAAAACUUACAACAUAAGAAUCAAUUGUUUGUGCAAAUAACUAACUAAAUUCGUUGUUCCGAUAGUUUCUAUUCAUUUUCACUUGUCCGAUUCAAUGAUAAAUCAAUUGGCCAUAUAUCCAUUCAAUAUGAUCGAGGAAGAUAAAUGAAAUUCAACAUCAUCUCUCUUACACAGUAUACCAAAAAAUGUAAUUUAGAGCAUACUAUCGAAGAUGUCAAAUAAGCAAGCAAUUGGCUCACAAUUGAUGAAAGCUCAAUUGGAUAGCCCUUAAUUUGGGUUAUGCAUACACCACUUAUAAGAGCAAAAAAAAGUAUGAAAUAUUGCAUUCGGAAUCAACCAAGUGGGCAUUCAGAGGCAGGGCCCUCUAUUGCCUGAUCACGCGCGUAUGUGUUUGCAUGUGUGUCCGCGUGCACGCGCGCGCNNNNNNNNNNNNNNNNNNNNNNNNNNNNNNNNNNNNNNNNNNNNNNNNNNNNNNNNNNNNNNNNNNNNNNNNNNNNNNNNNNNNNNNNNNNNNNNNNNNNNNNNNNNNNNNNNNNNNNNNNNNNNNNNNNNNNNNNNNNNNNNNNNNNNNNNNNNNNNNNNNNNNNNNNNNNNNNNNNNNNNNNNNNNNNNNNNNNNNNNNNNNNNNNNNNNNNNNNNNNNNNNNNNNNNNNNNNNNNNNNNNNNNNNNNNNNNNNNNNNNNNNNNNNNNNCGCGCGCGCGCGGGUGUGUGUGUGUGUGUGUGUGUGUGUGUGUGUGUGUGUGUGUGUGAGAGAGAGAGAGAGAGAGAGAGAGAGAGAGAGAGAGAGAGAGAUGCAACAUCCACAUGGGUUUUGACCAGCUGUAAUGUAACAUAAACAUACAAAAAGAUUAUUUGCCUUCACAUUGUACAUUUAUCAAAGGAGAACUGAUAACUCCACUACAAAUUAAACUUCUAUAUAAUUUCCAAGCAGGCUUCAAUGAUUAGUUGAUAACAGUUUGAAGUGCCAAACCUUUCCACGCCCAUUCAUAGCUGAAUGUCGAGGUAGACCCAAUGAGCUGCAGCGGCGGCACCAUUCACCAAAAACCCGCAUAGCGUCCCACUAAACAAGGGCAUCUGACAUACUGCCUCCAUUUUUAUAUACAAGGCCAUAAACUCAAAUUACAGGUACAAAGUUAAAAAUUUAAUGCAUACUUGGCAAGCCAAAUUUUCCUUUCGUUUACCGGGAUCAUUAAUACGCAACAUGCAUGCAAGGAAACUGAAUGGAGGAAGUAUCUAGUGUCAUUAUAACUGCAUGCAUGCAGGUAUUAAAUAGGAUGCUAGUACGAGGAAAUAUCAUUAAUUCUUUCCUCGAUUACUGUUGGUGGCCAUGUAUUGAUGUAAAAUGUAUAUUUCAUAGUGGCCUUGUAUAAGUAAAUGAAGGGAGUAGAAAAAAACUUCAUCAACUUUGCAUCUGACAUCAAAGGACUUCUGUUUAGCGGCUAUACAUAGAGUCGCAGAGCAAUUAGCAAAAUAAAACAGCUACUUGAGAAGAAAAAGCUUAGAUUAGUUUGUACAGAAAAUGCCUUGGUGACUGUCUCCAAGUACACUGCAUAGUUUACAUCAUGAAGCAUCCACAUGAGAAGGAAAAACAAACAAACGUAUAACUGAGAUCAUUUACCUAUUAAUAAUUGUUUGACGAACUCCAGUGACCUUAACUGAGAUUAUAUCUGCAUCAUUCUUCUCUUACAAAUGCCCGAUGACCUUCAUGUGGAAGAUACUUGCAUUUGUUUGAAGUAUCCUUGCGUUGUGUGCAUUAACAAACCAGAUUGAAAUAUUCCCUUUUAGCAAUAUACAAUUGUGCUCAACCAAACGGAAAAUAAUAAUAAAAAUGUGGGCAUGCCCAUCAUUGAAACAUUAUAUUGGUGCCUAAUUGUUCGUACUCGCUGUACAGUAGGGUUUACCUUGUCGUGGCCUCACGCUCACCUUAAGAGACAGAAAUCUCGUCAGCAGACCUGGACCUGGACCUGGGCUUACUGAAGAUCGUCCCACUUUUUCCUGCCUAAAGGUUGGUCCUGAGCUCCUGAUUAAAAGAUGCAAUUAGGAAAUAUGUAUAUAUUUUCUUCGCAGAUCCAAUACCAUCAUCGCUGGUAUAUUAAAUUACACUACAUCAAACACUGGAUGCCUUUGAAAAAUUCACAUUAAAAUUAUCCUAGCUUCUAGACGAACAUGAAGAAUAAAAUUAGUCAUUCGAUUAAAUAGGAUGGUCCUACCUACCUGGCAGUUGGAAUAUAAUUUAUUUUCUUACCCAUUGUUAUAGCAAAACUUACAACAUAAGAAUCAAUUGUUUGUGCAAAUAACUAACUAAAUUCGUUGUUCCGAUAGUUUCUAUUCAUUUUCACUUGUCCGAUUCAAUGAUAAAUCAAUUGGCCAUAUAUCCAUUCAAUAUGAUCGAGGAAGAUAAAUGAAAUUCAACAUCAUCUCUCUUACACAGUAUACCAAAAAAUGUAAUUUAGAGCAUACUAUCGAAGAUGUCAAAUAAGCAAGCAAUUGGCUCACAAUUGAUGAAAGCUCAAUUGGAUAGCCCUUAAUUUGGGUUAUGCAUACACCACUUAUAAGAGCAAAAAAAAAGUAUGAAAUAUUGCAUUCGGAAUCAACCAAGUGGGCAUCCGGAGGCAGGGCCCUCUAUUGCCUGAUCACGCGCGUAUGUGUUUGCAUGUGUGUCCGCGUGCACGCGCGCGCGGGUGUGUGUGUGUGUGUNNNNNNNNNNNNNNNNNNNNNNNNNNNNNNNNNNNNNNNNNNNNNNNNNNNNNNNNNNNNNNNNNNNNNNNNNNNNNNNNNNNNNNNNNNNNNNNNNNNNNNNNNNNNNNNNNNNNNNNNNNNNNNNNNNNNNNNNNNNNNNNNNNNNNNNNNNNNNNNNNNNNNNNNNNNNNNNNNNNNNNNNNNNNNNNNNNNNNNNNNNNNNNNNNNNNNNNNNNNNNNNNNNNNNNNNNNNNNNNNNNNNNNNNNNNNNNNNNNNNNNNNNNNNNNNNNNNNNNNNNNNNNNNNNNNNNNNNNNNNNNNNNNNNNNNNNNNNNNNNNNNNNNNNNNNNNNNNGAGAGAGAGAGAGAGAGAGAGAGAGAGAGAGAGAUGCAACAUCCACAUGGGUUUUGACCAGCUGUAUUGUAACAUAAACAUACAAAAAGAUUAUUUGCCUUCACAUUGUACAUUUAUCAAAGGAGAACUGAUAACUCCACUACAAAUUAAACUUCUAUAUAAUUUCCAAGCAGGCUUCAAUGAUUAGUUGAUAACAGUUUGAAGUGCCAAACCUUUCCACGCCCAUUCAUAGCUGAAUGUCGAGGUAGACCCAAUGAGCUGCAGCGGCGGCACCAUUCACCAAAAACCCGCAUAGCGUCCCACUAAACAAGGGCAUCUGACAUACUGCCUCCAUUUUUAUAUACAAGGCCAUAAACUCAAAUUACAGGUACAAAGUUAAAAAUUUAAUGCAUACUUGGCAAGCCAAAUUUUCCUUUCGUUUACCGGGAUCAUUAAUACGCAACAUGCAUGCAAGGAAACUGAAUGGAGAAAGUAUCUAGUGUCAUUAUAACUGCAUGCAUGCAGAUAUUAAAUAGGAUGCUAGUACGAGGAAAUAUCAUUAAUUCUUUCCUCGAUUACUGUUGGUGGCCAUGUAUUGAUGUAAAAUGUAUAUUUCAUAGUGGCCUUGUAUAAGUAAAUGAAGGGAGUAGAAAAAAACUUCAUCAACUUUGCAUCUGACAUCAAAGGACUUCUGUUUAGCGGCUAUACAUAGAGUCGCAGAGCAAUUAGCAAAAUAAAACAGCUACUUGAGAAGAAAAAGCUUAGAUUAGUUUGUACAGAAAAUGCCUUGGUGACUGUCUCCAAGUACACUGCAUAGUUUACAUCAUGAAGCAUCCACAUGAGAAGGAAAAACAAACAACGUAUAACUGAGAUCAUUUACCUAUUAAUAAUUGUUUGACGAACUCCAGUGACCUUAACUGAGAUUAUAUCUGCAUCAUUCUUCUCUUACAAAUGCCCGAUGACCUUCAUAUGGAAGAUACUUGCAUUUAUUUGAAGUAUCCUUGCGUUGUGUGCAUUAACAAACCAGAUUGAAAUAUUCCCUUUUAGCAAUAUACAAUUGUGCUCAACCAAACGGAAAAUAAUAAUAAAAAUGUGGGCAUGCCCAUCAUUGAAACAUCAUACUGGUGCCUAAUUGUUCGUACUCGCUGUACAGUAGGGUUUACCUUGUCGUGGCCUCAUGCUCACCUUAAGAGACAGAAAUCUCGUCAGCAGACUCGACACGUGUAACAGUCGCCUGCAACCACGCUUGUCUUGCGGAGCAUCUGCUCUUCGAGGCUCAAGAUUUCGUCCACGUAGACGGUCUAGUCGCUAGACAUGCUCCCUUGAAUGGAGCCUUGCCUUCACGUUCUUUAUGGAUGGCGGAGUGGUUGCACCGAAGUGGCAGAUGCGGAGGAACAAACGGCAUGCGCGAGAUCUAGUGGGCAUCACGGUGGCAAAGCGCCAGAACUAGCAGCCGUCCCGGGGGGCGAUGGGCGGGUGGUGCUGCGAACGGCGCCGGCGCUAACCCUAGUGUGCCGCCAGUUCGGCCCUGCGAUUGCAGUUGGUGUUUUUUUUCAAGNNNNNNNNNNNNNNNNNNNNNNNNNNNNNNNNNNNNNNNNNNNNNNNNNNNNNNNNNNNNNNNNNNNNNNNNNNNNNNNNNNNNNNNNNNNNNNNNNNNNNNNNNNNNNNNNNNNNNNNNNNNNNNNNNNNNNNNNNNNNNNNNNNNNNNNNNNNNNNNNNNNNNNNNNNNNNNNNNNNNNNNNNNNNNNNNNNNNNNNNNNNNNNNNNNNNNNNNNNNNNNNNNNNNNNNNNNNNNNNNNNNNNNNNNNNNNNNNNNNNNNNNNNNNNNNNNNNNNNNNNNNNNNNNNNNNNNNNNNNNNNNNNNNNNNNNNUGGAAGAGGAGGUCGGCGGCGAGCUUGGGGGGAUCGUGGAGCAGGAGGAAGAUGGAAGUGGGGAGGAGGACGAUGGAUGUAGCGAAUAGAUCGAGGGGAGGCUCGUUCCCGUCCGUGUUCGAGAGAUUGAUCGUGAUUGAUUUUCUCACUAAAAACAUUAGUAAAUAAUUUACGCCAGCAUGGAAAGCUCUGAUCCGUUCAGAUUUUUUUCGUUGUGUGAGAGGUUGACACGAAAAUAAACCAGUGGGGGUGGGAGGGGACAAAAAAACUAGCGAAAAAAAGGUUCAAAAUGGUGGGACGAAAAUAAACCGUGGAGUCUAUUCACCAACUCUGACAUUAGAAGUAGAGAUAACUAGUGCUUCCUAAAACCACAACCUCUCCAUUCGAUGUCACAUAACCAAUGCACGGGGUACAAACUCCCUCACUCGAGGGGCAACGAACAUAGCUUAGAUGGUUAGUUUUCUUUUUGUUUUUGUUUUUUAUAGACCCAGUCUAUUAGGGUUUAAGUCUAAGACUUGUCACUGGUGCUCGCUUUUUUUAAGAUUUAUUUUACACUUUUUAGUGAUGUUCGUUCACUAGGGGAAGAUGUUCUCAUCGACUACGAGGCGUCUGUAAUGACUUCAUCAAUUUUAAGAGGUUGUGCUGCUCAAUAUUUCGAACAUGCCGUCGAUUACAAGACGACUGUAAUCACUUCGUCAAUUUCAAGAUAUUGUAUUGGCUCAGUAUAUUAAAGGUGCUUUUAUAUAUAGGGUUAGCUUAAAAACAAAAACAAAAAACUUGGUGUGCGUGCUACGGACUUACGCGAAUUGCCAACAGCGAACAGCCACCUACUCGCACUCGGUAAGGAAGCACAACAAAAUGCUGGGAUCAGGCGUGAAAACGUGACCGCGUCACUCCCGGUACUCCCACAGCAACGUAAAAAGCGGUCGAACCGAGCAGGGGAAGCCACCUCGCAGUCGUACCAAUCCAACGCACCGCACCCGAGUCUCCCGUCUGAGAACCCAACCCCACUCCAUGUCUGCGCCAAUGCCAGGGCCGGAGGUGUUCGACGUCGUCAUCUUCGGAGCAUCGGGCUUUACCGGCAAGUACGUCAUCCGCGAGGCCCUCAAGUUCCUGCCCCCCAACGCCUCCCCGCUCCGCACCCUCGCGCUUGCCGGCCGCAGCCGGGAACGCGUCGCCGCCGCGCUCAGCUGGGCCGCCUCGCCGGGGCCCGUGCCCGACGUCCCCAUCCUCGUCGCCGAUACCUCCGACCCAGCCUCUCUCGCCGUGGUCACCGCGCGGGCGCGCGUCCUGCUCUCCUGCGCGGGGCCCUUCCGCCUCCACGGCCGCCAGGUGGCCGCGGCCUGCGCGGAAGCAGGGGCCCACUGCCUCGACAUCUCCGGCGAGCCCGAGUUCAUGGAACGCGUCGAGGCCGACCUCCACGAGGUCGCCGCCAAGAACGGGUCGCUGAUUGUCUCCGCGUGCGGUUUUGCCUCCACCGUCGCGGACCUGGGGUUCUUGUUCCACUCCAGGCAGUGGACGCCGCCGUCAGCGCCGGUGAGCGUGGUCGCGUAUGUCAACCUGGAGUCGUCGGACAGAAAGAUCGUCGGGAACUUCGCCACGUUUGAGUCGGCCGUUCUCGGGGUGGCCAACACCAGCCAGCUGCAAGCGCUGCGCCGAUCCCGGCCGAGGCCCGCGAAGCCCAGUGUGAGUUACUAAUGUUCUUACAUUUCACUUUUCAAAUUGAUGAUUUACUUAUUUUACAGAUACUAUAAAAACCUUAGUUUAAAAUAGCAAUCUGUUGAGAUGGUAAUGACUCAUGAGGGAUUUUUUCUUUUGCGGGGGUUUGAUUCAUGAGGGAAUUAACAGUACCCAUCAUAUAAACUUUUUUCCCCACACGGUACCCAUCAUAGAAACUAAUAAAUCGAUCACCUAUUAACGUAAUGCGGAAUUUCCUUUUAUUUAUUUACGAGAACAAUUCUUGUACUGCUCAAAGUUUAGGAUUACAAUCACGUCUGACAUUGUCAUUGACGUCCUCUGGACCCACUCCUAGCCAAACAGCCGUACGACUGUUGGAUCUACCUAUCUAUCAUAGUUCACCAUAAAAUGACUAGCAAAAUUAAAACUACGACGUCUGUGAGUAAUACAAGAAGUAUGUUCUUCGAUCAACUUCUUGAUCACCACUACCAAGAAGGCAUAUCUUGAUGUAUUGCUGAUUGAGCUCUUAAUCAUUGCUACUGCCUCCAAGCAAUUGGACUCAAUGUUCACGGGCAAAGUGCUCCACUGUAACACCAGUAAAAGUUCCUCUGAAAUACUCGCUUUGUCAGGAAUUACUUAUCGUAGAAAUGGAUAAAAAUGUAUGUAUCUACAAUUAAAAUAUAUCUAGAUAUAUUCAUUUCUCUGACAAAUAAUCCCUAAUGAAGGGCGUAGCUAAUAAUUCUGCUUCCAGAGCAUUGAACACUCGAAGAGCUGACUAGAAGAAUAGAAAAUAAGGGCACCAGACUGGUCACGUAGAAUCAUACAUGUUCCUCCAUCACCAUUCAUGUACGAGCCAUCAAUGUUCAACUUCACCCUCCCAGGUCCCAGGCCGCGACCAGGUGUGGAGCGACCAGGUGUGGAAAACUGAUCGGCACGUAGUAGCUAUCCAUUUCCCUUUCACAUGGUCGGCAUCUGGCUUAGAGCAUCUCCAGCCGUUCAGCCCCAAGGGCGCCGAAAAAGAGCGGCCUGGGGGCGAACCGGCGCUAGAUCGGCCCCUGAGGCGACCUAGCUCCCAGUAACGCCCCCAGGCGCCGCCCCCCAACCCGCGGCAAAUUCAAAUGUAGUCAUUCCUGCUCACAAAAUAGACGCCACAAAUUCGGCGAUCAUGCGGCCACAGUUCGGCAAUCGAAUGAAUGCGCGUGCAGCACAUCAGACGGCGAGGUCGGCCUCCGGCGUCGGCGUACGCAGGCUUGGCGGGGUCGGAGCUUCUUCUGUACUGGGCGGCGUCGGCGUGGCUUCUGUACUGCGGGGAGUCGUGGAGGCAUCAUCGCUCGGGCUUGGCGGCGGCGUCGGCGUGGGCGUGGGAGUUGGAGGCGCCGUCGACGGCAGCUGGUUCAGGAUGAGGCCCCGCUCGGUCAAGUACCACGCCUUGACAGCCUCAUCGUUGCUCUGGAGCAUGUCCGCCCCGCACAACAGGAAAGCCAGGUCAGUGUUCCUCUUCUUCGCGGCGACGUUGGUCCGGAGUAGGUCGAGCUUGACGGAGCUGCUCGUCAUCAACGCCGACCACCGUGCCUCGGUCUUCUCUUCACGCAGGAUGACCCGGGCAUGCGCAUCGGCGAGGCAAUGCUCGAUGGACUCCUGCACUCGCGCGGUAGCCGCGUCAGCGUGUUUCCCCUUCUUGGCCCCUUUGUUGCCGUCCGGCCGCCCCUCUGACGCGCCCGGCGUCGGCGCGUCCGGCUUGUAGGUCUCCUUGGCCUUGUCGAGGGUGCGCCGGACUUCCGCCCACUUCUCGCACUUGUCAAUGCGCUUGUAAACGUGGAGGUCCUUGAACUCUUGGUCGGCGUUGCCCUGGUGAUACAAGGCAAACAUGCGCACCAGCUGCACGGAGGAACGAACAGUUGGCGGGCGCACACGGUGAAGAGAAAGACUUUCCACGCUUCGGCGAGGCAUUCCUGCUCCUUGGACGCCCACUUGAUGCCCGGCUCGCCGGACCUGGACGCCCCCUUCUUCUUCUUGCGCCUCCUCGCCGGAACAGUCGCCGGCUCGUCCUCCUCCACGUCCUCCUCCUCCUCCUCCUCCUCACCGUAGACGUAGCCGAGCUCGCCAUCCAUGCCGCCGCUGAGAUCCACCGUGUCUUCCAGGGUAGCGAACCCGGGGGACGCGGCGGCCACGGCCGAGCCUGCCGCGAUGAUGUCGUCCAUGUCAGCGUCGGUCUCAUCGGUGUCGCCGAGGUGCGACGUAGAAGCUUGCGAGAAGGGCAGCGCGCCACGGCGGAGAGGGGGCGUUGGGGAGCACGCGUACGCCUGCGGCGAGUAGGUGUAUGGCGGGUACUGCACGCCGGCGAAGGCGGGCGAGGGCGUGCGCUGGGCCGGGUGUCCAUGGGGGAAGGUGAUGUUGGGGUUGAACACACCGUGCGCGUCCCCGUCGGCGUAGCCCGGCGACGGCGUGCAUCCCCAUGGCUGCGGCGAUGACGAGAAGCCGGACGGAGAGCCGACGCUUUGCUGGCUCCACGGUGCGUACUGGGCGUGGCCGCCGGGUGGGUUCAUCAUCCUCACGCGAGUCGCCUCGGCCUCGGCUUGGUCCGCCGCCGCCACAGCGGCACGCGCCGCGUUGUCACGGGCCUUCUUGGCGAUUGCCCUGUUCCGCCGGUCGGCAGUGACAGCCUCCCGUCGCUUAACUUCCGCCCUCCACUCGGCCUUUGUCAUGCCCGGUGGCCUGGGCGACGGCGCCCUCGCCUUCCUCUGCUUCGGCUGGGUGACGGAGGCGGUCGCGGUGGUCGCAGCGCGGGGGAUCACGUACUUCUUCGGCGGCAUGGCGAUGGCUGGGAGGCGAGCGGGAGGGAGAUUGCCAGGAGGAAUGGAGAAAAUGGGAGGGAAAUGGGGAAAAUCGGGAAGAAACGGCGGGAAGAGGCGCUCGACUCGCCGACAGAGCGGCCCCACGCCCCUUUUCGCUUGUGCCGGCGCCCCCAGGCGCCCCAGCGCGCCGGGUUUGGCUCGGGUCCGUCGGCACCAGUUUCGGCCCGAGCCGGCGAAAAACGGGCUGCUGGAGGCGCGACUGGGCCGUUUUUUGGGCGCCGGCGCGGCAGAAACUCCUGGGGAGGGCCUGUUGGGGGCGCGGCUGGAGAUGCUCUUAGCCUCGAUCAACUGAGGAGUAGCUAGGUAGCUCGACAAAAAUCUGACUGAGACUCUGAACUGAGAAUACAACGGUUUUUUCACGGGCCCAGGCUAAAAAAUCCUCACCAAGAUGGAAUGAGGGCCUGAUGUUGCAUAUCUCAUGAAUAUCCGUUGGUAAGAAGAACAUCCGAAGUUUGUUCAUAUCCUAGCAACCAUUGAAGUCUAGCAACUCUGAGAUCCGUUUGAAACUGCAUCUCCCUUUAAUGAGUAUUUAACAUAAAACUAACAGUUUACUUGUUGGUGUCCCACUGAACUACCAUUUUGAAAACGUCAGCAAACAAUUACAACUUUAAGCUAAUAUCGUUGCAAGGCACUAUUUGAUGACCGUUUUAGACGAUUUAAACGUGUUUAUGACAGGCGGGACCCACGCGCCAGGGCUGAUGUGGCAGGAAAGUUAACGCCGUUUAGUUUGACCAUUAAGUUAACCGUUAUUAUAGGUGGGGCCACAGGUCAGCAUCAACCUUCUCUCUCCCCCUCCCUCCGUCUCCCCCCCUUCUCUCUCUCUCUCUCUCUCUCUCUCUCUCUGGUAAUUCAACAAACUCUCCUUCCCCUUUAAUGGAUUUCAGGCCACCAGUAGGUUCUCGUGCUACCCAACGGUCAUGCCAAAUAUGUAAUUUAUGAUCACCUCCCAAAUGGAUGAUGGAUUACCUAAAAAAAAAUGUGUCCUCAAGUGGAUGCGGAAUUUCCUUAAUCUGCCUAUUGAAUUUCAACUAAAGUAUAGUCGGGUGUGCUACAUUUCCUCAUGAUGAAAUUAGUUUAGCUCGAGUUAGAAUAGACAGGAAGUCCCGUCCCAGGUAUGCCAGUGUUGUUCUGUUAGUUACCAUAAAACUGGAACUUUCUAUAUUAUAAAAUCCAGUUAUCCGUCUCUCAGAACAUUUGGAGUUUCUUCCGAAGUGCCAAUUUGGACCAUAUACAAGGAUGUAUGUACUAUGUGUGCUGAUAAUAGUAUUGGUUGGUGUGUUUUGUCAGCUGUCACUAUUCAAGUUGCAUCCUUCAUUGUCUAAAACUUACUAAAACUGAAGUUUUAUGACUAAGCGCCCUAAGCAUGAGCAUUUUCUUCGUUAAGUUGUAUGGCAGUAUCCUUUGUGAUCAUAUUCCUGAUCAAGAUGCAGUUGAUAUCUUAAAAACAUUUGCCAUUCAGAAAAUCCCAACUUGUAUAUUGAAUGGAGCAAAAGGCUAAAAGGUAUUGGGAAAUAAACAUCAAUGUGGUGUUACCAGAUAUCUUUCCUACGUAUAAAGAUUGGAGUUGGUGGUGAGUCCACAUAUGGGUCCAACAUCCUUUUCAAAUAAAUAAAUAAAUACACGUAUCCCCAAAUAUGGAAUUAGCAACCUUCCAAGAGGCAUAUAAACAAAUGUACUUUACUCAUACUACCUCCAUUCGGGUUUAUUAGUCCCUUUCGUAUUUUGUGCCCAACUUUGACCGCAGGUUUGCUUAAUGAAAUAGAAGUUGUAUGUCACAAAACUUAAGUUGUUGGAUUCAUAUUUGAAAGAGGUUUUCAAUGAUACUUUUUUAUGGUAUAUAACUUAUUUUUUAUAGUUAAAUCAAAGGUCAAAGUUUGACUCAAAAUACGUGGGGGGCUAAUAAACCAGGACGGAGGUAGUAUGUGACAUCUAUCAGAAAGAAACAUAUACACUACUUUUAUGUGAGACCCACUUUUUUUUGUAAAAGGCACAAAUAACAAAGAUAAAAUGUGACUUCAACUAAAAAUCGAUCUUGGUUUUAGAUCUCUUCCCAAUCUACUAUAGUCAUUUAAAAUUCUCUAACGCUGCAUAUCUCUCACCGUAUUUUUGCUAAAUUUUCUAAUCGUAAAUCACACAACGGUCAUAAAGAACACUAACAUUAUUUCACCACCUCCAAGCCAAUGGUCACGUGGCAAUGCACGGGCAUCUUGAUAGGUUAUUGGAUAUUUUCAUCUUAGUAACCCCGACGAAAGUAAGAGGGGGUAGUGUUGGAAAAUGCUUUGUGUAGACAAAGAAAAAUGGCUUGGCGGUGUUCUGAAUUCAAGUUAGGUCUGAUAUUUUUAACUGUUCUUGUCUUUGUUGUGCUAGAUUGGGCAUGGCAUAUAGAAUCUUCAAUAUCUUUUAAAGUUAUGUAAUUAUUCAUAAUUAAGAAAUCCUUGCAAAAAAUGUCCACCACAUUUGUUAUAGCCCUGAAUCCCUGAAUCCAAUGUGUGCAAUUAUGACAAAAUAUUUUUUUUGGAUAAUUAUCACAUUUGACGUUAAGAUUUCUCUCUAUGUGCAGAUUCCGGGUCCUCCGCCUCCCAAAGGAUCCUUGAUGAUUGAGCAUGACAAGGCACUAGGACUGUGGGCCAUGAAGUUACCUUCUGCUGACACAGUGGUUGUGAAGAGAACACUAGCAAAUGUGACAGAGCAUCCCGAGGGCCUUCCUUGUGCGGAUGAAACCUCAGAUUUUGAGAAGCAUAGGAAGGAGUUCUGGUCCUCUAUCAAACCUGCGCAUUUCGGUGUGAAGAUCGGCAGUCGUUCCAUCCUGGGCCUUGUGUGGUGCCUGUCGACUGCAAUUUUCGUCGGCAUUCUUGCGGGUUUCUCCUUCGGCAGGUCUCUCUUGCUAAAAUUCCCUGAGUUCUUCUCCCUCGGGUUUUUCAGAAAGACCGGACCAACAGAAGCGGAGGUCAGCAACGCCUCAUUCAAAACAUGGUUCGUCGGCCGUGGCUACAUCGAUUCGGAGCACGCAUCAGAGUGUGGAAGCAAGCUAGACAAGGAGAUCGUCACCAGAGUUUCGGGGCCAGAGAUCGGGUACAUCACGACAUCGAUCGUCCUCGUCCAGUGCGCCCUCAUCCUGCUGAGCCAGCGAGCCAAUCUGCCGAAAGGCGGGGUGUACACGCCCGGCAUCGUCUUCGGCCCCACGGAUCUCCAGAAGCGCCUCGAGGAAAACGGCAUGUCAUUCGACCUCAUCUCCACGAGGACCAUCCCUUCAGAUGAAUAUGCUCAUGCUUCCUAAACUACAUUUCACCUAAAUGUCUAGCAGGCUAGCAAUGAUCAUGGCUUUCCGAAUAAACAUGCAGUUGUCAUGUAUGAAGUAAACAGUAUCACUAGCAGACAUGAAAAGCAAGAAUAAGAUGUGCUCAUGUAAGGUGAAUCGUAUGUCUCCGUGAAAUAUGUAAUAAGCAUGUAAUCCGUGACUUUGCUUAGUUCUGUAAAAGUGAAGAAAUGUUGUCUACGUAAGUUCCAGUUUUCAUAUGAUUAUUACAUGGAACAUGCCAGGGCCAUCUUCUCAAAUUCGGGGCUCCGGGCGAAAAACUAAAAUAGGGCCCAAAUUUUUGAACAAUUCAUGUAACAAAAGAAUUAAUAUGCGUAAUGGAUACUCUCAUUGGAUUACAUGUUCUAUUUUUGAAUAAUUCAUAUAACAAAGUCUCGAGCUGAAGAAGAACAAGAUGGAAACAUGGGUGAUACCACAAUACAACUUCCAGGUAAUGGAUUUUCCAAGUUGCUUGAAUCGUGUACCUUCAUAGUAUGGAAACUGAUAGGAUUUCCUCCUAGUGUUGUAUGGCCUGAUUAUGGAGAGGGAAUCCAUCAACAGGUUAAUUGAGCAGGCAAUAUUAGAUGCGGAUGGAAUAGGGGUCAAAAUGCUCAGGCUUGGAUUCCUAAAUCAUGCAUGUUGACAAAACUCUUCUUGCUUACCCACCAUCGUUUUCACUUUCAGUGAGAUUUUGAUGAAUUUCAAUGAAUAUUAAUAAUUUCAGUGGACAGCAAUAUCUUUACCUUUCGGCCAAAAUAUUCCAGUCAUUUCACUUAUACACAAGAAUACAAAUAUUUUUCAAAAUUUUCAUUUUUUUUUAAUUUUAAGUGAACGUCUUGGUCCUUUGGCCGGAAUGCAAACCGAAAUCACUGAAGUUCAGUAAUUCUGGUAGGUGCUGAAAUAUUUCUGAAAGUUAAAUUUAAAACCACACGCUUAACUCACUCUUUAUACUUUCUUUCACUUGACACUUAGCUUCUGAUCGGGUCAAAAAACAUUCAGAAAUGUUGGCAAAAAACUAUCUAAGGACAACCUUUCGAUUACUCGGACAAGCUAGUGGAACUAAUACGGUUUUUACUAGAAGAAAUACAAGAGUCAGAUGCACUCUUUGCACAAAAAUGGUUAGCGCAAAAUAUUAACCCUCAUAUUCUUGGUCCCAGGAAAAAUAACUCAAUGGAAGUGGUGAAUUAUUUACACAAAAGUAUUCAAAAUUUAGAGUUCGACUUGUUGAUGGAAGUGGCAUAGCAACAACAGUUAUUCUCAAGAGCAUCCGUUUAGAUACAAAGUGGGUGUUUCUCAGUGGAGGCGGUUCUAAGGUAGUACAUGCCACAACUACAGCUUUAUGCGAGAGAGGUGUCCAGGUACCUAUCACCUUGCUACUUUGUUGAUUUCGCAUAGUUGCUCGCUGUUUAUAUGAAUUGGUCUCAUUUCUUGAAAAGGAUGACUAUAAAUAUACGCAAUUUUGUGUAGGUAAUCAUGAACCAAAAGAAGAAAUAUGAAAUUCUCAAACUACAAGUUGCAGAGAGCAGCACUGCCUAUCUGAAAUUCUGCAGUGAUGAAAUACCUCAGGUAAAAGUUACUGAAUGAAAACACUCAAGAAACUUUCUAGGGUGCAGAUAUUGUCAGUGGGGUAUAGUACUACUAGAGAUAUUGGGAAGGAUCGUGAAUGCUUCUAUAAACCUUGCGAAAAUAAUACAUCCAAUGUUUUGUUGAUGGAAAACAGUAGCACAUAUUAUGCUAUAGUGUCAUCGACCAGCAAAUGUCAUGAAAUUACAAUGUAAACCUAUGUGGCUAGCAUAUAUAUUGUAGGAACAAACACUCUGAGAAACAAUAUAUUCAAUGAUUACUUCUUCACUGCUACAGACCUGGAUAGGCGAUAUCAUAGAUGAUAAGCAACAAAUGGGGGCAAUUUACAUCACAGUUUCUCCUUAAGAAGGCACACAAGGAUUGCACAUACAUGAGUAACCCUGCAAUGAGAAGAUCCCAAAGGCAAUGCGGAACAUCCACACUAGUGAGGCAUACUAGCAAUAUAUUCUCAUUAUUAGCUGAUUCUGGAAAUCUCCAGAAAAGCGAAAUAGGAUGAUUUGAUGUCCAUAAUCUGAUAGACACUGACAUGUGUUGCUACUCGCUUUAUGAAUAGAAUUGGCUUCAAAGAGGGUGAUGAGGGCAUGGCACAUUGCUGGAGUUGUACAUGCACUAGAAGGUUGGAGCCUCUCCAUGAGUGCGGAGAUGAUAUGAUGGGCACCGCAAAGGUCUGGCCCAUAGCUAUUAAGUGCGGAUUCAUUCCUCUGUAAAAAGCUUUAUUCUUCUGAACCCUCACGUAUAUAUUGCUCAAUAAUGGUGGGAAGUUGAGAUUCAGCAUUAUGGAGUGUCAGAUAAGCUUAUUGGUUACUAGCUUCAUUUGGCAGGAAUGCAUUUCAAUAGAAAGCCCUAAACACGGUAUCAAUAGAAAAAUACUUAGUUGUAUGAGUACAUGAGCCAACUCACAGAAACUCAUUAAAACAUGUGCCGCAUUAUUAGUGAUAGCAUGCUCUAUAACACUGCUAAUAGCACGCUACGGCAUGUAGAGAAUUGUCUCGCUAAAUAUAUCAGUGUACAAUGUCUUGCUAAUAGCGCGCUAUAGAAUAGCAUAAUUUAGGGGGUGGCGCUUUUUUUACCACGGAAAAAAUCAAACUAUGUAUAGGACCUUAUUUUUUUAAUUAUUUUCCUUGUUGGGUACAUGAGCUAUGAUAGUUGUAUACUUUCGGAAUCCACGGAACAAAGCUAAAGGAAAAUUGCACACAAUUUUCAGCCCACAUGACAGGGGUUCUUAAUUCCUUGGGUUAUAAUAGGGCACCAAAAGUUCUUGGACUAAAAUUUGUGGACAUGGCUAGCGGGCGCCCGAGCGCCCACAGGUAGGAACUAGCGCUCAUCUAAAUAUGGAAAAGAGCAGCUGACGCGCACGACCGUAGUUCACUAAAAAAGAAACCAUGUCCUCGCGUGCAUUUAUUUGGGGAUCCAAAAAGUUUAAAAAACUGUAACUUCUGAUUUAAGUGUCGAAAUUCAAUUUCGUUCUCACAGUUGGCUUUCUCGCGAAGAGUUCUUCGAAACUAGAUCUCACAUAGAUAUGUUUCGUUAAACUUUUUUUGAGGCAACUUUGGGUACGAUGGAGGCAACUUUAGUGCUAUAGAAAAGCAACUUCAUUUUUUCCCAGUAGGACAGCCUAUUAGGUUGGUUUGUGUAAAAAAAAUGAGAAAAUCGCACACAACAUGAGGCACCUUUAGUGCUACAUAUGGAAAAGUCUAAGUUUAUCAUUGAUGGGGCUAUUGGAGGCAAAACAAGGACAAUAACUUUCAGAUCGUUAUGCACUUGAGUAUCACAUAAAAAAUAGCAAUUUUGGGGUGUUUUCGCGCAAUUCCAAUGCAUUCAACAAGCAACUCAUGUGUGUUUCCUAUUGGUUGGUUUGUGUAAAAUGAGAAAAUCAAGAAAAUGUGUGCAAGUCCAACUCAUCUUGUGUGUGUAUGCAACUAUAUACAUCUGUGUAUAGCAAUUGUUCUAGCAAACACUAAGCAACUGCCCCCCCCCCCUAGCAGAAAUCCACACAACUUUCUAGCAAGAUCCAAAGCCACUAUUCCUAGAAAAAAAUUCAAGCAACUGUCCUAGCAAAUCCAAGCAAUUGCAAUACCAAAACACAAUGCAAAAUUGUUUAUACCAAAACCAAGCAAAUGUAUUACCAAACAGCAAUGCACAAUUAUUCUAGCAUAACCGAGCAAUUAUCCUACAAAACUAAGCAGCUGUACUAUCCAAUCCAAGCAACUGCAUUACUAAAUAACAACUAUGAAAAAAAUUGUCCUAGCAAAACCAAGCAACUGUCCCUAGCAUUCCUACUUAGAUUGUCUACUUUAGACAGAAAAAACGUAUGACCAACUUGAAUAGCCUUUGUGGACAACUAUCUUACCCCCUCCCCUCCCCAUGCAACUUAUCUAUUCUAACAAAAAUCCAAAACAAGUCAAUUACAAAGAAAACACAAAAUGAAAAUUGUUGUAGCAAAAUAAUCCAAGCAACCGUCUACCAAAACAAAGCAACUAUAUUACAAAAAAUACGAAUGCAAAAACCUGUUCAAAACGAAUCCAAGAAACUGUCCCAACAAAUCGCGAGAACUUGACAAUGAUAAUUACUUGCCUAACAAUGAUGCCAUGUUUGCAUGUCAUCGCUAAUUAGUUGGCUACGAUACUAGGACAAGUUGUCUGUCGGUGUAGCUCAUACUGCAUGUAUUCUGAAACAUAGUGUUGGCAUACUCAAUUGUGUGGUAGACAACUUAUAUGUGAAUUUAGUGAACAUCAUGGUCAUGAGAGGCAACUUAUUAAGGACUUCUCCUUGAUAGGAAAUUAUAGUAGGCAAACUAAGAAGACGUUGCUUUCCUAUAACACUAAACUUGCCUCUACAGCACCCAAAGUUGCUCAGAAAAAAAGUUCGUCGAAAUAUACCCAUAUGAGAUCUAGUUUUGAAGAACUCGCCGUGAAAAACCCAAUGGUGAAAACGAAUCUAAAUUCCGAUACUCGAACCAAAAGUUAUGGCUUUUUAAAUUUUGUAAAACCCAAAUAAAUGCAUGUAUUUUUUCUUUCUUGACUUGUGUUCGGAUGGGACGAGGACCAGAUAGUUUCCUUUUUUUACUGUAAUGACGACACACACAUUCUUUAUGGUAGGUCUGCUCAGAUGCAAUGUGAGUUUUUUUGUCGCAUAGCAUGUGCGCUCGGAAAGCCCAAUUAGCGCAGCUGCACUGAUAAGUAUUUGGGAAAAUUUAGGGCACCAAAAAAUGUCCAACUCCAAAAGCUGUCACUAAAUAGGUUACCAAAAAAAUGUCGACGCGACCUCAACCUCUACCUCGGAUUGCCUGCUGCCGCGGCCAAAUUGGCGCCAUCCAGCGAGCCCUGGGGCCUCUGCUCGUCAUCACAAGCACACGUGCGACCUUGCGGAGCCUUUGGACAAGUUCUCAGCAAGGUCCGCGGCCCCAAGACCCUUCCCCACAAGCCCGCACACCGGCAGGGGCAGGCAGCGACCCUAGUCUUCUGUGCGUGCAUGCGUGCAGUUCCCUGGCACCCCAUCUUCUCCAAGUGGGUGCUCGCUCGCAGCCAUAGCUCGCCCAGCUCGGCCAUGGCGCAGACAGAACCGGAGCUCCCCGCGACGGCGACAAAAUCAGCCCGGGAAAGAGGGGAAAGGGGGAGGGGUUCGAUUGGAGUCUGUCAGGCUUCAGAACAACAUCUAUCGGUGGCAGGAGUUUUGCGGCCGGCGGCAGUAACGGCAGGGCCGCUGGCGGGCGAGCUGAAAUUUCCGGAUGUGGCCGGCAGUCAGGGCAGCGCGCUGUGUUUUUUGGUUUGGGCAGCCGUUUGGUGGUUUUUUUUAAGAGAAACUGGCGUUUGUUCGGGCUGCCCAAAAAUAUUUGAUGCAAAAUUUAGAUCAAAGAAAACGGUGGGAGCUGCGUUUUUUGGUCCAAAAACACUAAAAACGGUUAUGUUUUAUAGGACUGCUAUUAGAGAUGCUCUAAAAUGACAUAUCGGUGAUGAUAUAUGGUUAAAAAACACCGGGCUAUACCAUUCAAAUGAGGUGGUUAAGUCGAUAAGAAAACAGUCAUCUGAAGUGGGUUUCAGUAUGCCUUCAAUCUUUCGCCUUGAAUACUCCCACUGUUACAAACCAAACGUUUAUUUAGAAGAAAUACAACGCUAGCCCAGGUGGCCGAUGUGUUGUUGGCGAUCAUCGUCGUCCUAUUCUGCCUUCAUUCUCACGACUGCUCCUGACAAGUUGCUAUCACCGUCGUCUUUGUUGCUGUCAAGAGUCCAUGAGCAGGGAUGAGGCAAACCUGUUGGAGGAUAUGGUAGGCGCGUGCCGUAGCAACUUGACACGAGCAUAGGUUUUAGAGAAUGUUGAGCCGUGCGUGCUGUGUCUCUAUUGUACUUGAACUCUUGAUUUCUCAUGAACUCUUCUACUGGCUAUCCGUUAAUCAUCCUGCCGUCCGUGACUAAUAAAUAGAAGCAUGGGCACAAGCUAGGCUUGUACAUCUACGCUCUUUAGCACCACGCACUAGCUAGCAGGAGCAAGAUCACGGUUAAGAACACCUCCUAUAUAUCUGAGGCGGCUUUCAAGGCGGCCUCCAUCUUUCGCUUUCGAGGGGUCCUCAUUGAAGAUGGUAUUUGUACUCGGAAGAGACUGAAGUUCUUAGAUGUGUUGUUGUGAUGUCCUUACACUUUUCGAUCUCCAUGUUGAUAUUAACAGGUGGUGGUUGUGUGAACCCUUGAGAAAUCCUAUUCCAUAAUAAAAUUGUGGAUAAUGCUCACAUGCAUGGGCGACCCAUGAAGAUCUUGCUCGCUUAGCUUGGCUCGCUGCUCCGCUCACUUUUUUUUCGCCCGCUCUACUGCUAGCUAAAACUAUUGUUUUUUAGUUGAAAAUUUUAGCUAAAUCAGAAGAUCUUCAAUAAUUUAGAAAAUGGGCCCAAGAUGUGUCAGGAGGCUUCAAAUCUGAGGGAGCUUAAGACAACUCUAACCGAUCCCCUAUCCGGUGUUAGAGGAGGAUAAACUCCAUUUUUCUCCACUAACCAGCGCCUAGCAGAUCCCCUAAACCGAAUAGAGGAGGAUAUUUUAUCCUCGGCAUCUAUCCCGCGCCCAUAUUUGCUCGGACGCUACUGCUUGGAGGAAAACAAAUCCUCUACCCUAAGCUACCUCACCCAACCAGCUCUAGCGCCACAUCUACGCCGGCGCCAUCCUUCGCAACCCCGCCGCCACGGACGAUGCAUAGGCCCCACCACGUUCCUUGCCCUUGGAUUUGUUCCUCUCUCGCACCAUCGCCGGCGCAGAAUCGGUAGAUCUGCUGCUACCACCGCCGGCGACGACGCCUUUGCCAUGGAUUGGCCGGUUACCGAACCGCACGGCCCGUCAAUGCCUCUCCUUCGCAUGCAGGUAUGGCCUUCGCAUGUAGCCACAUGGAUCUCACUUGUCGGAGGUUCGCGGGUAAAGACACACCUGACUGUCGGCCGGGCUUGGCACUGCCUGCUCGUCGGCUCCUCAUUGCCGAUCAAAGUGCUACGACUGCCAGUGGCAGAUGGUGCGCCGCGUUUCCACCACGCCAGAACACUCCAGAUGGGUGUUCUUCAAGUGCAAAAAAGAUGGGGUGAGUUCUUCUUUUGAUUCGUUAUAAUUCGGAUUCAGCACCGUUUGUAGCUCAUUGAUUGCUCAAAUUUAUGUGUAGGAUGGAUGUAAAUUUUGGCAUUGGGAAGAAGAAUAUAUCGAUCUAUUGAUAGCGAGAAAUGAAAAUGAAAUAAUUUUUUUACUCCAUUAUAUUUAGGGGAUCAGCUAGCUAGGUCCGACUAAUACUUAAUGGAGUAAAAAUACUUCACUAAAGGUUUAUUCCGCUGAAUACUUCUUUAUUUUUAGAGGAUUCGGUUAGAAUUGCCGUUAGUACGUGAAUAAAUGAUAUCACCGUCUGUGUUGCUUUCAAAUGUGCGUGGACAAGUAAAGAUGAGGCAAAGGAGGAUGGCGUGGACAAGUAAAGAUGAGGCAAAGCUGUUGGAGGAUGGCGUGGACAAGUAAAGAUGAUGCAAAGCUGUUGGAGGAUGGCGUGGUGUCCUUUAACUCGUCUACUGUCCGCCACGCAUAAAUACGAGUUGCCGCGCACACGACCAAGGCCAGAGGUCUUUGCUCGUUAGUGCCAUCACACUUGCUAGCAAAGGAGCGUAACACGUUGCGAGCUAUUUUUUUUUUUUGAGGGAAACGCGUUGCGAGAUGGUUGCGUCGUUAUGGUUCUUCUUCUGGCUGGCCUCCCUCGGUGCCCUCCAAGUUUUCGCUCUCAGCAUACGCCUCCUCGCCAAUCUCGUGCUCUUCCUGCGCCGGCCCAAGGAUCUCCGUUGCACAUACGGAGCCUGGGCUGUCGUCACCGGGCCGACAUCAGGCAUCGGACAUGCCAUGUCCCUGGAGCUCGCACGGUCUGGCCUCAAUCUUGUCCUCGUCGGUCGUGACCCCACCAGACUCCGCGAGAUCUCCGAAACGAUCUCUAGGACAUAUGCCAUGCAGACCAAGACCGUGUUGUUCGAUUUCUCCCUCGUAUCCACUGCGCAAGGUAUAAAAGUAUGGAAAUCCUAUCUGGCGACCGUUCGCUGGCAAAUGGGUGACAAACGAACCCUUUUAGUGGCAGUUUUAGUUAUGAGGCAAGAUUAAAUGGUGGAAGUUUUAAGCAAAAAAUUACCUUCUCUGACAAAAAGUAUCAUGUCGCUCUGAACAAACUGUCAUCACCCACAACUAAAAAUGCGACAAAAUCGUUAGCAAAUGCCUCUNNNNNNNNNNNNNNNNNNNNNNNNNNNNNNNNNNNNNNNNNNNNNNNNNNNNNNNNNNNNNNNNNNNNNNNNNNNNNNNNNNNNNNNNNNNNNNNNNNNNNNNNNNNNNNNNNNNNNNNNNNNNNNNNNNNNNNNNNNNNNNNNNNNNNNNNNNNNNNNNNNNNNNNNNNNNNNNNNNNNNNNNNNNNNNNNNNNNNNNNNNNNNNNNNNNNNNNNNNNNNNNNNNNNNNNNNNNNNNNNNNNNNNNNNNNNNNNNNNNNNNNNNGGGGGGGGCGUUCCCCGAAUACACUGACGCGAGUUGCAAAUACAGACAACUUGCCAAUAGCAAACGAGUAAAAAUCAGUACGAAUAGUAUAGAGUGUGUGCCCGUCAGAUCACAGACCAGUCGUCUCAUAUCGUUCGAUCUUCUGCAGGCGACGAGGCGAUGAGUCGCCUCCGGGAGGCCGUGGCGGGACUGAAUGUAGGGGUGCUGGUGAACAACGCUGGGGUGGCGAAGCCGGGCGCGGUGUACCUCCACGAGGUGGACGUGGAAGCGUGGGUGAGGAUGAUACGCGUGAACGUACUGGCGCUAACGGAGGUGACAGCCGAGGUGCUGCCAGGGAUGGUGCGCCGGGGCAGGGGUGCAGUGGUAAACAUCGGCUCGGGCUCAGGAUCGGUCCUUCCCUCCCACCCUCUCUACUCUGUCUACGUCGCCACCAAACGGUACGUCGCGGAGUUCUCCAAGAGUCUCUCCGUGGAGUACCAGAGCGCAUGCAUCGAUGUGCAAUGCCAGGUACGUAGUCAGUGUGUGGCGCUCACAUCCAUCAUGUCACCAGAUUACCUUUGGUUUUGUCGUGUUUGCAGAUCCCAUUCAUUGUGGAGACAAACAUGGUGUCGAGCGCCGUGAAGAACAGCUUCUUUCUUCGCCCAUGGGUGCUGAGCCCGGACGCCUACGCGCGCGCGGCGGUGCGCUGGAUCGGGCACGGGACGCUGUGCAUACCCAACUUCGCCCACCGCCUCCAGUGGUGGUUCACCUGUCUCUUCCCGGACUCCUUCAAAGACAUGAACCUCCUGAAGCGGAAUUUGCAGCACAGAGACAUCUUUAGGAGGAUCAAACCGUUGAGGGAAACGCGGGCGAACUCACGGGAGUGACCAGAUCGGUGCUGGUGUUCCCUCGGAUCAAGGUGGUUCAGAAUUCAGAGUUCAUAGUUGAGGAACACGGGGCUACUUGACUGUGUUGUGCCGAACUUAGAGCAUAUCUACUCAAUCUCUAGAAAAUCAGUCUUUUGUUAUAUGAUCCAUUAUACUUUAACUCCUUACAUUUAAUCUGUCAAAAAAGAAGGGUUCCUAGCCGAACUCUUAAAUUUAACUCCCUAAAAAAUGGACCCUGAUAUCUAUAUCUACUGAAUGUUCGAUAGGAGCACCCGGGAUACUGAACAAGGCGUUUGGGGCGAGCUGUUUUAUAGACCGAACAAAAGCAUUCAUUCUGGCAACCCAAGAUCACGAACACACGCGACACCACCGCGGCGCUCGAGCGAGACCCGAAUUACAUCGAGGGUGCCCGAAAAAUCUCUCCAAACCUCAGAUCCCCAUCGCCGCACCAACCUAACCCCCAACUUCCCUCGAUCCCCUAUGUUGUUCUUCCUCGUUCUUGAAGCUGUCAUGAGAAGAGCGGAUGAACCCUAGGGUGAUCUCGCACUACUAGAAAAACAUAUGUAGCCUUGUGUUUCUCCAUAUGCCGAGUGUAUAUUAUCGGCCGCCCGGCUUACACAUCUGUAAGCCGUGUAUCAAUGGCGCGGCACACGACAACGACCUGGACCUGGGCGUACCUCCACGUACGGCGCGACACAGCACAAAAAUGCUCGUUGUAUAGAAAAAGACUCAAUGUAUUUAGGAGAAAUCUGAGUGUGAACUUGGAGCACACGGCAAACACCCGGGCCACGUGGCCGUGCUCGUCCAUGUUGACGCCACCGUGAUGGGCGGUGUGUAAGCCGUGCGCCACGCGUGUACACUAUGUCCCACCAAGUAUUCACAUGGCGUAAUUACAGCUGCCAGCCUUUGACUGCAUACCCUUGCUCACACACAAUGACGCCGUCCCGUCAUCGCACCUCGUGGUCGAGCGGAUUCCAUUGCCAGUAGCCAUUAAUGGCGGCAUAGUGCGGGGCACCUAUNNNNNNNNNNNNNNNNNNNNNNNNNNNNNNNNNNNNNNNNNNNNNNNNNNNNNNNNNNNNNNNNNNNNNNNNNNNNNNNNNNNNNNNNNNNNNNNNNNNNNNNNNNNNNNNNNNNNNNNNNNNNNNNNNNNNNNNNNNNNNNNNNNNNNNNNNNNNNNNNNNNNNNNNNNNNNNNNNNNNNNNNNNNNNNNNNNNNNNNNNNNNNNNNNNNNNNNNNNNNNNNNNNNNNNNNNNNNNNNNNNNNNNNNNNNNNNNNNNNNNNNNNNNNNNNNNNNNNNNNNNNNNNNNNNNNNNNNNNNNNNNNNNNNNNNNNNNNNNNNNNNNNNNNNCGCCCGCGCCUACAAAUGUGCCUCCUCUCCGCAUCGAUGUCGCACAUAGCUCGCUCCUGCUGUCGAACUUAGACAGCCAACGCGCCUCGCCUCCUCACCCAACGCUGCGAUGCCUCGCCACGACCAUGAAGCCGGUGACGGGCCUAAUUUUAGCAGAUCUCGAGGUAGGGAUCCUAAGCUAGAUUUCUUGGAGUGAUGAGAGACACGGGAUUUUACCCAGCUCUGGGCUCUACGAGGAGAUAAACCCUACGUCUUGCUUGUGUUGUAUUGCGUUGGGGUAUAGUACAUACUAUAGUGUCUGCCAUGAGAUUGUUCUUGUCUAGUGGAGAGGAGUCAUCCGCGGAUAAGGAGUUCUUGUCCCAAACGGCAAGGCUUCUGGAAUCUUUUUUGUAUGUGUCAUGGGCCACCCAAAGUGGCCCCGGAUGGAACCUGAUCUUGGGGUCCUCGGCCCGGCCUGCCAGUCCAGGGAGUUGACAUGGUGAGAGGCCCCAUCACUGGUAGAGAAUAGGCCUUUAGUCCCGGUUCGCAAAGGCCAUUAAUCCCGGCUGUGCAACCGGGACUAAAUAUGCGCGACUAAAGCCCCCCCCCCUUUAGUCGCGCCUCUUACGAACCGCGACUAAAGGCCCGUCCACGUGGGCGCCAGGAGUCCGUCGGAGCGGAGGACCUUUAGUCCCGGUUCUCGUGGCUAACCGGGACUAAAGGCCUCCUCCGCAGGUUUAGGGUUUUAGCCCCCCUAAACCUGGUUUCUUUUUAAUUUGUAGUGUUUUAUUUCUUUUAUAUUUUAUUUUGUGUUUUAAUUUUGAUGAAGUUUCAGUACACAUAUUCUACGCUACUAUAUACAUGCAUAUGAAAUUUCAAACAAGAAGAAUUCAAGAGGAAUAUAUAAUAUAUAUUCAAUCUCGGGUGACCAUAUACAACUUCGAACAAGUUUCCAUACACAAUUAGGAUGGAUGACCAUAUACAACUUCGAACAAGUUUCAAUCUCGGGUAUGCAUAUAAAUUUCUUCGUCCUCGGUAUAGUGUUCUCCUUUAGGAUUGAUGACUUCCCUCUUGAAAAAUCCUGCUAAUUCAUCUUGAAUUGGUCGGAAGCGAGCUUCUGGACUAAGCCUCCUCCGCAAGUUAUCUGUCGCCUUCCGCACGCUAUCCGAUGCCUUCCGCUCAGAGGUGUGUCUCCGGAUGUUCUCACAAACAUAGUAUCCACAUAGAUUGGUCCCCGGUGGCUGCUUAUCCACAUUAACUAACCUUCUAAAAUCUAGCUCAUGUUUGAAUUCACCGACAAUUUCUUCUGAGAACCGUCUCCAAACCCUACAGGGCAAAGAAAAUUAAAUGAACAAGGGAGUUAUUAGUUACAUGAUAUUAGGAAAUGAACGAAAGAAACCGAUCGAUAUAGGGCUCAAAUGAUUGAAAAUAAUUACUUUGCAGCAUUUUUCUCAUGUCGGCCCAACGCUUUGGAUCCGAAUCCAUAGAGUCCAUGAUUAGAACUCUGGAGGUGUGAAGUUCAAUAUUUAGCAGAAUCCAGUGGAACCUGCGGACACGUUACAUGCACAGUCAUGCAUAACUCAUCGAUUAGACAUACCAUGCAUGGAGUAAACAAAAGAGAAUGGGCACAAGAGAGAAACACUCACCCAAAAUGGUAAGGAAAUAGAAUAUGACUUUUGAGUUGAUGCUUUCAAAGAAACUUGUACAAGUCUUUCUCCACAUCUUCGGGGUGAUUUUGUAACACAUGUCCAUUAACGAUAUGUGGGUCAAUGAACCCAACAUCAUGGAUGUUUCUUAUUUUGCAUUCCCAAAUCUUCAAUCUGCAUAAUAGCGUACGCNNNNNNNNNNNNNNNNNNNNNNNNNNNNNNNNNNNNNNNNNNNNNNNNNNNNNNNNNNNNNNNNNNNNNNNNNNNNNNNNNNNNNNNNNNNNNNNNNNNNNNNNNNNNNNNNNNNNNNNNNNNNNNNNNNNNNNNNNNNNNNNNNNNNNNNNNNNNNNNNNNNNNNNNNNNNNNNNNNNNNNNNNNNNNNNNNNNNNNNNNNNNNNNNNNNNNNNNNNNNNNNNNNNNNNNNNNNNNNNNNNNNNNNNNNNNNNNNNNNNNNNNNNNNNNNNNNNNNNNNNNNNNNNNNNNNNNNNNNNNNNNNNNNNNNNNNNNNNNNNNNNNNNNNNNNNNNNNNNNNNNNNNNNNNNNNNNNNNNNNNNNNNNNNNNNNNNNNNNNAGAACGAGAUGAGGUAGAAAUAAAUCACUUACAGAACGUAGCACCUCAGCAUAGAUUUGUCGAGGUCGCGCAGAUUGAACAGCUGGAACAAUUCACUCAUAUGAACUUGUACAGAGUACCGUUUGGUGUGAUGCUCCUCUGUAACAUCCGCAUAAACAUAUUCUUUGUCGGCCCAUGUUAUGAAUUGCUUGUACCAACGUAGCAGAUUUCGCAUUUGUGGUGGUAGACUCUUAUCCCGCGCAGGCUCGACGAGAGGCCCAUUCCGCACAUAUUGUAAUGCUAUCUCACAUACUGGCGCAUCCUCAAGGCCUAAGAAGGCACGAAGAGUCAAACCCAUCUCGGACGCUUGUUUCAUGGCACUCGCUAUAGUCAAUCCAAGUGCUGCCGCAGCUGCUAUGAUCUCGGGGUCCUCUUCCGGACCGGCUUUCACUAUGAGCGGGGGGAUCGAUUGUUUAUUCUGCAUCCCGAGCUGGUCAACUUGUUUCCCGCUUUUUUUUACUUUCUUCUUUCUCCUCCUUCAAUAUUUUUGCUUGCCUACGAAGUUCAUGUCCAUAGUCGUCAGGCAUAUUCAGCUCGGCUUGGGACGGUGUCGUCAAAAAAUCCUUAGCCCACUUCUUUUGCUUCUCAAUGAAUACUUGCUUGGGCUCAGGCUCUUUUAUCGCCUUCAUAUCCGCCUUCCAUUUCUCAUAAUGAGCAGACGCGGCCAAUUUGGUUUCAGCUUCACUAAGUUCCCAAGGCCUUGGGAGGAGAGGCUUCAGUGAUGGCUCCGGUACCCUUGUGGUCUUAGGUACAUAAGGGUCCGGGUUAAUAGUCCAGGAGCGGGUUUCCUUGCUGUCCGCCUGCUUCUGCUUCUUCGCCGGAGGUGGAUUGGGGGGCGUCGUACCCGCCGGAGGAGGAUUGGGGGGCGUCGUACCCGCCGGAGGUUGUGGAUCGGGGGACGGUGUUGAAUGGCGUGAAGGAGGUGUAGGUGAACCACCACUACCACCACCACCGCCACCACCACCACCACCACCAUCGGAGGGGGGUGGACUUGUUAGCCUUGGCGCCUCGCCUGGAAACACUAUGUACUUCUUUUUCCAUAGAAUGAUCUGGCGCUUGACAUCUCCAAGUCUUUUCUCCCCUUCGGGUGUAGCUUUGUCAAUCUCCAGGUCCUCAAACCCUUGGACUAUGUCUUCCACCGUGACACGAGCAUAGCCAUAUGCAAUGGGGUUGUUGUGGUGGAGUGCUCCAGGUGUACAGGGUAAAGCACUGCCGGUAGCUACCUUCGUGGAAACGUUCCCCACGGGAUAAUGCAGAUCACAUUCUUUCAUCUCUUUUACAUCAUCCACGGGGUAGUGAGGCUCCGGUGCAUGAAUCUCGAUCAUCGGUGCAUUAGCACCAGGCGGGGCAUCCGUGGAAGCCACGCUGCUUCUCCGCUGCUAGCUUCCGCGAUCCACUUCAUGAUCUUCAUGCGGCCCUGCAGCCGAUUUUUCUUUUACUAGUUCAUGCACGGUCUGCUUCAACUCAUGGAGUUCCGAUGCAAACUUCGCGAGAAGAUCUGCAUCCCGGUCCGUCUUUCUCUUACGGCUUCUGUAACAGUACGGGUCAUUGUCCUGGGAAAACCCUACUUUCCACGGAACUCUGCCUUUGCCUCGUACACGUCCUCCGUGUUCAUCAUUCCUGAGGGCUGUUGUCAGUGCGUCUUUCUCUCUGUUGAACUUGAUCAAGCCCUCUUGAGCUUGGGUCAUUGCGUCAAUAAGGGCUUGGGUGGGAGCAAACUUUUUCUUCCGGUGAACACACACCCCUGUCUCCGGGUCUAGCGAUCCCCCAUGCCCGUACCACCAGCUUUUGGCCCUUGGGUCCCAUCCCUCUGUACCUAGAGGGAUUCCUCGCACCCUCAGGUCCUCCUCCAUCUUCUGCCACUUAGGCUCCGAAAGGCGGUAUCCUCCUGGCCCCAUAAUAUGAUGGAACUUUUUCUUACUCGCAUUAUCCUUAUUUUUUUCGAUAUUUCCUUGAAAUGCUCCGAUUGCUUUUGCCUCACAAAUUCUGGCCAAUCAUCUUUCAGUUUCUCAUGUUGUCCAUUGAAAUCCGGAGUCUUGCCCUUGUUGACAUAGUCACGGGUUAAAUUUUUCUUGAAGUUCCGGAAUGCUUCGCCCAUCUUCUGAAGAGCGAACUCUUUAACUAGCCUCCUCCUCUCACGUCCACCCGGAACCUCGUUACCGAAUUCAUCGACUUUGUUGUAUUCCGGAGGUAGAAUGAAAUGUUCCAUAAGCUUUCUCCAGCAAUCCUUUUUCGUUCUCUUGUCGACAAAACUGAAACCAAGCCGUGCCUUCUUUGGCUCCUUCCAUUCCUGGACGGUGAUCAGGACGUUGUCUCUAACAACGACUCCGCAUUGGUUGAUAAACUUUGAGGUGUGCUGUAGGGGCUUGCCGGUUUCACUGACAAAAUCAAUGGCAUAUGUUUCUCCUGUUUUCAUCGCCUUGGAUUUGCCACGCUUUGUCGUACUCGAUCCGACCGAGGGCUAAAAAAAGAAAGAGAGUCGCGCGCGUUAAUACAUAUGUAUUCACAUUUCAGUAAGUUUGUAUCACGAGAGGCUCAAUGUAUAUAUAUACCUCGCCGGAGGUGGUUGCUACUUGCAAUUCGAGAUCGUCGUUUGUUGACGGUUGACCUCCGUCGACAAUGUCCGUUCCUUCACCUUCUUGAUCAUCGACAAUGUCUGUUCCACCGUCAAGGUUCAGAAAAGAAGAGACUACAUCCUCUUCUUGCUCAUAUUCUGAGCCCGGCACAUAAGGAAUCUCGUUGUUUAUGAUGCCCAUUAAAUAAUGUUCAGCCUCCGGAUCCCUAAGCGGCUCGGCUCUAUCGUCCGCCAUAUGUCACUCCUGCAUGUAGUAAAAAUUAAUUAAGUAUAAAGGAAUUAAAAAAUAAGAUUAAGGGGACAUAGAGGAGGAGGAAUUAAAAAAUAAGAUUAUUGAGCACNNNNNNNNNNNNNNNNNNNNNNNNNNNNNNNNNNNNNNNNNNNNNNNNNNNNNNNNNNNNNNNNNNNNNNNNNNNNNNNNNNNNNNNNNNNNNNNNNNNNNNNNNNNNNNNNNNNNNNNNNNNNNNNNNNNNNNNNNNNNNNNNNNNNNNNNNNNNNNNNNNNNNNNNNNNNNNNNNNNNNNNNNNNNNNNNNNNNNNNNNNNNNNNNNNNNNNNNNNNNNNNNNNNNNNNNNNNNNNNNNNNNNNNNNNNNNNNNNNNNNNNNNNNNNNNNNNNNNNNNNNNNNNNNNNNNNNNNNNNNNNNNNNNNNNNNNNNNNNNNNNNNNNNNNNNNNNNNNNNNNNNNNNNNNNNNNNNNNNNNNNNNNNNNNNNNNNNNNNNNNNNNNNNNNNNNNNNNNNNNNNNNNNNNNNNNNNNNNNNNNNNNNNNNNNNNNNNNNNNNNNNNNNNNNNNNNNNNNNNNNNNNNNNNNNNNNNNNNNNNNNNNNNNNNNNNNNNNNNNNNNNNNNNNNNNNNNNNNNNNNNNNNNNNNNNNNNNNNNNNNNNNNNNNNNNNNNNNNNNNNNNNNNNNNNNNNNNNNNNNNNNNNNNNNNNNNNNNNNNNNNNNNNNNNNNNNNNNNNNNNNNNNNNNNNNNNNNNNNNNNNNNNNNNNNNNNNNNNNNNNNNNNNNNNNNNNNNNNNNNNNNNNNNNNNNNNNNNNNNNNNNNNNNNNNNNNNNNNNNNNNNNNNNNNNNNNNNNNNNNNNNNNNNNNNNNNNNNNNNNNNNNNNNNNNNNNNNNNNNNNNNNNNNNNNNNNNNNNNNNNNNNNNNNNNNNNNNNNNNNNNNNNNNNNNNNNNNNNNNNNNNNNNNNNNNNNNNNNNNNNNNNNNNNNNNNNNNNNNNNNNNNNNNNNNNNNNNNNNNNNNNNNNNNNNNNNNNNNNNNNNNNNNNNNNNNNNNNNNNNNNNNNNNNNNNNNNNNNNNNNNNNNNNNNNNNNNNNNNNNNNNNNNNNNNNNNNNNNNNNNNNNNNNNNNNNNNNNNNNNNNNNNNNNNNNNNNNNNNNNNNNNNNNNNNNNNNNNNNNNNNNNNNNNNNNNNNNNNNNNNNNNNNNNNNNNNNNNNNNNNNNNNNNNNNNNNNNNNNNNNNNNNNNNNNNNNNNNNNNNNNNNNNNNNNNNNNNNNNNNNNNNNNNNNNNNNNNNNNNNNNNNNNNNNNNNNNNNNNNNNNNNNNNNNNNNNNNNNNNNNNNNNNNNNNNNNNNNNNNNNNNNNNNNNNNNNNNNNNNNNNNNNNNNNNNNNNNNNNNNNNNNNNNNNNNNNNNNNNNNNNNNNNNNNNNNNNNNNNNNNNNNNNNNNNNNNNNNNNNNNNNNNNNNNNNNNNNNNNNNNNNNNNNNNUUACGAUUGUGCCGUAUCCAUGGAGCAUCCUCAUCAUUUAACUUAAUGCUUGGGUCAGUGUUCACUUUGAAGGGCGGAAUUUCACCAAACAUAUUAUAAUCUUCUGACAUGUCUGUCUUGUCCUCCACUCCCACGAUGUUUCUUUUCCCUGAAAGAACAAUGUGGCGCUUUGGAUCAUCGCAUGAUGUACUGAUCGUUUUCUUAUCUUUCUGUUUUCUCGGUUUGCUACUCAUGUCCUUCAAAUAAAAAACCUGAGCGACAUCUUUGGCAAGGACGAAUGGUUCGUCAAGGUAACCAAGAUUGUUGAAAUCCACCAUUGUCAUUCCGUAUUGCUCGUCCACCUUUACCCCACCUCCUGUUAGCUUGAACCAUUUGCACCGGAACAAAGGGACCUUAAAGGAGGGUCCAUAGUCAAGUUCCCAUAUCUCCUCUAUGUAACCAUAAUAUGUGACCUUUUGCCCAUUCUCGGUUGCUGCAUCAAAGCGGACACCACUGUUUUGGUUGGUGCUCUUUUUAUCUUGGGCGAUGGUGUAAAAUGUAUUCCCAUUUAUCUCGUACCCUUGGAAAGUCGUUAUAGUCGAAGAUGGUGUCUUGGCCAACAUGUACACCUGAUCUCCAACAUCAUUGUCAUUCAUUAAAUGUUUUAGCAACCAACUGCCGAAAGUCUCCAUGUGGGCCUUUCUAAUCCAGGAUUCAGGCUUCCCCGGGUUGUCCGAGCGUAAAAUAUUCUUGUGUUGCUCGAAGUACGGAGCCACCAAGCUGGAAUUUUGCAGAACUGUGUGGUGUGCUUCAGUCAUAGAAUGACCGUCCAUACAUAUCGUUGAUUUCCUUCCGAUCGUGCCUUUUCCACUUAGUCUCCCCUCGUGCCGCGACUGAGGAAUACCAAUCGGCUUAAGGUCAGGAACAUAGUCAAUACAGAACUCAAUUACCUCCUCAUUUCCAUAGCCCUUGACGAUGCUUCCUUCUAGCCUAGCACGGUUACGAACAUAUUUCUUUAAUACUCCCAUGAACCUCUCAAAGGGGAACAUAUUGUGUAGAAAUACAGGACCGAGAAUGGAAAUCUCUUCGACUAGGUGGAGCAGGAGGUGCGUCAUAAUAUCGAAGAAGGAUGGUGGGAACACCAACUCUUCUAGCCUAGAUCUUCUGGAUUGAUUACCUUCUGAGAGAUUGCAUUGAGGAAUGCACAUAGCUUCACAAUGGCUACUCGAACAUUUUCCGGUAGGAGCCCCCUCAAAGCAAUCGGAAGCAAUUGCGUCAUAAUCACGUGGCAGUCGUGAGACUUCAGGUUUUGGAACUUUUUCUCCGCCAUGUUUAUUAUUCCCUUUAUAUUCGACGAGAAGCCAGACGGGACCUUCAUACUGCUCAGGCAUUCAAAAAAAAUGACCUUCUCUUCUUUGGUAAGAGCGUAGCUGGCACGACCUUGAAACCAUUCCGGAUGCCGGUCAUCUGGGUCUUUCAAAAGUUGCUGGUCCUGCCGUGCUUCCUUUGUAUCAUUUGUCUUCCCAUACACGCCCAAGAAGCUUAGCAGGUUCACGCAAAUAUUCUUUGUAACAUGCAUCACGUCGAUUGCAGAGCGGACAUCUAGGACUUUCCAAUAUUCUAGCUCCAAAAAUAUAGAUUUCUUCUUCCACAUGGGUGCGUGCCCGUCAACUCCCCGCGGAACUGAUUGUCCGCCAGGACCCUUUCCAAAGAUGACUUUCAAAUCCUUGACCAUAUCAAAUAUCUCAGCACCAGUACGUUCCGCAGGCUUCGGCCGGUGAUCUGCCUUGCCGUUGAAAUGCUUGCCUUUCUUUCUUACGUUAUGAUUUCGGGGAAGAAAUCGACGAUGACCCAGGUACACGUUCUUCUUACAAUUAACCAAACGUACACUUUCAGUCUCAUGUAAGCAAUGCGUGCAUGCAUUGUAUCCCUUAUUUGUCUGUCCCGAAAGGUUACUGAGAGCAGGCCAAUCGUUGAUGGUUACAAAAAGCAACGCUCGUAGGUCAAAUUCCUCUCCUUUGUGCUCAUCCCAGACACGUACACCAGGUCUGCCCCACAACUGUAAAAGUUCAUCAACUAAUGGCCUUAGGUACACAUCGAUGUCGUUCCCGGGUUGCUUUGGACCUUGGAUGAGCACUGGCAUCAUAAUGAACUUCCGCUUCAUGCACAACCAAGGAGGAAGGUUGUAGAUGCAUAGAGUCACGGGCCAGGUGCUAUGGCUGGAGCUCUGCUCGCCAAAAGGAUUCAUGCCAUCAGUACUUAGACCAAAUCUUAUGUUCCUUGCGUCAGCUACAAAAUCUUUGAACACUCUGUCGAUCUUUCUCCAUUGCGUUCCAUCAGCGGUGUGUCUCAACUCCCCGUCGGACUUACAGUCCUCUUUGUGCCAUCGCAACGACUUGGCAUGCUUUUUGUUUCUGAACAGACGUUUCAACCGUGGUAUUAUAGGAGCAUACCACAUCACCUUGGCGAGAACCCUCUUCCUGGGUUUCUCGCCCUCAACAUCGUCACCAGGGUCAUCGCCUCUGAUCUUAUAACGCAAUGCAGUGCAUAUAGGGCAUUCAUUCAAAUUCUCGUAUUCACCGCGGUAGAGGAUGUAGUCGUUAAUGCAUGCAUGUAUCUUCAGAACCUCUAAACCUAGAGGGCAGACAACCUUCUUUGCUUCGUACGUACUGGCGGGCAACUCGUUAUUCUUCGGAAACAUAUUCUUCAACAUUUUCAGCAAAUUUUAAAAUGAUGAGUCACCUACACCUUCCUGUGCCUUCCAUUUUAGCAAAUCCAGUGUGCAGCCCAGCUUUUUCAGACUAUUAUCGCAUCCUGGAUACAAUGACUUUUUGUGAUCCUCUAACAUGCGAUCCAAAUUCUCCCUCUCCUUGUCAGUUUCGCAGCGUCUCCGUGCAUCAGCAAUGGUCCGACCAAGAUCAUCAACGGGCUCAUCAUGUGCCUCUUCUUCACCUUCACCUAACCCUUCCCCACCUUCAGCAUCAUCCUCCAUGAAAGUAUCACCGAAAUGAUCAUGAUAGUUGUCAUCGAUAUCAUCCCCUUCUUCAUCUUCUUCCAUUCUAACCCCUCUUUCUCCAUGCUUGGUCCAACAAUUAUAGCUUCGCAUGAAACCGUGCCGAAGCAGGUGCAUGUGAACGUCUCUUGAGGAGGAGUAACCCUUCUGAUUCUUACAGACAGCACAUGGACAGAUAAUAAAACCUCGCUGCUUGUUCGCAUUUGCCACUACGAGGAAAUCUUUCAAACCCGUAGUGAACUCGCCGGAGAGUCGGGGACCGUACAUCCAUUGCCGAUUCAUCUGCAUUAUUAUUAUAUAAAGUAUAUAAUUAACCAUCAUGCAUUUGUUAAACUAACUAGCUAGAAAUAAUACAAAUUAAACAAUGAACUACACACAUGCAUAUUUUAUCAAUGACACAUGAAAGGUUCAAGUUGCUAACCGCGAUCGCGGAGGAAAAAUAAAUGAGAAAGCUCAAGUGUGGCUCGGACACUUCAUAUCAUGUUUGUUUCAUGCUCUCGGGCAUUUCAUCGAACACCUUGUGUGCAUAGGAGGAACCAAAAGCAAACCCACCACCCCCCUUCUGAAUUGUGGCUAAGUGAAGUGAGCUGAGUCCUAUAUAUAGGGAUGGGCCUUUAGUACCGAUUGGCCUGGCCAACCGCGACUAAAGGCCUUCGGGCCAGCCUGAGGACCUUUAGUCCCGGUUGGCCAGGCCAACCGGGACUAAAGCCCCUCCCGUCCGCCAGCUGUCGACCGAGCGCGCUGGGCCCAGAUAGUUGGUCGCGGGUCUCCUUCCGAACCGCGACUAAAGACCCCUUUUGUCGCGGUUCGAUUAUUUUAGGGACUAAUGGGGGCGUAUGGAAGCCUCUUUUUCUACUAGUGCAUAGCCGGGACACUGUAAGUAACCCAUGAACCAAUCUUGAAGUCUAGCUGCACCUCGGCUUAUCCGAGUUGCUCGUUGUCUUCGGUCACAGGUCUUGAAACUAGUUCAACAACAACUUUCCACCAUCAGUGUCUUCUUGCAACCGAGCAUCAACAUCGGACUGCAUCCAAGGUGAAGUACAACACCUUGGCCCUGAAAAUGUUGAGGAGUAUGGCCGAGCUACAUGCGGGAAAAGUCUCCCAUGCAGCCAACCGCACAGUCAGCCUCCACCAAUCUGAAUAAACAUCCGCAUAUUUCUAUUAUACUUCCAUCUUACUAAGGUUGACAAUGACUGGUGUGGUGUACUAUUUUCACAACGACUUCCACUGGAUCCUCAUUGUUAUAUUCCCAAUGACUGCCUAUCCUUAUUCUUGGAUUUGAAUAAAAAAAUCAAGAGAAACUACAACAAACUGAAUAGAUGAAGCUCUAAACAUGUUCGAUGGCAUGGAAGGAAGAGAAACAAUGAAGGCAUUGUGCGGUUCGGCCACAACACAACCUUAUGUUGCAUUCAACAGUCUGAAUACGCAAGGACCUCCCCUUGGUACGUCAUGUACCACAUGUAAGAAUUCACAGGGAUCAUAGGACCUUUUCCCACAGAAGGAUGGCGCCACCAAAUGGGGUUCAAGCCCUUGCCGCUCUCACACGUGAUGACUCCAGAGUCGACUUCAAACAGAUCCAAUAGACACUCGUCGAAAUCAUCAACAAGGACGUCUGCGGUGAGACAGGGAUCUUCUACGGCGGUGGCGUAUCAACCCUUCAGGAGCAACUUCAUCGCUACAUACAACAGUGAACACGUGAUGUUGUGUUUAAAAACAGUUCAAACAUUGUUCCUAACUUGACCGUGUAGCUAUACUUACCAUACCUUUCAUGUAGUUGCUACAAUUAAGUCAUUAUGAUGCAUGCUGGAAGUUAGCAAUUAUCUUUACACGAGUAACCUUACUUUCUAUAUGUUGCUAUAUAUGUUUGAUAUGGGUGAUUCAAGCUGAUAUUUGCUCUCUUCGUUACCGAACGUCAAAGAUUCGUCAAUAGCAACUUCAACGACGCCGGGCCGCUGCCCCAUGCAAAGUCACCGCAGUCAAAUACAUGCUUAUAAUUCAACCAUAUCUAUGCCUUAUGUAAUGUGUGAAUUCAAUACUUUAAUUACUUAAAGCAUUCUUUUCAUAUGAUAGACACAACCUUUGUAAACAAAUAUAAGACGUUUUAGAGACUUGAGACAAGCCUGCAAAACAUCUUAUAUUUUUUUACAGAGGAAGUAUGUGACAAAAAAUGUGUAAAUGCUACCACGAUGGCAAACGCUGCAAUGGCAGACAAAUUUUGGCCUCCAAAAUAUACUAGCAGCGGGCGCAAAAGCAUGAACGUAACCAACAUGCUGACAAAUUAGCGGCGCCCUGCAAUCUUGAACGCAGCUAGUUGCUAAAUUGCAUGUCGCGUUCAAACAUGACGAACGGUGCUAGUUCGGACCUAACGGCGGCAUUCGUGGAGCGAACGCUUCUAGUAGCUGCAUUACCAGUGGUGUUCACAGGGUGCACCACUAGUAUCCAGUUACCAGCAGUGUAGUAGUAGCAGUGUGCCAGCGAAACACUGCUAGUAGACACUUAUGCACGUUGCUGGUUAGGGUGUCCUAUACUAGUAUAGUGAUCAAUUCUUUGUGAUUUAUUCGCGAUGUGUGAGUGGUGUCCUCGGGCUAACGGUUAAGAUAUAGCCUCACAGCCCAAUGUACGCCCAUAAAGGGAAUGUCGGUUUACUUUUUGAUAGGACAUUCUUUCUAUGUGUUGUGCAAUGAUUUUGUAUCUUGUCUCGACCUCGAUCCUAGUAUCGCAGGUACCUGAGAUACUGAAGAUCGGAACAAGGAGAGGUAAAGUGCUGAGAGGAGCAGGAAGCUAUGCUAAACGUCGAUGGCACUAAGAUUAGUACGGCGACAAAAUCAAGUCUCUGGGGUAGAUAUGGUGUAGUCAUACAAAAAAUGCCUACUGCAUUGGUGUCGUUAUCCUUAAUAUCUGAGCUGACCCGUAAGUUAGAUAAGUCCUUGGAUUGACAAUAGUACCACGGCUCGGCGGCAGCUAGCCGUGGGGUUAUUAGGACACAUCUCCCGCAUAAUUCAUGCACAAGAUAUAUGUAAUGUUGUACCAUUGCUAGGUUGAUUUCUUUAGAUCGUCUCCCUAGAAGAUGUACACGGCUGUAGGUGAAACCUUAAGCCUUAUCCUAUUACUUUAUUAUUGUAUUUUAAUCGCCUCUCCAGUUUGUUCAAGGAACUGAAACAUUUUGAGAUAACAAGUACUUGCAAAUAUUUCCUUGCGAACCAUCAUCACUACCUAGCACUACUAGGAAAAACCUUAUACACAGAAUCUUAGCAGCAGCGUGGUUUAAAAACAAACGCUACUGCUAAUUAGCAGUAGCGAGCUUCAGGAAACCGCGCUACUAAUAGCCCAGUAGCAGUAGCGCUCUAGGUGAAACAAGCGCUACUACUAUAAUUGCCACGGCGUUACCUCCAGGCUAGGUAUAGUAGUAGCGCCCUUCCUCUGGACCCGCUACUGCUAAAGUACUUAGUAGCAGCAUUUUUCUUCAAAACUCGCUGCUGCUAAGUAUCACCCCCCUUGCAACUAAUGAAGUUUAGUCCCAUACUGCUAAGCGAACAAGGUGUUUACCACCUUAAAUAUGUUACUUCUCAAACUAUCUCGAGCACUUGGUCUUCAUUGAACUAUAUGUGUAGGAUUUGUGGGUGCAAUAUGAAUCCUCACCUGUGCCUAUACAGUUACGGUGAGGAUUCAUGUUGACUAUUUAGAUUCUACACAAAAAUAUCAAUGAUGACCAAUGAUAUUUUUGAUAUUUUUACAUGCUUAGACUUAGCAGUAGCGUUUUUUUAGGACAAAGCGCUACUGAUAUUGGGCUUAGCAGUAGCGCGCUCCCCGUGCCCGCGCUACUGCUAGAGCAAAACAAAACACGCGGCCCGGCAGGCCCCCCGCAUGCUCAUCUCUCAAUCGUCCCCCUCCGCCCGACGCCGGCAGCUGCGGUUAGGGUUUCUCCUCCGCCACCGCCGCCGCAGGUAAUGCUCCUCCCCCCUCUCCCCGCCCCUCCGCUGCUCCUCCACCCUCUCGCCGCCCACUCUGUCGCUGCCCGCGAGCUCUGGCCGGGCGCCUUUGGCCGACCGCCCUCGAUCCCCUCGCCGGCCGCUGUCGUCGCCCCCUCUCGUAGGAAAGUCACCGGCCUUCCCCUCGUCAGCACCCCCAACCGAGGUCACCAUGCCAUCCCCCCUCCUCGACAGCACCCCCCGAGGGCUGCCCUACCUAGAUGCAGCAAGGGCUUACGAAUUUCAUAUGGAUAACUAGAUGCUUUUGUUUUUCUGUAAUAAGUUAUUUUUUGCAAAAUGUAGGUGCCAAUUUAGCUGAAAUGCUUUGGUAGGUGGUACCGUGAUCUGCUAGAUAUUGGUUUUGAUACAAGUAUUUAGUUUGCAAGUGCUAAGUCAAUCCCAAUUAAAUUUGCCACUUGUUUUUUUAAUCAGUUAUCUUAGGCAAUAGGGGCCAAAUUAGAUGAAAUGUGUCUUGGUAGGUGUGGUACUUUGAUUUGGUAGAUAACUUAUUACAGAUCUUAGGAUUAUACCUUUGGUAGGGGCCAAAUAGUUUUUUCGGCAAUAGGUGCCACUGAAAUGCUUUCGUAGGUGAUACCUUGUCAUCUUGUAUGUUACUAGAUCUUAGGAUUAUAAUUGUCCAUCAAAUUGCUUCUCGCGGAAGAAUCUCUUCAUCAAAUUGAGAGCUUGUUGUUUACUUUUUGGGAUCGGGUUCCACUAUGAAAAUAUAACUGAAGAAGAACCAAAAAUAUCACAUGCUAUUAUUUUUAUUUCCUGUGAAGUGGAUCGUUCAUCCUUUGCUCAUAUUGCUUUAGGAAAAUGGCGCCACCACCACCACCACCAUGUCGACUGUGCAAGUCAAGGUGCGCCAGCAGCCUUGCAACUGGCAACCUAUUCAGCGUCUACUUCCAGCCGAGUUUUCGUCAUGCGGCGGUAAGAAAUUAGAUGAAAUGUAACAACUAUUUUAUUUUUAGUGUUGGCAUUACUGCAUUGUGUCAUUUUGCUUUUUUUACACAGAUCGUCCCAUGCAAUGUGAGGUUGAAAUUCAACAACCUGACAGGAGACACUGUGACAUUUGAGGCUCCUAGGGGCCGUACACUAUGGAGGUCGAGAAAGGACGCAAUAUGUCGCAGAUUGGAGGAGAUGGAUGGGCCCAUUUCCUCGCCCGCAUGCGUCUUACUGGUGGUGAGUUGAUCAGCUUCUCCUUCAGAGCAGAAAGACCCAAGCUGGCUAUCAUUUAUAUCAACCUGGUGGAAGAUGAUGAAGAUGACGAAGAUGAUGAAGAUAAUGAGGACCCACUGGAUGAAGAUGAUGAGAACCCACUUCAUGAAGCCAUCAUAGCUCAAAGAAUGAGGCUGAGCGAGGAGGAGGUGUGCAACCUAUGGGACAUAAUUCCGCCACGUGAUGACUUUGUCGGGGUGCCAUUCGUGACCCGCCUGACAAGUACCAUGGUCGAUCGGCAUGAAAUGGUAUGUUAUACUGACUGUAGUAAUUUGAUGAUAUAUAUAUAUAUAUGCUUUAUUGUUAUACUUACAAAUGCAAAUUAUCCGAUGAUAUGCUUAGUGUAGAGUCAAAUGAUAUGCUGUGUAGAAUCUAGUCGAUGAUAUGCUUUAGUGUAGAGUCUGAUCACAUGCUUAUUAGUGUAGAUUCCAAGGAACUAUUAAUAGUGUAGAUAAUCCAUAUAUACUUAUUAGUAGAAUUAAUGCUUAAUUAGUACAAAUGUGUAGUACUGUGUCUUUUGAUAGUGUAGAAAUCUAUACUUAACAGAAAUAUAUUUGCAAGAGUAUGUGCGAGGCUAUUUAUUAAUUGAUAUGUUUUUCUUAUUCAGAAAUUGCCAAAGAACUUAUCUGUGAGUUGUGGUAUCGAGCCUGAUGAAGAAGGCUCAGCUGGACUACGCCUUACCGCAAGGGGCUCCGUCACCACAUGUACUUACCGCAUGGACACAGACGGUCGCACACACUUAAACUCGGUUGGGCGGAAGAGAUUCCUCGUUGGCAAGAAUCUUCGUGUUGGACAGGCCAUCCUAAUUACUAUCAGGAACACCCACCGCCCAGGCUUGAGGAUGAUGAUCGUCGUCGAUAUCAUCUAGAACUACAUAUGUGUGUGUGGCUAUAUCAUCUAGAACUACAUAUGAUGAUCGUCGUCGAUAUCAUGUAGAACUACAUAUGAUGAUCGUCAUUGAUAUCAUCUAGAACUACAUAUGAUGAUUGUCGUCGAUAUCACCUAGUACUGCUUGAGGAUGCAUGUUGAGUAUAUAUGAAAUUGUUAUCUAGUACUCCCUCCGUUCCAAAUUACUCGUCGUGGAUUUAGUUCAAAUUUGAACUAAAACCACGAUGAGUAAUUUGGAACCGAGGGAGUACUACCUAGUACCUAUAAUGCUUUAUGAAAUUGAUAUAUUGUAGUACCUAGUAUCUGGAAAUUGCAAUUUAUUGAAGCUGAAACAGGGUAGGAAGCCAGGGGAAAUGAUGAAAGAUAUAGCAGUAGCGAGGCUAGGAAAUCACUACAGCUAAUUAAUAGUAGCGCGUUCUGGAAAAGCGCUGCUGAUAUAGUCAAUAGUAGUAGCGCGGGUACAGACCGCGCUACUACUAACAGUUAGCUAUAGCGCCGUAGUAGUAGCGCGGCUGCCCGCGCUGUUGAUAGCCUCAAAACCCGCGCUACUACUAGGGUUUUCCCUAGUAGUGUAGAUUCAAUAAAUUCUAGGGUCUUUGGGGAAGAAGGCUAUAUCUACAUCUAAAACCGGAUCGUAGGUAUGUCACUUCCUUUGACAUGGAUCCCUUUGUCGUGAGGUGCCGGAGGAACGCCACCAACGUGAUACCCGAGGAGCAAUCGACAUUCGCUUGUGCGGAGUAGAGAUCUCGGGCCAUGGGGGAGACAUCCUCCUCCUAGGGUGGUGCCACUAUGAUGUAACACAAUGCGUUCCGGUUCAUUGGAGCCUCCUGGUAUUUAGUUGGGGGAUGCAAAGCUCUCCUUCGCCGAGGGCACUCAUCCCAAAAGCUCAUCGCCGGUUGAGGUAUGAGAUUCUGGAUUGUUGUGUGACAAGAGGCAUUGUUAUACACAUGCAACUUGCCAAAGUCAUCAUACGGAAAACUCCGACACUUGAACUUGAAGAUUUGUUCCCUAGCAAAGAAAGUAGUGAGGAUUCGUCUCUCCGCCCCGUCGAGGACGAAGUGCAGGGAACCAAGGGAGAGAUCCCGGCCCGAUGAGAAGCCACUGGUAUUCUGGGUUGGAGUGGCCAUCUCCAUCCGAUCGGCGGACCCGAGCGCACCGUCUCUACUGGCGCGUCAACAGUCGGUGGCUCUCCGAGAGGAGGUAAGACCUUACUACAGCAAUUUGUGGUUAGAUUGCCCAAGUACUCACCGGCGAUCAGGAGGAUUACUAGAGAGAUCGGUUUCUUGGGUUACAAGCACUCUGGCUGACGACUGAGAGGAAGAAAAUGGAGGUAGGUGAGAACUCUAACUCUAUGAUGAUAUAGCAUAUGUUUUAUGACUUCAUACCCUCCAUAGAAUGCCUUAUAUAUUCGGUAAGGCUAGGGUUACAUCAGCUGGACCGACCCAAGGUGGGUUGGCCACAUCUGUAGCCCCGUGCCCAUUAGAUAUCUUUCCCAAGCUCCAUAGGGUGGCGCAAUGGUCGUCUUGAGUAUUCGUCUUGGGUGGUUAGCUUGGCCCGGUGAAAGGGCUCUACCAGGGGUCUCAGGUUUCCAAUGGUCAUAUGCUCGUCACCUUGCGAGGGCCGGACACGAUACACACGCAGUAGGUAGAAGCAGCAAUGAUAGCGAUGUAGCACGGGCGGGGGCACGCCGGUAUAGAGUAGGACACCGCUAGAGGCGGUGUUAGCCAUGGCCAAUCUAGGCAUGCUGAUAUCGAACACGAGCAUGGCGAGUCCAGUAGUGGCCAUGCCAAGCAUGCAGAGCCAAUUCUUGUUGUAGUUCGUUCUCAUUGAGUACCAGCCUGGCUCCAAUGUCGCGUUUUCAAUACAUCGAGCUCGACAACACCAUUGUCUCCAUGCAAAAGCUAGUUUUGGGGCUUUUAGAAAACUCGGUCGUACUUAUCCAUGAUUUAGAUAGAUAACCCAAACUUGUUCUUUGGGGGUUACAACCGAAAUCACGUUUAUGUAAACCUUGUUACCUAGAAUCUCUCAAUCCAAACAUCCUCUAAAGAUGCAAUCGCACAAAAUCACAUAAUUUGUUUUCCUACAUUCCAACUCUUACAAAUUAUCACAUAAAAUGGGUCUCAUUUAUUUUCGUAUAGAACAAUUAUAUGCACUUAUACUUUCUAAACUUUGUACAUGCAUGGGUUGCUGAGUAGUAAACCAAAUCGGAGAUAAAAACAUUCACUUAAGUAACACAAAUGCCACCAGCAUAGCAACAACAUGUUUUAUGCGAUCAAACGUCGUAAAAAGCAUGUUUUUCAUGACUUGGAUUUGAGUACUUCUGUCCAGAGUGUACCCUGGAAGGUCAAGCCACUGAAAAAUACAGUUGGGGAAGUGGAUACUGUGAAUAAAUGAAGACUGGUAAUGGAAAAGCAAACACGCAUGGGCACAUGAAAAAAAGGAGUGCACAUGGAAAAGAAGACUUCUUACCAGAAUAUUGUGAAACCGUAUUGUAAUAUCCAGCCGUCCAUGCAUAUAUAAAUUCAACCGGAGCUUGAAGUUCUUACCAGAGCUUGCUUGCUGAAGUAGCUGCUUACCUUGGAAGAGAGAAAAUUCAUCGCUCAUCCAUCACCAUGGCAACAAGGCCGGGCCCUUUGACCGAAUGGCCAUGGCAUUGGAUGGGCAGCUUCAAGGUAUGUUAUAUUUUGUCUCUCUGAUAUUAGUUGUGGGUUCCCAAAGGUAGGACGUGACGUUUUAUUUUAUCUAUCUAAAUUCAUGUUCAUAUAUUGAGUAACAUCCUCUCUCUCUCUAGAAUAUAUAUCCUUCAGAAAAGGUAACAUUAAAUUAAAGAAAGUUUUAUAUGCAUCGUAAUGUCAAGUGGAACCGGCAUUACAUGAAGAGUUGCAUGUUGCAGCGAACACAUGUGUUAUCAAUUAAUUAUAAUUACUUGUAUUUUAAAUUGCAAAUAGAGUAUUAAAUUCUAGCAUAAGCGUUCCAGUCUCAUCUUGCCAAUUCACCGAGUACUUUUCAGUUUUCACAUGUUCCAGAAAUGUUGCUUCAAGAAAACGAUGAAAGUAAACAGUAGUACUCCCUCCGAUUCAAAAUAAGUGUCGUGGUUUUAGUUCAAAUUUCUAUUUAUUUUUUUAUUUUUUUAUGAGGUACUCCCUCAGUGUCAAGAUGUAAGACGGUAUUUGAGUCUCAAUUUAAUCCAAAAAAAAAGCCUUACAUUUUGAUACAGAGGAAGUACCAUUCUAUUUUGCACUGACUAAUUUUAGAAAACACAAGAAAUAGAGAGGAAAGGGACCUUUGACAAAUUCCUUGCUUCUUUGCACUGUGGAUAGCAACCUGAGUACAAUAACAUAUGCGCCUGUAAAAUCUCUGAUAGCAGCAAUCAAAUCAUACAGAUGUAUGUAUUGCUGGGCAGCUCAAGUCCUUCUCAUGAAACCUUGAACUGUCUUUGUUCCUUGGCCUUGCGAUCCUAAUAUGAAUUGCCUGCAGUAGCUUUAUUUUUCAAGUAGAAUGACAUACACAAACCUCCUUUUCACUUCAAAACCAAGACGUUUGCAAACUUAAAGCCACGGCAACUUUGAAACGGUCACAGAUCUAAUUGCCACAUGCUAUACGCCGCUGAUUAACUCCCAAUUUCCCAUUCAUCAAUGUCACAUGAUAUUCUAACCAUGCACCGCUCAUAUGUAGUACCUGGUCUUGGCGCCCGCGGCGUUGCACACUGCGCACAGUGUGGUCACCAAGGGAUGGGGAGACAUGAACCUAGUAUACGCCGCCAUGUUACCAGCUCUGCUUCUGAGGUUGUUCCACAACCAGAUCUGGAUCAGCUUGUCUCGCCACCAGACCGCACGGAGGAAGCACAUCAUUGUUGACCGCAGCCUUGAAUUCGACCAGGUCGACCGGGAGAGAUCCUGGUAAGUGAUAUAUAUUCACAGCCUGCUAUAUAUUCACUUCUAGUUGUAUCACACUCAAAUUACCUGAAAUCUAAAAGAUGAUAUGUUGCGUGUAAUGCUAAUAAGUUAUCCUUACCAUUCUGUACAGGGAUGACCAGGCCAUCCUUGCUACGCUGUUUUUCUACGUGGCCUAUGCGGCCAUCCCGAGUGUCAGACUCAUGCCAAUGUGGGAAACAAAGGGAGCUAUCGCCAUUGCGUUGCUUCACGUAGGACCUGUUGAGUUUAUCUACUACUGGUUCCACAGGGCGCUGCACCACCAUUUCCUCUACUCCCGCUACCACUCCCACCACCAUGCCUCCAUCGUCACAGAGCCUAUAACAGGUAAGUAACCUCAUUCAGGGAUGAGAGGGUUAAUACAACGAUGCACAACGCCACCAAGUUAUUCACAAACAAGGAUCGCACAAAAAAAAUCAUUUCAUUACUAGUGGCAUUAAGUUCACAAGUGCCUAGAUUAUGGUUGCUUCGGGUAACAAAUCAUUGUGUUAAGUUCACAAACAAGGAUCGCACAAAAAAAUCAUUUCAUUACUAGUGGCAUUAAGUUUACAAGUGUCUAGAUUAUACUUGCUUCGGGUUGAGUUCACAAGUUUCUAGAUUUCUAAACAUUGUACACAAUACAGAUUCACGUUUAAGAUUUAAACUGUGCUAAGAAGAAACAAAAAAUGCGAAAAAAAGGAAAAGAAAGAGUCAAACUAUGUCAUGAAUGAAAUGCGGCAGCACUAAAAAUCCAUGAUAUAUGCAUGUUGCAUGGUACAGAGACUCUGAUGUUCAAAUCGGACGGAUGUUAGUUGACCAGGCUAGCAAAUCCAAUGGCUAAAACAAUUCGGAUGACGUGGAAGCACACAUGUAUAGAAAAAUAGCAAUUAAUGACUUGUAGUGUGGUUUGUCUGUAAAAGAUAUAUACAUAUUGCAACCAAUUUGACCAAUUUGUGUUCUAAAACUGCCAAAAACCACUAGACUUUUUUUUAUGGAAAUGCUAAAAAUAUGAUGUCAGAUUUUUACGCAUGGGAAAUGAAACAUUUUUUAUGUCGAAUUACCGUAUUGCAAGCAUAUCAAUUCCCUUCAGCGAGCAUGACAAAUCCUGGGAAAAAAACUGAACAUGCCAGGAGUUGCCAUGCUUGCUGAAGGAUAUUGCCAGGCUCGUGUCACGUAAUUUGCCAAAAAAACGUUCAAUUUGGCAUGUUUAAAAAACUGACAUCAGACCUUUUUAAGAUAAUAACCACUAGAUAUAAAUGACAUCUGAAAGCAUCUGUACAUGCAUCAAAGUCCCGUUGGUUGGAGUUACAAUAUCCAUUCUGAUUCCACGAGUAUAAGAAAUUCAAAGCAUAGAUAUGUCCAAAAUAAAAAAUAGAAGAAUCAGGAUAACAUUCUGAGACCAAAAAUACUAUUCAGAAAUGAGGUGUUUACCAUCUUGGUCCUUCCAAAAAUAAUCUAGUUCAGAUUUCUCUACAUGUUCUAUUGCUUAACAAAUCUCUAAGUGAUUGCUGCGUUAACAAUUAGUGUUGUGUUUUGCACAAAGCAUCUUGAUUUGGUAUAUAUGAAGGUUUAAAUCUAAUGAAAUUUUACCAUAUGAUUGGCAGCUGUCAUCCAUCCAUUUGUUGAAACCUUAGCUUACUUCCUGUUAUUUUCGAUCCCCAUGCUGAUACCAAUUUAUAUGGGAUAUGGUUCUGUCUUGGGUGUUGUCCUAUACCUGGCUUGCAACGACUUCAUAAAUAAUAUGGGACACUGCAAUUUUGAGAUGCUCCCAAAGUGGAUCUUCCAACGUUUCCCUCCUCUCAAGUAUCUCAUGUACACUCCAUCGUAAGUAUAGCAUUUUAAGUUCAACCUUGCAAUCAUGUUAGUGCUGAGACUUUAGGUCCAUUAUGUUCUUACUCAAAUUUUACCAGUGGAUACUGCAAACAUGAACAAAUAGUUGAAAUCUUUAGACAUAGCUUCAUAAAACCACAAACCAAAUUAUUCAAAGGUAUUUUCCAUUUCCCCCAUAGGUAUCAUUCUCUCCAUCAUACAAAGUUUCGUACAAACUACUCAUUGGCUAUGCCAAUCUAUGACUACAUAUUCAACACCAUGGACAAGUCAACAGACGAGUUGUAUGAGAGAACACUGAUUGGAACAGAGGAAACACCAGAUGUUGUUCACUUGACGCAUAUGACCACCUUGCAGUCGACUUAUCAUCUAAGGGUUGGGAUUGCCUCUGUAGCCUCUCGGCCCUCAGAUAACCAUGUAUGGUAUAUGUGGAUGAUAUGGCCAAUGGCAUGGCUAUCAAUGGUACUAGCAUGGGUUUAUGGAUCAUCUGCGUUUGUCGUCGAAAGUCUCAAGCUGAAGAAGAUCAUGAUGCAAACAUGGCUGAUACCAAGAUACAACUUCCAGGUAAUGGAUUUUCCACGUUACAUGAAUCCUAUACCUUCAUAGUGUUGCAAACUGAUAGGAUUUUCUCCAUCUGCAGUACAGCCUGAUUAGGGAGAGGGAAUCCAUCAAUAGGUUAAUUGAGCAGGCAAUAUCAGAUGCGGAUCAAAGAGGGGUCAAAGUGCUCAGUCUUGGACUUUUCAAUCAGGCAUGUUGACAAAAAAAUUCUUUCUUAACCACCACCUUUUUCACUUUGAUUGAGAUUUUGAUGAAUUUCACUGAAUAACAAUAAUUGUAGUAGACACAAUUUUUUUUACAUUUCGAUCAAAAUAUUUCAGUCAUUUCAGUUGUACACAAGAAUACAAAUAUUUUCAAAAUAUUCAGUUUUUCUAAUUUCGAGUGAACAUCUCGGUCCUUUGGCCGGAAUACAAACCGAUAUCAUUGAAAUUCAGUAAUUCUGGUAGGUGCUGAAAUAUUUCUCAAAGUGAAGUUAAAACCACGUGCUAAACACACUCUUCAUACAUUCUUCCACGUGACACCUAACUUCUGAUUGGGUCACAAAACAUUCAGAAAUGUUGGCAAAAAACUAUGUAAGGACAACCUUUUGAUUAGUCCGACUAGUUUGUGGAACUAAUACGGUUUUGACUAGAAGUGCUACAAGAGUCAGAUGCACUUUUUGCACACAGAUGAUUAGCGCAAAUAUAUUAACCCUCACAUUCUUGGUCCCAGGAAAGACAACUCAAUGGAAGUGGUGAAUUAUUUACACAAAAAUAUCCAAAAUUGAGAGUUCGACUUGUUGACGGAAGUGGCUUAGCAACAGCAGUUGUUCUCAAGAGCAUCCCUUUAGAUACAAAGCGGGUGUUUCUCUGUGGAGGCGGUUCUAAGGUAGCACAUGCCACAGCUACAGCUUUAUGCGAGAGAGGUGUCCAGGUACCUAACUUUCACCUUGCUACUUUGUUGAUUUCGUUUAGUAGCUCACUUUUUGUAUGAGUUGGUCCCAUUUCUUGAAAGAAUGACUAUAAAUAUACGCAAUUUUGUGUAGGUAAUCAUGAACCAAAAGAAGGAAUAUGACAUGCUGAAAUUGCGAGUUGCAGAGAGCAGCACUGCCUAUCUAAAAUUCUCCAGUGAUGAGAUACCUCAGGUAAAUUGAAAGUUAUACAGAAAAAGGAAUGAAAACCCUCAAGAAGCUUUCUAGCUAGGGUGCAUAUAUGGUAAGUGGAGUAUAUGUAAUUAAAUAUAACUACUAGAGAUAUUAGACAAUACAGUGAAUGCUUAUAAAAAAUUGCUNNNNNNNNNNNNNNNNNNNNNNNNNNNNNNNNNNNNNNNNNNNNNNNNNNNNNNNNNNNNNNNNNNNNNNNNNNNNNNNNNNNNNNNNNNNNNNNNNNNNNNNNNNNNNNNNNNNNNNNNNNNNNNNNNNNNNNNNNNNNNNNNNNNNNNNNNNNNNNNNNNNNNNNNNNNNNNNNNNNNNNNNNNNNNNNNNNNNNNNNNNNNNNNNNNNNNNNNNNNNNNNNNNNNNNNNNNNNNNNNNNNNNNNNNNNNNNNNNNNNNNNNNNNNNNNNNNNNNNNNNNNNNNNNNNNNNNNUGUUUUACGGAAAACAGUAGCAAACAUUAAGCUAUAGUGUCAUCUUCCAGCAAAUGACAACGAUUAGAAUGUAAACCCAUGUAGCUACCAUAGUAGGAAGAAAAGAAACACUCUGAUAAGCAAUAUAUUCAAUAAUUACUUCUUCAUUGCUACAGAUCUGGAUAGGAGAUAUCAUAGAUGAUCAGCAACAAAUGGGGGCACCAAGAGGAGCAACAUUUAUUCCUACAUCACAGUUUCCCUUUAAGAAGAUACGCAAGGAUUGCACUUACUUGAGUAGCCCUGCAAUGAGGAUCCCAGAGGCAAUGCAGAACGUCCAUACCUGUGAGGUGCUAGCAGUAUAUAUGUUCUCAUUGCCUUUUUGCGAAAAUAGAUGAUCUCAUUGCCUGAUUAUGUAAAUUUUGUGAUAGCGAAAUAGGACAUUUGACAUACACAGAUUCUUAUCCAAGAUUAGAAUAGAUAAUCUGAUAGAUACUAAUAUGUGUUUCUACUCCCUUCAUGAAUAGAAUUGGCUUCCAAGAAGGGUCAUGAGCGCAUGGCGCAUUGCUGGAAUGGUACAUGCACUAGAAGGUUGGGGCAUCCAUGAGUGUGGAGAUGAUAUGAUGGACAUCGAGCAAGUUUUGUCGGCAGCUAUUAAGCAUGGAUUCAUUCCUCUGUAAAAAACUUGAUUCUUCUGAAUCCUCCCAUAUAUGUUACACGAUAAUGUUGAGCUGCAGUGUUAUGGAGUGUCAGAUAUGCUUAUUGGCUUAGUAGCUUCAAUGGGCAGACAUGUAUUUGGGUAGAAAGCCCUAAAGAUGGUAUCAAUAGCAAAAACUUAUGAGUGCAUGAAAUGUAUGAAUCGCCAACUCACAGAAACUCAUUAAAGCAUGUUACCCAUUAUCAGUGACAUUCAGAUUCGAACUUUAAAUGGCCAUGGAAUAAGGCAAUUCAAAGAGAGAUCCAACACACUUCGGGUUUUUUCUAUCAGCAUUGGUCUUUCUUCUGGAUUUGGGUAGUAAGAAGUAAUUUUAUCGCCCCACGCCCAAACCUCCCGGAUACCACAAAACUGUGAACCUUGUUGGGCAUUGGUGUUGUCGUAAUCGAUUCUGCAAGAUUGAAAGAGUAGCUAGUCGAGAUUAGACACUACUGGAAAAGUCAACUACGCCUACCAGAUUCGCUGGAAGAAGCCCCGAACUCCGAUCUAGAACGUUCGACUUAGAUCGAGGUUCGAAUUAGUUUAGUUCGAUUGGAAAUCGCUGCCCGAUUCACCGAACUCAAAUCAAUCUCAACUUUUCUCCCCAUUUGUUGAUUUCAAUUGAACCCAAAAAAGGAAUCCAUGUAUCAUCUAUUACAGGCUAGACGCUGUUGCAGCUAUCCUCAAUUGCCAAGGCUGCCCACAUGACGACGGCGUGGGGACAUGGUUGCCUGAGCAUCGCAGCUCCUGUUGUGCAUCGUUGAUACAUGCCUGGAGGCUCCUCUCCUGCUUCCCCCAGGGCACGAGCACCACGCGAGUGAGCAGGAAGGGAUGGGGUGUGCAAUAAGGUCGAGACGAACUAGCAUAAGAACGGAGGAAAGUUGUUUUUUUACAUAGUACAAUUAAAAUUGCUCACAUACACAAGAAUCAAGUCACCCCUAUGAACACAUGCACACACACCCUAAACCUAUGAGCAUCUUCGAGAGACCGAGUCAGUAUAGCAUCUUGAGAUUUUACCAAGUCACCAUCGGCGCCUCGUAGUUGAUGGAACGUCUUCUCCAGCUGAACGGACAUUGCCGAAAGCCUGAAAUAAAUUCAGGAAUAAUACAAGCACCAAUGUCAAAUCUAAGAUUUAAACUUUGAUGGAAUGAGGAUACCACUGUCCUUCUAACCAUCCAACACAUGUUGAUUCGAAAUGAAGGAAAGAUGUUGUGCGGGAAGCGAGGUAGAAGAAGAUGUGCGUGUGACCGUGUGUGGCGGAUGGCAUCAAAGGACCGGCUAAGACGUCUGGACGAGAAGAGAGCAACUAGUUAACGAUCGCUCCUUCGGGAGCCUCCCAACAAUCACUUGGGGCUGGGCUGAGAGCACGCCAGCCGCCAUGUGUGGCGCUCUUGGGGUUUCCUCCGGAUUUUUUUUGGCACAUGUAUCUGUCUUUUUAGACGGUUUUUUUGGGUUUUUUCGCCUGUUUGGUUUUCCACUGGCCUUUCUUAGAUUUUGUAUGAAAUAAAUUGAAAUAUUUUUUUGCGAGAAAACACGUGUUCCUAUAUUGUCCUUUCGCGAGAGGCAUGGUUUUUCUUUCGUGAGAGGCACGAUCGUGCCUCUCGGAAAUGGAAAAAAUGAGAGGCACGGUUUUGCUUCCGUGAGAGGCAUGGUUUUGCUUUCGCGGGAUGCACGGCCGUGCCUCUCGGAAACGAAAAAAAACAUGUUUUUACCUUCCGCAAGAGGAACGGUUUUGCUUCCGAGAGAGGCACAGUUUGCUUUCAUGAGGGGCACGGCCGUGCCUCUCGAAAAAAAAAGGUGUUUUCUUUUUCUUUUCCUUCCUCGAGAGGCACGGUUUUGCUUCUGCGAGUGGCAUGGCUGAUAUGUCUCCAAUGUAUCUCUAAUUUUUUUUAUUGUUACAUGCUAUUAGUAUUAAUCUUGGAUGUUUUAUAUGCAAUUAUAUGUUAUUUUAUAACACUUUCUGAGACUAACCUAUUAACCCAGUGCGUAGUGCCAGUUGCUGUUUUUUGCCUUUUUUUGGUUUUCCUGGAAAUCAGUACAAAACGGAGUCCAAAUGCUAUGAAAUUUUUUGACGAUUUUUUCUGGAGAAAAUGGACCCUAGAAGCUUCGGGAGGAGACCAGAAAAAAACCGAGGAGACGACAAAGCAACAGGGCGCGCCCUGGGGGCGCCCUGUUACCUUGUGGGCCCAUCAAGACUCUGUCUGACCUAAUUCCACCUCUAUAAAUUCUCUAAAAUCAGGAAACCAAAAGAGAGCCACCCAAAACACUUUUUCUGUCGCCGCAAGUUUCUAUUCUCCCAUGAUCCCAUAUGGAGGCCUUUUUCGGUACUCUGCCGAAAGGGGAAUCGAUCACGGAGGGCUUCUACAUUAUCCUUGUUGCCCUUGAGAUGAUGCAUGAGUAGUUCACCACAGACCUACGGGUCCAUAGCUAGUAGCUAGAUGGCUUCUUCUCUCUCUUCGAUGUUCUUGGAGUUCUAUCCUCCUCGAUUUUCUUGGAGUUCUAUCUGAUGUAAUCUUCUUUUGUGGUUUGUUUGUUGCGAUCCGAUGAAUUCUGGGUUGAUGAUCUGAAUAUUUAUGAGAAGUAAUUGAGUCUUUUCUGAACUUUAUUAUGCAUGAUUGUUAUAGCUAUGUAUUUCUCUCCGAUCUAUCUGUUUUAUUUGGCCAACUAGAUUGAUUUAUCUUUAGUGGAAGACACUACAAGAAUUCUGUUAAUCCAUGACAGACACAGUCCGUCAUGGACCAGCGAAAAACCGUCAUGAAGGAGUAUCCUUCACGGAUUUGAAAUCCGUCAUGUAUAUCGCGUCAUAAUUGGACCAUGUGCAUUCCAUGACGGUUCUUGGCUGUCAUUGAUGUUACUUAACUGACGUUGUCAUAACGGUGUUAGCUUGACUGCCACAUCAUCAUCUGACAUGGAUCUGACAAGGUGGCCCAAGAAAUAAGAACCCCAGUUAGACUUUUGGCCCACUAAAUUGUAGCUCGGCCCAAGAUGGACAACCCAUGUAGUAAUCAGCCCAUUAAAAAUUUCAAGUUGAUCCAAGGCCCACUAAUUUCAUUGAUGAAUCAGUUUGUUAUCAGCCCAAUUAGGAUUUUAACCUACUAAAUUUUUUUGUGAGAAAACCUACUAAAUAGAAUAUUUUGGUUCUUAACAUUUUAGCUCAGAAGCUUUUCUUAAUAUAAUAAAUAGAAUACACAUAUAUUCCACUAAAAACAGAAUACAUGUAUACACAAAGACAAAUUACAGUGAGAGAAACAAAAGAAAAGUCCUUCCACGGUGGAGAGGUCGUUUUCCGCCAAGACAGUGGCCCUCGCCAUCUAACUCGUGUCCAUUGGAUGCGUUGCUGUGGAGGGGAAUCACUAGCUCUUCGCCGACGCAUUACCAAUUGCCCUGCAGUCCUCGAGCACGCCCGUAUUCCGUCGUGUAGGCCCAUCCAAGUCUGCGAGCCCGCCCUUGUUCCCUCGGUUCGGGACGCCCAGGAAUGGAGCCGCUCGCGCCCUGCAGAGACUCAGACACAGGUCAGAUCAACGGCAGCGGCGCCAGGUCGCCUUCAGGGGCGUCGCCGCCAUAGGGCCGAGGCCGUCGUCACGGCGGCUUAUGCGGCCAGCAUCCUGCAGUGGGUCGACGGGAAGCGACCCCGCUGGCAUCGUAGCUCCCGUCCGCGGACGCUCGGGAGGUGUUGGCCACCGCACGGUUUGGGGUUCGUUGGCAGCGUCGACCACGGCAAAGCUCCCCGGUGACGGGUCGGCGCAGCCCUCCCCGCGUUCCAGCGCGUACCACCGGACGGUGUGGGGGCGUCUUGGAUGUCGCGGUGGCGGUGCUUGGCUUGGUCAGGAUAGAGGAAUAAACCGGCAAGGAGAAGGAGACGGAAGGAAGGAACACAGAGAGAUCCAGGGAAUUUGACGAUUGUUGAUGGGAGGAAGGAGAGCGCUAUGCGGAAAAGAUGCCGGCGGCUGUGGGUUGGGGGAGAUAGAAGAGGGGGGAGGGAUUGUUUUCCAACCGUUGGAUUUCGGAGGAACAAACGGUCCAUACGCGCGAUCCGUGGGUGUGUAGGUUCAGCCAAUCAGAGGGCACGGUUUGCCUCAUGCGGGAUCGCCACCUCUGCUGGAUCCUUUGUUGACUUGAGCCCACCACCGAACACCGAAUUAGCCGUGCAGAAUUUGUUUUUCUCUUCUUCUAUUUUUCAUAGCUGAUUAAAUCACUCCUGUGAAGUAACUUGCAAAAAAUUCAUCAUCUACACCUUAAUGCAUUUUUUGUGUGUGAUAUAUAUGUUAUUUAGUAGAAAAUUCGACAAUUUAUGAAACGAUCUACUCCUUUCAUUCUAUAAUAUAAGAGCAUUUUUUACACUAGAGUGUAAAAAAUCUCUUACAUUAUGGAAUGAAGGGAGUAAUAUUUUAUAGUUAAAAGGAAUUUAUGUGUGCACGCCUACCCUUUCAUCCUCCUCCAGAGCGAACAAGAGAUCCUGCCUCCCCGUUGGCGGCGCCGCCGAUCUGCCUUGCCUCCUGCAGCCUUAGAGCCAUGGCGGCACGAUGGAUCCCGGCCCUUGCCGCCGAUAGGCCCCCAUUUAGAUGCUUCUUUGAGUUUUGUUAGGGUUUGUGUCCUACUCAGAAGGCGAGACGGUGGCGGCUCCUUGAAGAUUGAAUAAAGUUCUCUCCGCCUAGCCCCUGUCCUGCUGGUUCUUCUAGCAUUGUGAGAGUGUGUGUGGAGGUGUGUCUCCGGUGGAUCUCGCGGGAUUCAAUCGGCGGUUAUUUUUGGUGGUUCUGUUCAUAUCCGAUUUGCGUUCGUUUACAUUCGUGUGUCUUCAGAUUGGAUCAUUUCAAUCUAUGUGUCUCUUUAUCCACGACGAUUAUUGUUUGUUGCACUAUUCCUAUGGGACCUUAACAAGACGACUUGUCGACUGUCUACCACAAUAUGUUUUGCCCAGCUGCGACGAAUGAGGGGCGAUGAUGGCGGCGCGCCUUCAACUUGCUUCAAUGUCUGUAGUCGCCGCUGGGUGGUUCACGGAUCUAGAUGUAAUAUAUUUUUUAUGUUCGUUGUACUGCCAUGAUUGAAGAUGAAUUUACUUUCCCGCAAAAAAGAAUUUAUGUGUAUAGUAUCUCAAAUAAGCUUUAAACGAAAAAAGGUGCAUAUGUGUAAUUUUUAGCUUAGAUCGCUAGAUGGAAAAUUGUUGUUUCUAAACAAUGUACAUCUGGUGAAAACUUAUCCAAAUUUUAUCACAGGCAAUUGAUGUCAUAUCAUGGCACUCUGUCAAGUUUCACAUUUUUUUGACUCGAUAUGACAUUUUCAGAAUAAAAAACCUGUAAGGUACAUGCCUGUGGUCGAGUCCUGAAACACUGAUAUUUGGAAAUCCUUUUUUUCUUGUAUAAGACCUAAGCAUAGAGUCAAGAAAAUGAAUAUGAUUAUUUCAACCAUUUUUACAUUAUUUCAUAUAUGUGUAGUUCAAAUUUGGAAUAUAUUCAUUAAAUACCUAGAAAUUAAUUUUAAAAUUUUAGAACUAGCAAACGAACACUAUUUUUUUCAAAUUUUUACAUGCAAGAUGUAAUGAUGUAUGUUUAAUGCAGAAAAAAAAUCAAGUCAAAUGAUGAUGCAACUGUAACUUUUCCUUCUAACCUGAGACAUUCAGUUCCAAAACUAUGAUUCUUCCUUGUUGAUGGUUCGGUUUCUAAACAAUGUAUGUCAAUUUUUUUGUUAGACUAGGUUUUACUUUUUUAUAAAUUUUAAAACCAAUAAGAUCCAUGUUGGUGGACGGUGGUAAAGCCUCGAAAUGCACUUAAUGGCUUAAUUGUAGCAAACAAAGGCCAAAAACACCAAAUUUUGACAAGGAACAUUUGAUGGAGCACUUUGAGUGUAGAUUUUUUUUCCAAGGUCAAACUAUGAAGCAGUUGACACUUUCCUUCAAACCCAACGUGUUCCCUCUCAAAACAAUGAUUUUCUUUGUCAAAAAUGUUGCAUUUUUUUCAAGCAGUGUACGUCACAACUUUUGCGAAACCUUCUCAAUUUUUCACCACAUAAUACAAAGACACCAUGCCAGGUUUCAUGUGUUUUCUUUUUUUGUUACUUUUUUGCAUUUAAUUUACUUUUUGUAACUAGUUUUUCUCGCUUGAAAAAAAAAGAAUUAAAGAAAGAAAAAUAAUCAGCGAGACGAAAAGAAAGUGUUUGUGCAUUCGAUUUCCUUGGUGCUUAUGGAAAGUGUUUCACGUGUAUUUAAAAAUUGUCAACAUCUUUUUGAAAAUUGUUCUCUUGCUUUCAAAAAAUUGACAACGUGUAUUCGAACAAUGUUCAAUGUGUUUUAAAGAUAAUUUUCAACAUGUAUUACCGAAUUUAUUGUGUAAAAUAAUUUAAGAAACGUGUCUAUUUUUUAAUACAACUUUAGAUAUUCUUAAUACAUUUCUACAAUUUAUUAAUACUAGCACAUAUGCCCGUGCAUUGCAACGGGGAGAUAAUUAUUUUGCUACUAUAUGACGUUAGUUGUGUCAACUAGUGUGUGGCACGCAUAAUAGUUCGAAAUAACCUAUGUCUACAAGGCACGAGUAAUAAUCCAAAAAAAUGACGUGUUGAACGAUCGAACACAUGACCGUAAAGACCCGACCACGUGCUGCUAGCCACGUGAACAAAUGCCUACUGCUAACCAAUUGGCAGCAUAAAUAUUUAAGAACAUAGUGCAACUUCGGAUUGAAAAUAAUUUUUGAACUUUUAUUAAAAUAUGAAUUGCCGAAUAUUCUUGGAAACGUGAGCAUUUUUUUAAAUUACGAACAAUAUUUUUAACAUUUCGUACAUUUUGGAAAAAAACAUAAACAAAAAUUGAAACACCAUCAUUUUUUGAAGACAUGAACCUUUUAUCAAAACCCAAACGUUUUUUUAAUUUGUGACUGACUUUUGAAAACGGAACACGUUUUGAACAUUUAGAACAAUUUUAUAAAACGUUUUUUAAUAGACAGACAUUAUUUUAUAUCUGUGAACAUUUUAGUAAAACAAGAAUAUAUUUCAAAUACCGAAUAUUUUUUAAAUAAUUUUUUUAUAUCACUAAAGAAAUUGGAAUAAUUAUAAAUUUGAAAAAAACGGAACGAGAAAACAAUUAAUGUUCCAAAGAUUUUUGAAAAGGGGAAGACAAAAUUGUAAUUCGAACAGUUUUAAAAAAAUUGACAAAAAUUCAAAUUGUUAACUUUGUUUGAAAAUUUGGAAUUACAAAAUAAGGUAAAAAUAAAGGUAAAUUUGGAUUGAAAAUCAAAAUGGGCCGGCCCAGUCUUGUGCGCCCGGUGCGUAGUCCCACUAUCCACCGCUUGGUGCUAGAAGUAGGAUUUUUGCAGCUACAUGGGAAGUCAAAUAAGUGGGCUGGCAUCGCUGGGGCACGGCGUUAUUUUUAAACAAUAACUUCUAAUCACAAUGUCAGUUCUUUAAUAAAUUUUUAUCUAUAAAAUACAAUUCAUAUACACAAUAAUCGAGCGUGCUUGUGUUUAUUGAAGAUAGAUAUUUUUACAAACUUUAAAUCCAUAUUUAUUUAAAAAUGUUCAUGUUUACCUCUUGAAGUAGCUUGAUAAUGAAAAUGCAAUGAAGAUGUACAUAAUAAUUGUGUGCUAGUAAUUAUUGUAAAUUUACUUACAUUUAGUUUCUAGUGGGAAAAGCUAAAAAGAAAAUAAGCACAAACUUGAAACAAAACAAUAACUGUGCGUGCUUGUGGUCCAUAAUGAACGUACUUAAAAUUUCUGACAUUUUGUUUUUGUAAGUCCACAUAAAUUUUGGAAAAAGUAGAUGUUUACCUCUUCAAGGUUCAAAAUAAUGAAAAUCGAAUAAGAUUUAAAAUACACUAUAAAAUUGGUUGUUUAUACGAAAAAAUAUAAAUUUCAAAACAAACACCAACUUGGUAAAAUAAAAUAAAAAGGAAACCGCAUAAGGAAAAUUGCUUGAAGAUUAAAAAAAUGGUAUGCUGCGCAACUGGGCUGGCCGGAUUGCUACUGAAGGCGAGCGAUACGGCCGUUUUGAUCUACAUUCAGUUUUAUAUAAUUACUUAGCAGCAUAGGUAGGCUGAUUGGUUUGCUCGGUUGGUUGUUAUCCUGCAGGUCAUAUGUUCGAAGCCUCUACACCUAAUUUUUGCAACUUAUUUCUUUCUCAUUUGUUGACAUGUAGGGCGCGCACUUGGAAGGUACGCACUGGGCCUAGCUGUGGACGUAGUGGGAGCGUAACUCGUUCAGCCCCUGCUCCCCUCCAUUUGUGCGCUAUUUUUCUCUUAAUAAAGUUGGUACCAUAGGAAUAGUACUUGCAAAAAGGAGCGGAUACUAUCAAAUGCGUGUGUUUCCUUCUGUUAAGUUUUUUUUUUUGAGGAAAUGACCUGCUGUUAAGUAUCUUGCCAAUAGCACAAAAGAUCUCAAGUUUGAUUAUGGGUGAACAUUCUUUUCCUUUUUAACUUAUAUUAUAUCAUAUUAUAUUAUUAAGUAAGCAACUAAUUCUGCAUGCCAUUCCUUUUCUUUUUUUUACUCUCUAUAUAUUUUUAGGGGUUUCUUUAUAUACCACAGAUUACAUCCGACCCACAUGUGUGCCUAACAAGGGCCCACAUGAUACAUGAGCACCAUCCAUUCGUGAUGGUCCAAAUGUUGUAUAAGGAAAAAAAAGGCUAGGCCGAUCUGAUCGAUCCAUGACAGUUUUUGUGACAAUCCGUCUUCGUCCGUCAUAAUGGGGCUACAGAUUUGGGGGACAUCCUCAUGUUGCUGAUCUGUGACGGUUUCUGUGACGGUUCUUGGGGACGUCCAGAAAUCCGUCAUGGAUUAACAUAUUUUUUGUAGUGAGAGGUGCUUUGUAAUGGGUUCAAUCUUCGGUGCCCUAUAUCCCAGUGAUAGAAGGGGACAAGACACAUAUUUGUAUUGUUGCCAUUAAGGAUAAUACGACGGAGUUUAUUCACAUUGAUUAGGUUUACUUUGUCUACAUCAUGUCAUCUUGCUUAAGGCGUUACUCUGUUUUAUACUUAAUACCAUCGAUGCAUGCUGCAUAGCGGUCGAUUGAUGGAGUAAUAGUAGUAGAUGCUGGCAAGAGUCAGUCUACUUGUCUCCGACGUGAUGCCUAUAUACAUGAUCAUUGUCUUGAAUCGUCAUACUAUUUUUUUUUCUAUCAAUUGGCCAACAAUAAUUUGUUGACCCAUCAUAUGCUAUGUGCUCGAGAGAGAAGUCUAGUGAAAACUAUGGCCUUCGGGUCUACAUUUAUCAUAUAUAUAAACUCAAAAUUUCUUUGCCGCAAUUUUCUAUUUUCUUUAUUUUAUCUUUGUAAUUUAUCUAUCUACCACUACAAGAUUUAAUCAUUCCAAGUAACAGCCAAGGGGAUUGAUGAUAACCCACAAGUAUCACUACACCACUCUAGAGUUUAAGUGACACACUUAUGUGGGGAAAGGCCCAUUAAUCCCUACAAGAAAUCAGUCGGCGUAGCUCCGAAGCUUGGCCUCAAAUCAUCGGCAAGUCUGCACAAUAGUUGACCAAUUAUGUGUCUGCGAUCACUUAGCGCCCAUGUAUCUGUCGGCAACCAUAUAGCGACUUAUCAUCUGUUGGCAGAUGUCUAGGCCUAACAGAUUUACAAUCUGCAUAGGUAGGUGUAUGGACACAAAUUAAGUGUCGGCGUAGAUAGGGUGUACGUGCACAAAUUAAGUGUCUGCGUAUGUAUACACGUGUCAAGCAGGGAAGCCUCGAAACAAUUGAGGCUGACUUAGGCGCGAGAACAGGACUUGGCGGGCGGUUGGGCAAAUUUUUGGGCUACGUGGCGGCCCAAUUUUGACUUAACUCUCGAAAUCCAGUACCCAACCCAAAUACAUCCCCGUUCCAUCCCCACUUCCCUACCGCCGCCGUCGCACUCCAUCCCCGCCGCCCUGCCGGCGCUCCACCACCUAUGUCCCCGCCGCCCUCCCGUCGCCCUGCUCGUGCUCCAGCGUCACCCUCGUCCUUGCUGCCAUCGUCCUCACGCUUCCCCCCACCCCAUCGACACAUGUUCCCUACCACCGCUCCGGGGUCGCAGCCGCUGAUAGACCUGUUGGGGAACGUAGUAAUUUCAAAAAAUUCCUACGCACACGCAAGAUCAUGGUGAUGCAUAGCAACGAGAGGGGAGAGUGUUGUCCACGUACCCUCGUAGACUGACAGCGGAAGCGUUAUCACAAUGCGGUUGAUGUAGUCGUACGUCUUCACGAUCCGACCGAUCAAGUACCGAACGUACGGCACCUCCGAGUUCUACACACGUUCAGCUCGAUGACGUCCCUCGAACUCCGAUCCAGCCGAGUGUUGAGGGAGAGUUUCGUCAACACGACGGCGUGGUGACGAUGAUGAUGUACCACCGACGCAGGGCUUCGCCUAAGCUCCGCAACGGUAUUAUCGAGGUGUAAUAUGGUGGAGGGGGGCACCGCACACGGCUAAGAGAUCUCAAGGAUCAAUUGUUGUGUCUCUGGGGUGCCCCCUGCCCCCGUAUAUAAAGGAGCAAGGGGGAGGCAGCCGGCCAAGGGGAGAGGCGCGCCAUAGGGGGGAGUCCUACUCCCACCGGGAGUAGGACUCCUCCUUUCCUUGUGGGAGUAGGAGAAGGGAAGGGGGAAGGAGAAAGAAGGAAGGGUGCGCCCCCCCUUCCCUAGUCCAAUUCGGACCAGACCAUGGGGAGGGGUGCGGCCACCUUUUGAGGCCUUUCUCUCCUUUCCCGUAUGGCCCAUUAAGGCCCAAUACGAAUUCCCGUAACUCUCGGUACUCCGAAAAAUACCCGAAUCACUCGGAACCUUUCCGAAGUCCGAAUAUAGUCGUCCAAUAUAUAGAUCUUUACGUCUCGACCAUUUCGAGACUCCUCGUCAUAUCCCCGAUCUCAUACGGGACUCCGAACUCCUUCGGUACAUCAAAACUCAAUAAAACUGUCAUCGUAACGUUAAGCGUGCGGACCCUACGGGUUCGAGAACUAUGUAGACAUGACCGAGACACGUCUCCGGUCAAUAACCAAUAGCGGGACCUGGAUGCCCAUAUUGGCUCCCACAUUUUCUACGAAGAUCUUUAUCGGUCAGACCGCAUAACAACAUACGUUGUUCCCUUUGUCACCGGUAUGUUACUUGCCCGAGAUUUGAUCGUCGGUAUCUCGAUACCUAGUUCAAUCUCGUUACUGGCAAGUCUCUUUACUCGUUCCGUAACACAUCAUCCCGCAACUAACUCAUUAGUCACAAUGCUUGCAAGGCUUAUAGUGAUGUGCAUUAUCGAGUGGGCCCAGAGAUACCUCUCCGACAAUUGGAGUGACAAAUCCUAAUCUCGAAAUACGCCAACCCAACAAGUACCUUUGGAGACACCUAUAGAGCACCUUUAUAAUCACCCAUUUAUGUUGUGACGUUUGGUAGCACACAAAGUGUUCCUCCGGUAAACGGGAGUUGCAUAAUCUCAUAGUCAUAGGAACAUGUAUAAGUCAUGAAGAAAGCAAUAGCAACAUACUAAACGAUCGGGUGCUAAGCUAACGGAAUGGGUCAAGUCAAUCACGUCAUUCUCCUAAUGAGGUGAUCCCGUUAAUCAAAUGACAACUCAUGUCUAUGGCUAGGAAACAUAACCAUCUUUGAUUAACGAGCUAGUCAAGUAGAGGCAUACUAGUGACACUCUGUUUGUCUAUGUAUUCACACAUGUAUUAUGUUUCCGGUUAAUACAAUUCUAGCAUGAAUAAUAAACAUUUAUCAUGAUAUAAGGAAAUAUAUAAUACUUUAUUAUUGCCUCUAGGGCAUAUUUCCUUCAGUCUCCCACUUGCACUAGAGUCAAUAAUCUAGUUCACAUCGCCAUGUGAUUUAACAUCAAUAAUUCACAUCACCAUGUGAUUAACACCCAUACUUCACAUUUCUAUGUGACCAACACUCAAAGGGUUUACUAGAGUCAAUAAUCUAGUUCACAUCGCUAUGUGAUUAACACCCAAAGAGUACUAAGGUGUGAUCAUGUUUUGAUUGUGAGAUAAUUUUAGUCAACGGGUCUGUCACAUCCAGAUCCGUAAGUAUUUUGCAAAUUUCUAUGUCUACAAUGCUCUGCACGGAGCUACUCUAGCUAAUUGCUCCCACUUUCAAUAUGUAUCUAGACCGAGACUUAGAGUCAUCUAGAUUUAGUGUCAAAACUUGCAUCGACGUAACCCUUUACGACGAACCUUUUGUCACUUCCAUAAUCGAGAAACAUAUCCUUAUUCCACUAAGGAUAAUUUUGACCACUGUCCAGUGAUCUACUCCUAGAUCACUAUUGAACUCCCUUGCCAAAAUCAGUGUAGGGUAUACAAUAGAUCUGGUACACAGCAUGGCAUACUUUAUAGAACCUAUGGCCAAGAUAUAGGGAAUGACUUUCAUUCUCUUUCUAUCUUUUGCCGUGGUCGGGCUUUGAGUCUUUACUCAAUUUCACACCUUGUAACACAGGUAAGAACUCUUUCUUUGACUGUUCUAUUUUGAACUACUUCAAAAUCUUGUUAAGGUAUGUACUCAUUGAAAAACUUAUCAGGCGUCUUCAUCUAUCUCUAUAGAUCUUGAUGCUCAAUAUGUAAGCAGCUUCACCGAGGUCUUUCUUUGAAAAACUCCUUUCAAACACUCCUUUAUGCUUUGCAGAAUAAUUCUACAUUAUUUCCGAUCAACAAUAUGUCAUUCACAUAUACUUAUCAGAAAUGCUGUAGUGCUCCCACUCACUUUCUUGUAAAUACAGACUUCAACGCAAGUCUGUGUAAAACUAUAUCCUUUGAUCGACUUAUCAAAGCGUAUAUUCCAACUCCGAGAUGCUUGCACCAGUCCAUAGAUGGAUCGCUGGAGCUUGCAUAUUUUGUUAGCACCUUUAGGAUUGACAAAACCUUCUGGUUGCAUCAUAUACAACUCUUCUUUAAUAAAUCCAUUAAGGAAUGCAGUUUUGUUUAUCCAUUUGCCAGAUUUCAUAAAAUGCGGCAAUUGCUAACAUGAUUCGGACAGACUUAAGCAUAGAUACGAGUGAGAAACUCUCAUUGUAGUCAACAUCUUGAACUUGUCGAAAACCUUUUUGCGACAAUUCUAGCUUUGUAGACAGUAACACUACUAUCACUGUCUGUCUUCCUCUUGAAGAUCCAUUUAUUCUCAAUUGCUUGCCGAUCAUCGGGCAAGUCAACCAAAGUCCACACUUUGUUCUCAUACAUGGAUCUCAUCUCAGAUUUCAUGGCCUCAAGCCAUUUUGCGGAAUUUGGGCUCACCAUCGCUUCUUCAUAGUUCGUAGGUUUGUCAUGGUCUAGUAACAUGAUCUUCAAAACAGAAUUACCGUACCACUCUGGUGUGGAUCUUACUCUGGUUUACCUACGAGGUUUGGUAAUAACAUGAUCUGAAGUUACAUGAUCAUCAUCAUUAACUUCCUCACUAAUUGGUGUAGGAGUCACACGAACAGAUUUCUGUGAUGAACUACUUACCAAUAAGGGAGCAGGUACAGUUACCUCAUCAAGUUCUACUUUCCUCCCACUCACUUCUUUCGAGAGAAACUCCUUCUCUAGAAAGGAUCCAUACUAAGCAACGAAUGUCUUUCCUUCGGAUCUGUGAUAGAAGGUGUACCCAACUGUCUCCUUUGGGUAUCCUAUGAAGACACAUUUCUCCGAUUUGGGUUUGAGCUUAUCAGGAUGAAACUUUUUCACAUAAGCAUCGUAACCCCAAAAUUUUAAGAAACUACAACUUUGGUUUCUUGCUAAACCUCAGUUCAUAAGGCGUCGUCUCAACGGAUUUUGAUGGUGCCCUAUUUAACGUGAAUGCAGCUGUCUCUAAUGCAUAACCCCAAAAUGAUAGUGGGAGAUCGGUAAGAGACAUCAUAUAUUGCACCAUAUCUAAUAAAGUACGGUUACGAUGUUCGGACACACCAUUACACUGUGGUGUUCCAGGUGGCGUGAGUAGUGAAACAAUUUCACAUUGUUUUAACUGAAGGCCAAACUCGUAACUCAAAUACUCUUCUCCACGAUCAGAUCGUAGAAACUUUAUUUUCUUGUUACGAUGAUUUUCCGCUUCACUCUGAAAUUAUAUCAACUUUUCAAAUGUUUCAGACUUCUGUUUCAUUAAGUAGAUAUACCCAUAUCUUCUCAAAUCAUCUGUGAAGGUCAGAAAAUAAUGAUACCUGCUACGAGCCUCAAUAUUCAUCGGACCACAUACAUCUGUAUGUAUGAUUUCCAACAAAUCUGUUGCUCUCUCCAUAGUUCCGGAGAACAGCGUUUUAGUCAUCUUGCCCAUGAGGCACGGUUCGCAAGCAUCAAGUGACUCAUAAUCAAGUGAUUAUUCCAUCAGUAUGGAGUUUCUUCAUGCGCUUUACACCAAUAUGACCUAAACGGCAGUGCCACAAAUAAGUUGCACUAUCAUUAUUAACUUUGCAUCUUUUGGCUUCAUAUGAAUAUGUGUAUCACUACGAUCGAGAUCCAACAAACCAUUUUCGUUGGUGUGUAUGACCAUAGAAGGUUUUUAUUCAUGUAAACAGAACAACAAUUGUUCUCUAACUUAAAUGAAUAACCGUAUUGCAAUAAACAUGAUCAAAUCAUAUUCAUGCUCAACGCAAACACCAAAUAACACUUAUUUAGUUUCAACACUAAUCCCGAAAGUACAGGGAGUGUGCGAUGAUGAUCAUAUCAAUCUUGGAACUACUUCCAACACACAUCGUCACCUCGACUUUUUACUAGUCUCUGUUUAUUCUGCAACUCCCGUUUCGAGUUACUACUCUUUAGCAACUGAACCAGUAUCAAAUACUGAGGGGUUGCUAUAAACACUAGUAAGUACACAUCAAUAACAUGUAUAUCCAAUAUACCUUUGUUCACUUUGCCAUCCUUCUUAUCCACCAAAUACUUGGGGCAGUUCCGCCUCCAGUGACCAGUCCCUUUGAAGUAGAAGCACUUAGUCUCAGGCUUAGGUACAGACUUGGGCUUCUUCACUUGAGUAGCAACUUGCUUGCCGUUCUUUUUGAAGUUCCCCUUCUUCCCUUUGCCCUUUUCUUGAAACUAGUGGUCUCGUUAACCAUCAACACUUGAUGUUUUUCUUGAUUUCUACCUCCGUCGAUUUCAGCAUCGCGAAGAGCUCGGGAAUUACUUUCGUCAUCCCUUGCAUACUAUAGUUCAUCAUGAAGUUCUACUAACUUGGUGAUGGUGACUAGAGAAUUCUGUCAAUCACUAUUUUAUCUGGAAGAUUAACUCCCACUUGAUUCAAGCGAUUGUAGUACCCAGACAAUCUGAGCACAUGCUCACUAGUUGAGCGAUUCUCCUCCAUCUUUUAGCUAUAGAACUUGUUGGAGACUUCAUAUCUCUCAACUCGGGUAUUUGCUUGAAAUAUUAACUUCAACUCCUGGAACAUCUUAUAUGGUCCAUGACGUUCAAAACGUCUUUGAAGUCCCGAUUCUAAGCUGUUAAGCAUGGUGCACUAAACUAUCAAGUAGUCAUCAUAUUGAGCUAGCCAAACGUUCAUAACGUCUGCAUCUGCUCCUGCAAUAGGUCUGUCAUCUAGCGGUGCAUCAAGGACAUAAUUCUUCUGUGCAGCAAUGAGGACAAUCCUCAGAUCACGGAUCCAAUCCGCAUCUUUGCUACUAACAUCUUUCAACAUAAUUUUUCUCUAGGAACAUAUCAAAAAUAAACACACGGAAGCAACAAACGCGAGCUAUUGAUCUACAACAUAAUUUGCAAAAUACUAUCAGGACUAAGUUCAUGAUAAAUUUAAGUUCAAUUAAUCAUAUUACUUAAGAACUCCCACUUAGAUAGACAUCCCUCUAAUCCUCUAAGUGAUCACGUGAUCCAUAUCAACUAAACCAUGUCCGAUCAUCACGUGAGAUGGAGUAGUUUCAAUGGUGAACAUCACUAUGUUGAUCAUAUCUACUAUAUGAUUCACGCUCGACCUUUCGGUCUCCGUGUUCCGAGGCCAUAUCUGUUAUAUGCUAGGCUCGUCAAGUUUAACCUGAGUAUUCCGCGUGUGCAACUGUUUUGCACCCGUUGUAUUUGAACGUAGAGCCUAUCACACCCGAUCAUCACGUGGUGUCUCAGCACGAAGAACUUUUGCAACGGUGCAUACUCAGGGAGAACACUUAUACUUUGAUAAUUUAGUGAAGGAUCAUCUUAUAAUGCUACCAUCAAACAAAGCAAGAUAAGAUGCAUAAAAGAUUAACAUCACAUGCAAUCAAUAUAAGUGAUAUGAUAUGGCCAUCAUCAUCUUGUGCUUGUGAUCUCCAUCUCCGAAGCACCGUGCUUGUGAUCUCCAUCUCCGAAGCACCGUCAUGAUCACCAUCGUCACCGGCGUGACACGUUGAUCUCCAUCGUAGCAUCGUUGUCGUCUCGCCAACUUAUUGCUUUUACGACUAUCGCUACCGCUCAGUGAUAAAGUAAAACUAUUACAUGGCGAUUGCAUCUCAUACAAUAAAGCGACAACCAUAUGGCUCCUGCCAGUUGCCGAUAACUCGGUUACAAAACAUGAUCAUCUCAUACAACACAUUAUAAUCACCCAUUUACGUUGUGACGUUUGGUAGCACACAAAGUGUUCCUCCGGUAAACGGGAGUUGCAUAAUCUCAUAGUCAUAGGAACAUGUAUAAGUCAUGAAGAAAGCAAUAGCAACAUACUAAACGAUCGGGUGCUAAGCUAACGGAAUGGGUCAAGUCAAUCACGUCAUUCUCCUAAUGAGGUGAUCCCAUUAAUCAAAUGACAACUCAUGUCUAUGGCUAGGAAAUAUAACCAUCUUUGAUUAACGAGCUAGUCAAGUAGAGGCAUACUAGUGACACUCUGUUUGUCUAUGUAUUCACACAUGUAUUAUGUUUCUGGUUAAUACAAUUCUAGCAUGAAUAAUAAACAUUUAUGAUGAUAUAAGGAAAUAUAUAAUACUUUAUUAUUGCCUCUAGGGCAUAUUUCCUUCAAGACCGACCCCGAGAUCCUCCCGUCCACCACCCCCAACCCCAUUCCACGUCCCCGUGUCCCCGACCCCAUCCCCUCCUUCCUUCCUUGGAGUCACAGCCGCCGACAGCUCCGUCCGCCGUCGCCUUCACCGAGCACGCCCAACCCCCCUCCCCCACCCAAAGACCAAGUCAAUGUCGUUUAGAUAUUCUAGCGCCGCCGCCAGCCAGCGUCGGAGACUGCCAUCUGCAAGCGCCACCAUCGCCAUAACCACGGAAGCACCUCCGGCUGGAGGGAGUGUGCGUUGCUAGGUAUGCACCGAUGGUGGGAUCCCCAAUUUGUUGUCUGUGUUCUUGUUCUUCCCUGUGUCUCGAGUAGAUCGAACAGCUAGGUUGCUGCAACUUGAGAGUUGUACUGUUGGUAGUUACUGUGGAGUGGUUUGGACAUGUUGUUGAUCUAAAGCACAACCUGAUCCCUGCUCACUUAAUCUGCCCCUUUUUGUUUAAGAAGAGUGUGUAGUAUUAUGAAGGUUACUAGUUGGAUCCCUAUAGUACUGAGAAGCAAAGAAUUCAUACCUUGUCAAUGUUUCUAAUUCUUUGGCCUGAUCGAUGGCUAGAGGGACAUGGUACUUUAGUUCUUGAAUUCUAAGCUUGCAAAUUUCUGAAUUCUAGGUCUGCAUCGGCAUGAUGAGUUAAUCAGAUAUAUGUGUAACCAGCUAUACUGAUGCUAUUGCUAUAAUAAAUAAUAAUUCUGGAGUAACACUUCUUUUUGUAGCUAGCAUGUAGGCUAUAAGCUCUCGUUGAUGCUAUAGAUGGUCGGGUCGGUUUCAAUUUUUUGGGAGAAAAUUAGAUUCCAACCUAGUUUAUAGCAGGUUUGAUAAAUAUAUAACUCACUAUAAAAAAGUCAGUUGCACAGUCAUAGGACUGAAGUGAAAUAUUCUCAUUGAAAAAAUUUGCAACUGUAAAUUAUCAAAUUGCAAAUGCAGAAUGAGAUAAUCGUAAGCUUAGCACUGCACACUCCGCGUUUUAUAAAUAUUGUUGGAUUGUCAAGUAUGCAGUAGGGGAUACAUUUUUUUAACGGGCUGCCUAUAAUGCCAACAUUGUCUAGGUAAAUAACAUGUUCCUUUCCGUUCUUUUUUUCCAGAUGAGAUAGAAGAUAGAUAUAUUUAUGUGUCAGAUACUACUGUCUAACUAUUUGUGGUAAUAAGUAUUGGUGUUAAGUAGAAUCUCCAUUUGUGUUACCAUCACAGGACCAUUAAACAGUCAUAUUCGAGCCAUACAUUUGAUAUUAAGCAAGUUGUCUGAGGAUGUUCACUACCCACCUAAUUUGAGCUCCCCGUUUCCAUAUGCAGGUAAAUCCUAGAAUUUUCACCACUUUUUAGUUCUAAUUUUACCACUCCGCUUCUUGCUUGCUUACAUGGGGUGCCUUCUCAUAAUACCUUUCUUGCUUUGAAGAAUAUAACAUUUAGCAUGUUUUUUCUAAAAACAAGUCACAACACCAUUUAGAAUGUCACAACUGAGAAUGCUGGGAUAUAUUAACAUGUGCAGCUAGACAUUCCCUUGGCAUUCGUGAUAUUUAUAGCUAGAUUCACCCUGCAGAUAUGGCAUAAUUAUUUCUCUUCCUCACUUCUUUCACUUCAUAUCCAGGCCUUGGUUUCCCUAGGUACCCUGUCGCUGUUUCUGUUGGGUAUAUGAUAAUUCCACAGGUGCCAUAUAGUAAUGUUGUGAACUAUGGACCUAAUGGGUAUGCUGGUGGUGGUGGUGGCAGGUACCAAAACAACAAGAUUCGUGUCUGGUGUCCUGCUUGUUGGAGGGGGGCUGAUGUAGCAUCGAUCACUAAUAGGCUAGGCUAUUAAUUCUAACAUGUCUGCUUAAAAGGGAGAAGAUGGAUAGUUUGUGGUUUGAGCAAAUUUAUAACUAAUUGUAGCCUAUCAACCCCAUUCUGACUAUAAGCAGCAGGAGGAUAAUAACUUGAAUUAUAAUAAUGACGAUCUAGUUCAAGAAUAAGGCAGUACUUAAAUCUUAAUAAUCUCCGUACAUGGUGCUUUUAUGAGAUAUUCGUGUUUAUUUUGGUGAUGGCCUAAUAUUACAUGAACAUCAUUUGUGCAUUUGAAAAGUUCAUCCAUUAAACUUACCAAGGACAUAACCUGCAGUCCCUUGGCCUGCUUUCUAAUUUGAUUUAUGGUCAGCCGAGUUAUCUAUAUUAUUAAACAUAGUUUUCAUUUUUACAGGAUGCACUAGUAGAAAACAGGGCUUUGGUCACAGGGCAAUGCUCACAUUAGUCCCGGUUCAGUCACGAACCGGGACUAAUGUGAGCAUUGGUCCCGGUUCGUGCGGCUAAGGCAUUAGUCCCGGUUCACCUGGGCCCUUUAGUCCCGGUUGGUGCCACGUACCGGGACUAAAGGGUGCGAUGCCCAUUAGUACCGGUUGGUGGCACCACCAACCGGGACUAAAGGUUAGACCUUUAGUCCCGGUUGGUGCCACCAACCGGUACUAAUGGGCUUUGAGGCAUUAGUACCGGUUCAUGGCACGAACCGNNNNNNNNNNNNNNNNNNNNNNNNNNNNNNNNNNNNNNNNNNNNNNNNNNNNNNNNNNNNNNNNNNNNNNNNNNNNNNNNNNNNNNNNNNNNNNNNNNNNNNNNNNNNNNNNNNNNNNNNNNNNNNNNNNNNNNNNNNNNNNNNNNNNNNNNNNNNNNNNNNNNNNNNNNNNNNNNNNNNNNNNNNNNNNNNNNNNNNNNNNNNNNNNNNNNNNNNNNNNNNNNNNNNNNNNNNNNNNNNNNNNNNNNNNNNNNNNNNNNNNNNNNNNNNNNNNNNNNNNNNNNNNNNNNNNNNNNNNNNNNNNNNNNNNNNNNNNNNNNNNNNNNNNNNNNNNNNNNNNNNNNNNNNNNNNNNNNNNNNNNNNNNNNNNNNNNNNNNNNNNNNNNNNNNNNNNNNNNNNNNNNNNNNNNNNNNNNNNNNNNNNNNNNAAAAAACAAAAGAAAAUGAUGGAAAUGUCAAAAAAAUAAAAUAAAAUAAGUUUCCCAUGUGAUAUGUGGUCUAGUUGUUGGGAAAAUUUACAAAUAUGAAUUUUGACUUUAUUUGCAAAAUCUCUCUGGAAUUUGUAAAAUGGGCAUAACUUUUGCAUACGAACUCGGAUUAAAAAGUUUUUUAUAUGAAAAAUCAUCUACUCGAAAAGUUACAUCCGAAUUUAACACGGGGAACCCGUUAAACAUUUUCAAAAUCCUCAAAAACCUAACAGAAAAAAAGUUACGGGGCUUUUAAGAUCUAGAGUGGAAAAAACGAAAAAAAUUCAAACUUACUAGUGGCGCACCAUUUGCUAGGUGCGCCACUAGUAACAGAAAAAUGUUUUAGUUUCAAUUUUUUAAAAUGUGGUCACAUCUGGUCAAACUGUGGUCAAACAAUGGUUAAACUAAUUAUUCUAGAAUAUUAGUGUUACUAAAUAAUUAUUUCAGUUUUUUUGAAUUUUGGUCAAAUCUGGUCAAACUGUGGUCAAACUGGGGUCAAACAAUGGUCAAACUAAUUAUUCAAGAAAUAUUAGUGUUACUAAAUAAUUAUUGUCUUUUAAAACAAUAGUUUCAAACUCAAACAGUGAAAUGUGUCACUUCAUGCUCAAGCUAAAUUCCUGAGGGUUAAUAGAUUGACAUCUUACUAUUGUUAGGAAAACAACAAGUGCAGACUUGGAAACGAGGGAGAACAGAACCCGGAAGUUAAGCGUGCUCAGGCUGGAGUAGUGAGAGGAUGGGUGACCGUCCGGGAAGUUAGAUGAUCUGGAAUGAUGAGGGGUGAUUAGGGAUUAGAGGAUAAAUUGAGCAGUGAUGAGGGUGGUGAUUAGAUUAGAGGUUAAAAUAAUUCAGAAAUUUGAAAAAAAAAUUCAAAAAAAAUUCAAAAAAAAUUCAUAAAAUUUCCUUUAGUCCCGGUUGGUGUUACCAACCGGGACUAAAGCUGGAGCUCCACGUGGUCGCGGCCUUUAGUCCCGGUUCGUGUAAGAACCGGGACUAAAGGGGGGAGGCAUUAGUAACGACCCUUUAGUCCCAGUUUAAAAACCGGGACUAAAGGCCCUUACCAACCGGGCCAAAAGCCCAUUUUUCUACUAGUGGUGGUUGAUAAAUGUCUUCACAUUUUUCAGAGCAACAUGUAGUGGAAGAAGCAGCCUAUGAAGUGGAAUAGUUUGCAUAAGAAAUAGGCGAUGUGAGUAUGUUUUGCGUCUUGUAUAUAAGAAAUAGGCAUAAGAAAUAGCAUCACUAGAUAACCUUUUGUGUCUUAUAUAUAGAACUGAACUCCACAUACUACAGUUUUAAAAUUAAAAGUAUGAAAUCACAUGAUGUAAUCUGAUGCUCAUAUACAUUGCUUAGUAGUUAGCAUAUAUGUAGGACAUGCUUGCAGUCCCUUGGCCUACUUUCUAAUUAGUUUGGUGUUAACACUUUGAUGGUCACAAUCUAAAGAUGACAUGGCAUAUACAGAACUUCACAUACUGCAGUUUUUUUGGUUUGAAGCUGUACAUUUUAAUUCUAGUUCAUCAGAUAAAAUACGACCACAAUUGUUUUUCACAUUUAUUUUCAAACUUUGAAGUGCACAAAAUCAUUGGGGUGAAUAUAUGAGAAUUUGACCAUUUAUUUUCACCCACACAUUUAUGUUUGCAGUCCCAUUCAGUUUGAACAUAUGAGAAUUUGACCGAAAGCCUCAAGAUACUAAGACAAUUUCCUCCAUAUUAUUAAUAACUUUUAUGAAUCCACUUUGGAAUAAAACAUUUGAUACAUGUCUAUCUUAAUUAGGUGUCAAUACAAAAUUAUAUUUGCACUUAUGUUAGAUAUUAACUGAGCAUAUUUUCAUUAGACUCUUAUCAUUAAGAUCGUGUGGAAUAUUUUCAGGUACUCAGCCACCUACUGCGCAUGGAUGUGAUGACUAUGGAGUGUUCUGCAGCAUUGGCUGUUUCGAGUAUUUUGGACCAGCCAACUUGUGAUCAUGAAUCUUAUGUGUGUUCUGGACCAUUUGCUACGAAAAGUGUUUUCGAGCAUCUAUCUUGUGCUCAUGGGUGUGACUUAAGUGUUUUGGACCAUUUAGUGGCUAAACACUUUUAGAACAGUAAAUAGUGGUCCUUUUAUGUGGCUUGUGUUUUCUGGAUGGUUGUCAAAAUGGCCAAACUUUGCUUUGUCAAGAUUGUCUUGUUUUUGAACUUCCGAUCAAUAUAUAUGUAUGACAGUUUUCUGGUGACGUUCUGAAAAUCCGUCAUAGUCGAUGACGGUUUUGUUUUAUCCAUCACGGAAUCGAUCAUCGAUCAGCAGGAUGCGAAUAUGCCCAGAAACCCACCGGAGCCCAUAUAGUCUUUUUUUCUUCUGAACACUGUAGAUUUUCAAUUUUAAUGAAAAAAUGAAACAAGACUUGAUCCCAAGACCUCUUGGAAUAAGAUACUAGCGUGUGAUAACUAUGCUACCUGCAUGACUAAUGGAGCACUUGGACGUUUUCUUUCUAAUAACACAACUAGAGUAGAAGUUUUAGUAAAAGAAAAGUGUGCCAUGGAUCAGAUCGUGCACCUCUCACCUAGUUGAAUAGUUCGAUACCAAUUGAUCAAGAAAUCAUGGUGUGACAGAUUGCGAGCAUGAAGCUUUGCCCUCGUACACAACAACUAUAUAUGUAAUAUGUGACUCCAAAAUUUAAUUCAUGUUUACUAAAAGAAUAUGAAUAUAAUUUGUUAAUUCAUCUAUAUGGGGAUCAACAUAGUCUAACUUAUUUUCUAGAACUGCCAUGGUCCGCCACGAGAAGCUUUGUUUUGAACGUUGUCCAAACCGUGACGGACUGCUGCUGUUUUUUUGAAGGAAACGGCUGCCCCUGCCUAUGUGGCGGUCGGACUGCUGCUGCUUUUUUCUAAAGGAAACGGCUGCCCCUGCCUAUGUGGCGAUCCUGUGCGAGGGAAAACUCGCGCUGUGAUUGGUUGACGAAACCCUCCCACGGAUCGCAGAUCUGAACUGUCUGCUCCUCUGAGAUCCGACGGCUAGCAAACCUCCUCCUCUUUCUCAUCUGUUCUUCAGCCCGGACUCUGAACAGCAGCCGCCGCACCACCCCACCUCCUUCCUUCCUCAUCCUCUCAUGGCGCCAACCCGCCGUACCGACCUCCUCUCCGUUAUCCACACAUCCUCCCGUUUCGACGACUGCCCGGCAUGCCCGGCUACCCCUCAACCGGCGCCUGCCUGCACUCCCACCGCGCCGCCGUAGUGUCCUCUCCUUUGGCCGGAUCCCGCCGAUAUCUGCGAGUCCACGGCAACCAUGGGCGGAUCACGGCACGGCCACGGGCGUCUUUCCUCCCUACACGUUUACGGCAACCACCACCAUCCCCUUCCCUUACCUCUAGGCUCCCCUGCCCCUUUCUCUCCCCACCGGCCCGAUCUAGUCCCUGCGGCGUCGGUCUGGUCGAUGCAGGUCGCUGCAGGGAGCGAGCGACCCCUUCGUUGGUGUGCUGAACUGCGGGGAUGCACAGAGCCACCACCGGGGAUGGGCCGUGCUGGGACGCUGCAGUCCUUCGUCGCCACGAGCCACGCACCCGUCGCCUACGCAGUCGGAUUCUCCACCGACCACAAAAAAAAUAGGAUUCUUCGUCGACCCCGACAGGCUUUGAGUCGCUCGCCCCACCAGGUUCCCCUUCCUCUCUACUUUCAAUUUUUUUUGAGGUUGUCUUCAGGUUUGUCCAUGCGCAGGAAAUGUUGAGCACGGGUAUAGUUGAGGCGAGAUAUUGGUGGAUAAUGUUCUAUCUCUCAUGAUGUCGGCGGCGUUGGCCGGAUCUGCGUCCAGAAAUCCACGGAAUGACCACGCCCUUGAUAGAAUUAGCAUAGGGUGUUUUUAUUUUUAGUUUCUUGUGUUUUGCUGGUCCUUGACAAAUGUAUUGUCCGGAAAUAUUUGUACUUUUAAGUUUUUCUUUUUCAUGUAAUUUUGUGCUGUGUGUAUGUAUGUAUUGCUUUUAUUUAAUGAUAUGAGCAUAUAUCUUCUGGAAAAUUUAUACUAGUUUAGAUUUGCGUUUUUUAGGGGUGGCUCAGAGUUUGCGUGGAUGAGGAGAAAUGAGAUGGGUUAAUUCCCGAGAUUGAAACUAGUGGGCCUUGGAUAGACCUAAAAUUUAACGGGCCAAAAUUCUUGUAGGGCCGAUUACUUCAUGGGCCGCCACGUCACAUCAAUGUCAGCUUUUGAUGUGGCACACAAGUUAAUGCCGUUAUGAGCAUGUCCGUUAAACAUUUCCAUGACGGUUAAGAAUCCGUCAUGCAGUGUGCGGUGGUCAAAUUAUGACGCGAUAUACAUGACGGAUUUUUAAUCCGUCAUGCAUUUCCUUCCAUGAUGGUUAUGCACAUGUUUCAAACUGUCAUGUAUUAACGAAAUUCUUGUAGUGAAAUGAGAGCAGUAUCCAAUUGUUGUUUUGGUUGUACACCAUCUUAUCAACAAUUAAUCUGUUGGGAAAAACAUUCAAACAGACAAACUGUCGACAAAGGUACACCUCUAGCCAUGCAGAGAAAGUGUCGGCAGAAGUACACCCGUAGCUAGACAAACCAUGUGUCGACAAUGCUAAAGACCUUCCUAGACAGACCAAGUGUUGGCAUAAGUAGGGUGUAUGUUGACUUACCAUCUGUUGGCAUAGGUAGGGUGUACACAGACAGACCAUGUGUCGGCGUAUGUAGGGUGUACACAGACAGACCAUGUGUCGGCGUAGGUAGGGUGUAUGGCAACUAAAAAAGUGUCAGCAAUACCUUUUCCCACAGCAAGUCUUCUGACUCUUUAAUCUUCUGUCAGCAUAUGUGUUAGCUACAGGUUAUGUGUCGGCAAAGGUACCAUAUGCCAACAGAUUGAUGUGUCGCCAAAACUUCACCGUGGUGUAGUGUAUAGUGGAUCACAAUAGUUUUCGAGGGUAGAGUAUUCAACCCAAAUUUAUUGAUUCGACACAAGGGGAGCCAAAAAAUAUUUGUAAGUAUUAGCAGUUGAGUUGUCAAUUCAACCACAUCUGGAGAUUAAAUAUCUGCAAGAGAGUGAUCAGUAGCACAGUAAUAUGAUAGGUCGAUAGUAGUAUAGUAACAGUAACAGUGGUAACGGUAACAACAGUAACAAUUUUGUAGCAGUUGUAACAGUAGCAAUAGCAAUAGUAACUUAGCAAGAACAAUAUGUGAAAACACGUAGGCAUUGGAUCGGUGAUUACGUUGGAUAAUAUUCAUCAUAUAACAUUCAUAACCUAGGGCGACACAGAAAUAGCUCCAGUUCAUAAAUAUAAUGUAGGCAUGUAUUCCGUAAUAGUCAUACAUGCUUAUGGCCAAUGCAACCGAUGGUCCGAUUGCAUCAACCAAGUGAAUCAUGCACCACCGAGCGGUGUGACAGUGGCGGAAUAUGGCCCCUACAUCCAAGAACUAUUCAAGCAUCGGAACACUAAGUUCGGCCACAAGUUCUUCACGUUGCAUCAUUACUACAAAGAGCUAUGCAAGAACGAGAAGGGGGUGGUGGUAGUGGUGAUGGUGGUGACCGAGGUGGUGGUGGUGUAGAUGGUGGCCGAGUGCAUCGUGGAGUUGAUUUCUUCACCGAGAACGUCGUUUUAGUGGUCGUGGCUGAGGUGGUUCAUGCCAUUGGUUGGCUCGAUCCACAACAUAUACAUGCUAUGUUUGUGGUGAUUUUGGAACAAACAUUCUGUUUGAAAUGAUGCCUUUUGGGUGAACUUUGCAUGUUUUUAUUUGAAACUCGUGAUGAUGAAACUAUAUGUUAUAGCGGUUAUGUCAUGCAUGUUUCAAUUUUAAUAUUCUCAUGAUAUAUAUUGUGUAGUGGUCGAAGUUCAUGCAGCUAGGACACCAAAUAUACACAAUUUUUAUUUUUACUCCACUAACUAUAGGGGAUCGGCUAGGUGCGGCCGCCGUUACUGGAGUAAAAAUGUACUCUACUAACUUUACUCCCCCGGAUAUUCCCUUAAAUUUUAGGAGAUCGGUUAGAAAUGCCCUUAGGAGUUAGCUGAGAGUAAUUUCUACUAUACUAUUCAUUGUCUUCUCUGUUAUUAGAUUUAUUAUAAUCUGAUUGACGGAUGCUAGAUGAAGUGCUCACUGGAUCGCACGCGCACUAUCGAUGAACUGCAGCAGAGAAAGCAUGCACCAGCCUUGCAGCGUCAGGGGGCAGUGGUGGCUGGGGCACGAGUGCUACGACGACCACAAAUUGGGGUUGAGGAGGACUACAUUGAGAGCCAUUAGGCGACAACACCUCCUUCUGGAACCUGGUUUUCUGGAUCCUUGCGUGGGCUCGGUGUGCAUCUCCUCGGCCGUGCCACAACUCAUAUCCUUUGACGGGAGUAACUCGGUGGAGCCGUAGCGGAUGACAAGAAGGUAGGGGAGGAGCAGAGGAUGGAUGUAGUGUUUGGGAACGUAGUAAUUCAAAAAAAUUCCUACGAUCAUGCAAGAUCUAUCUAGGACAAGCAUAGCAACGAGCGGGGAGAGUGUGUCUACGUACCCUCGUACACCAAAAGCGGAAGCGUUUAGUAACGCGGUUGAUGUAGUCGAACGUCUUCAUGAUCCAACCAAUCCAAGUACCGAACGUACGACACCUCCGUGUUCAGCACACAUUCAACACGAUGAUGUCCCUCGAGCUCUUGAUCCAGUUGAGAACGAGGGAGAGUUCCGUUAGCACGAUGGCGUGGCGACGGUGAUGAUGAAGUUACCGGCGCAGGGCUUUGCCUAAGCACUACGACAAUAUGACCAAGGUGUGUCAAUGUGUCGGGGGGCACCACACACGGCUAAGAGAAGACUUGGUGUGUCUUUGGGGUGCCCCCUCCCACGUAUAUAAAGGAGGGGGGAAGAGGAGUCCGGCCCAAGGGGGGUGCGCCAAAGGGGGGAGUCCUACUUGGACUCCCGGUCCAAGUAGGAUUCGCCCCCCUUUCCUAUUCCGACUAGGCGAAGGAGGGAAGGAGGAAGAGGGGAGAAUGAAAGAGGGGGGCACCGCCCCCUCCUAGUCCAAUUCGGACCUGCCAUGGGCGGGGGGCGCAGCCACCCCUUGAGGUCCUUCUCUCCUUUCCCCUAAAGCCCAUUAAGGCCCAUUACUCUCCCGAGGUGUUCCGGUAACCUUCCGGGAAAAUACCCGAAACACUUCGAAACCAUUCCGGUGUCCGAAUAUAACCUUCCAAUAUAUCGAUCUUUACCUCUCGACCAUUUCGAGACUCCUCGUCAUGUCCGUGAUCUCAUCCGGGACUCCGAACAAAUUUUGGUCAUCAAAUCACAUAACUCAUAAUACAAAUCGUCAUCGAAUGUUAAGCGCGGACCCUACGGGUUCGAAAACUAUGUAGACAUGACCGAGACACAUCUCCAGUAAAUAACCAAUAGCGGAACCUGGAUGCUCAUAUUGGUUCCUACAUAUUCUACGAAGAUCUUUAUCGGUCAAACCGCAUAACAACAUACGUUAUUCCCUUUGUCAUCGGUAUGUUACUUGCCCGAGAUUCGAUCGUCGGUAUCGUCAUACCUAGUUCAAUCUCGUUAACGACAAGUCUCUUUACUCAUUCCGUAAUGCGUCAUCUCAUGACUAACUCAUUAGUCACAUUGCUUGCAAGGCUUAUAGUGAUGUGAAUUACCGAGACGGCCCAGAGAUACCUCUCCGAUACACGGAGUGACAAAUCCUAAUCUCUAUCUAUGCCAACUCAACAAACACCAUCGGAGACACCUGUAGAGCAUCUUUAUAAUCACCCAGUUACGUUGUGACGUUUGAUAACACACAAGGUGUUCCUUCGUUAUUCGGGAGUUGCGUAAUCUCAUAGUCAGAGGAACAUGUAUAAGUCAUGAUGAAAGCAAUAACAAAAAAACUAAACGAUCAUUAAUGUUAAGCUAACGGAUGGGUCUUGUCUAUCACAUCAUUCUCUAACGAUGUGAUCAUGUUCAUCAAAUGACAACACAUGUCUAUGGUUAGGAAACUUAACCAUCUUUGAUAACGAGCUAGUCAAGUAGAGGCAUACUAGGGACACUCUGUUUGUCUAUGCAUUCACACAUGUACUAAGUUUCCGGUUAAUACAAUCCGAGCAUGAAUAAUAAACAUUUAUCGUGAUAUAAGGAAAUAUAAAUAACAACUUUAUUAUUGCCUCUAGGGCAUAUUUCCUCCAGUCUCCCAGUCGCACUACAGUCAAUAAUCUAGAUUACAUACUAAUGAUUCUAACACCCAUGGAGUCUUGGUGUUGAUCAUGUUUUGCUCGUGAGAGAGGCUUAGUCAACAAGUCUGCAACAUUCAGAUCCGUAUGUAUCUUGCAAAUCUCUAUGUCUCUCUCCUUGACCAGAUCGCGGAUGGAAUUGAAGCGUCUCUUGAUGUGCUUGGUUCUCCUGUGAAAUCUAGAUUCCUUCGCCAAGGCAAUUGCUCCAGUAUUGUCACAAAAGAUUUUCAUUGGACCAGAUGCACUAGGUAUUACACCUAGAUCGGAUAUGAACUCCUUCACCCAGACUCCUUCAUUUGCUGCUUCCGAAGCAGCUAUGUACUCCGCUUCACACGUAGAUCCCACCACAACGCUUUGCUUGGAGCUGCACCAACUUACAGGUCCACCAUUUAAUAUAAAUACGUAUCCGGUUUGUGACUUAGAGUCAUCCGGAUCAGUGUCAAAGCUUGCAUCGACGUAACCAUUUACGAUGAGCUCUUUAUCACCUCCAUAAACAAGAAACAUAUCCUUAGUUCUUUUCAGGUAUUUCAGGAUGUUCUUGACCGCUGUCUAGUGAUCCACUCCUGGAUUACUUUGGUACCUCCCUGCUAUACUUAUAGCAAGGCACACAUCAGGCCUGGUACGCAGCAUUGCAUACAUGAUAGAACCUAUUGUUGAGGCAUAGGGAAUGACUUUCAUUUCCUCUCUAUCUUCUGCAGUGGUCGGGCAUUGAGUCUGACUCAACUUCACACCUUGUAACACAAGCAGGAACCAUUUCUUUGACUGGUCCAUUUUGAAUUUCUUCAAAACUUUAUCAAGGUAUGUGCUUUGUGAAAGUCCAAUUAAGCGUCUUGAUCUAUCUCUAUAGAUCUUGAUGCCCAAUAUAUAAGCAGCUUCACCGAGGUCUUUCAUUGAAAAAUUCUUAUUCAAUUAUCCUUUUAUGCUAUCCAGAAAUACUGUAUCAUUUCCAAUCAAUAAUAUGUCAUCCACAUAUAAUAUUAGAAAUGCUACAAAGCUCCCACUCACUUUCUUGUAAAUACAGGCUUCUCCAAAAGUCUGUAUAUAACCAUAUGCUUUGAUCACACUAUUAAAGCGUAUAUUCCAACUCCGAGAGGCUUACACCAGCCCAUAAAUGGAUCGCUCGAGCUUGCUCACAUUGUUAGCACCUUUUGGAUCGACAAAACCUUCUAGUUGCAUCAUAUACAACUCUUCUUUAAGAUAUCCAUUAAGGAAUGCAGUUUGACAUCCAUUUGCCAAAUAUAAUAAUCAUAAAAUGCGGCAAUUGCUAACAUGAUUCAGACAAACUUAAGCAUCGCUACGGGUGAGAAGGUCUCAUCGUAGUCAACUCCUUGAACUUGUCGAAAACCUUUCGCAACAAGUCGAGCUUUGUAGACAGUAGCAUUGCCGUCAACAUCAGUCUUCUUCUUGAAGAUCCAUUUAUUCUCAAUGGCUUGCCCAUCAUUGGGCAAGUCAACCAAAGUACACACUUUGUUCUCAUACAUGGAUCCCAUCUCAGAUUUCAUGGCCUCAAGCCAUUUCGCGGAACCUGGGCUCAUCAUCGCUUCCUCAUAGUUCGUAGGUUCUUCAUGGUCAAGUAACAUGACUUCCAGAACAGGAUUACCGUACCACUCUGGUGCGGAUCGUACUCUGGUUGACCUACGAGGUUCGGUAGUAACUUGAUCUGAAGUUUCAUGAUCAUCAUCAUUAGCUUCCUCACUAAUUGGUGUAGGAAUCACUGGAACUGAUUUCUGUGAUGAACUACUUUCCAAUAAGGGAGCAGGUACAAUUACCUCAUCAAGUUCUACUUUCCUCCCACUCACUUCUUUCGAGAGAAACUCCUUCUCGAGAAAGGAUCCAUUCUUAGCAACGAAUAUCUUGCCUUCGGAUCUGUGAUAGAAGGUGUACCCAACAGUCUCCUUUGGGUAUCCUAUAAAGACACAUUUCUUCGAUUUUGGUUCUAACUUAUCAGGUUGAUGCUUUUUCACAUAAUCAUCGCAGCCCCAAACUUUAAGAAACGACAACUUAGGUUUCUUGCCAAACCACAGUUCAUAUGGUUUCGUCUCAACGGAUUUUGAUGGUGCCCUAUUUAACGUGAAUGCAGCCGUCUCUAAAGCAUAACCCCAAAACGAUAACGGUAAAUUAGUAAGAGACAUCAUAGAUCGCACCAUUUCUAAAAAAGGACGGUUACAACGUUCGGACACACCAUUAUGUUGUGGUGUUCCAGGUGGCGUGUGUUGUGAAACUAUUCCACAUUGUUUCAAAUAAAGACCAAACUCGUAACUCAAAUAUUCACCUCCACGAUCAGAUCAUAGAAACUUUAUUUUCUUGUUACGGUGAUUUUCCACUUCACUCCGAAAUUCUUUGAACUUUUCAAAUGUUUUAGACUUAUGUUUCAUCAAGUAGAUAUACCCAUAUCUUCUCAAAUCAUCCGUGAAGGUCAGAAAAUAACAAUACCCGCCGCGGCCUCAAGACUCAUCGGACCGCAUACAUCAGUAUGUAUUAUUUCCAAUAAAUCUGUUGCUCGCUCCAUUGUUCCGGAGAACGGAGUCUUAGUCAUCUUGCCCAUGAGGCAUGGUUCGCAAGAAUCAAGUGAUUCAUAAUCAAGUGAUUCCAAAAGCCCAUCAGCAUGGAGUUUCUUCAUGCGCUUUACACCAAUAUGACCUAAACGACAGUGCCACAAAUAAGUUGCACUAUCAUUAUUAACCUUGCACCUUUUGGCUUCAAUAUUAUGAAUAUGUGUAUCACCACAAUCGAGAUUCAACAAAAAUAGACCACUCAUCAAGGGUGCAUGACAAUAAAAGAUAUUACUCAUAUAAAUAGAACAACCAUUAUUCUCUGAUUUAAAUGAAUAACCAUCACAUAUCAAACAAGAUCCAGAUAUAAUGUUCAUGCUCAACGCUGGCACCAAAUAACAAUUAUUUAGGUCUAAAACUAAUCCCGACGGUAGAUGUAGAGGUAGCAUGCCGACGGCGAUCACAUCGACUUUGGAACCAUUUCCCACACACAUCGUCACCUCGUCCUUAGCCAAUCUUCGCUUAAUCCGUAGCCCCUGUUUCGAGUUGCAAAUAUGAGAAAUAGAACCAGUAUCAAAUACCCAGGCGCUACUACGAGCAUUAGUAAGGUACACAUCAAUAACAUGUAUAUCAAAUACACCUUUCACUUUUCCAUCAUUCUUAUCCGCCAAAUACUUGGGGCAGUUCCGCUUCCAGUGACCAGUCCCUUUGCAGUAGAAGCACUCAGUCUUAGGCUUAGGUCCAGACUUGGGCUUCUUCACUUAAGCAUCAACUUGCUUGCCGUUCUUCUUGAAGUUCGCCUUCUUCCCUUUACCCUUUUUCUUGAAACUAGUGGUCUUGUUAACCAUCAACACUUGAUGCUCCUUCUUGAUUUCUACCUCCGCAGCCUUCGCGAAGAGCUCGGGAAUAGUCUUCUCCAUCCCUUGCAUAUUAUAGUUCAUCACGAAGCCUUUAUAUCUUGGUGGCAGUGAUUGAAAACUCUGUCAAUGGCACUAUCAUCAGGAAGAUUAACUCCCAGCUGAGUCAAGUGCUUGUGGUACCCAGACAUUCUGAGUAUGUGCUCAUUAACAGAACUGUUCUCCUCCAUCUUGCAGCUAUAGAACUUGUUGGAGACUUCAUAUCUCUCAACUUGGGCAUUUGCUUGAAAUAUUAACUUCAACUCCUGGAACAUCUCAUAUGCUCCAUGACGUUCAAAACGUCUUUGAAGUCCCGAUUCUAAGGCGUAAAGCAUAGCACACUGAACUAUCGAGUAGUCAUCAGCUUUGCUCUGCCAGGCGUUCAUAACGUCCGGAGUUGCUCCUGCAGCGGGUCUUGCACCUAGCGGUGCUUUCAGGACGUAAUUCUUCUGUGCAGCAAUAAGGAUAAUCCUCAAGUUACGGACCCAGUCCGUGUAGUUGCUACCAUCAUCUUUCAACUUAGCUUUCUCUAGGAACACAUUAAAAUUCAAGGAAAUGGUAGCACGGGCCAUUGAUCUACAAUAACAUAGACAUGCAAAAUACUAUCAGGUACUAAGUUCGUGAUAAAUUAAAGUUUUAUUAAUCAUAUUACUUAAGAACUCCCACUUAGAUAGACAUCCCUCUAGUCAUCUAAAUGAUCACGUGAUCCAAAUCAACUAAACCAUGUCCGAUCAUCACGUGAGAUGGAGUAGUUUUCAAUGGUGAACAUCACUAUGUUGAUCAUAUUUACUAUAUGAUUCAUGCUCGACCUUUCGGUCUCAGUGUUUCGAGGCCAUAUCUGCAUAUGCUAGGCUCGUCAAGUUUAACCCGAGUAUUCUGCAUGUGCAAAACUGGCUUGCACCCGUUGUAUGUGAACGUAGAGCUUAUCACACCCGAUCAUCACGUGGUGUCUCGGCACGACAAACUGUAGCAACGGUGCAUACUCAGGAAGAACACUUAUACCUUGAAAUUUAGUGAGGGAUCAUCAUAUAAUGCUACCGCCGUACUUAAAAAAAUAAGAUGCAUAAAAGAUAAACAUCACAUGCAAUCAAUAUAAGUGAUAUGAUAUGGCCAUCAUCAUCUUGUGCCUUUGAUCUCCAUCUCCAAAGCACCGUCAUGAUCACCAUCGUCACCGGCUUGACACCUUGAUCUCCAUCGUAGCAUCGGUGUCGUCUCGCCAACUAUUGCUUCUACGACUAUCGCUACCGCUUAGUGAUAAAGUAAAGCAAUUACAUGGAAAUUGCAUUUCAUACAAUAAAGCGACAACCAUAAGGCCCCUGCCAGUUGCCGAUAACUUUUACAAAACAUGAUCAUCUCAUACAACAAUUUAUAUAUCAUCACGUCAUGACCAUAUCACAUCACAACAUGCCCUGCAAAAACAAGUUAGACGGGCUUCUAGCAAGAACCGUUCUUACCUACACAUCAAAAGCACAACGAGUUUUCAUCAAGUGUGCUGUUUUAACCUUCAACAAGGACUGGCUGUAGUCAAACGCGAUUCAACUAAAGUUGGAGAAACAGACACCCGCCAGCCACCUGUGUGCAAAGCACGUCGGUAGAACCAGUCUCAUGAACGCGAUCAUGUAAUGUCGGUCCGGGCCGCUUCAUCCAACAAUACCGCCGAAUCAAAGUAAGACGUUGCUGGUAAGCAGUAUGACUAUUAUCGCCCACAACUCUUUGUGUUCUACUCAUGCAGAUAAUAUCUACGCAUAGACCUGGCUCGGAUGCCACUGUUGGGGAACGUAGUAAUUCAAAAAAAUUCCUACGAUCACAAAAGAUCUAUCUAGGAGUAGCAUAGCAACGAGCAGGGAGAGUGUGUCCAUGUACCCUCGUAGACCGAAAGCGGAAGCUUUUAGUAACGCGGUUGAUGUAGUCGAACGUCUUCACGAUCCAAUCGAUCCAAGUACCGAACGUACGGCACCUCCGGUUCAGCACACGUUCAGCAUGAUGACGUCCCUCGAGCUCUUGAUCCAGUUGAGGACGAUGGAGAGUUCUGUCAGCACGAUGGCAUGGCGACGGUGAUGAUGAAGUUACCGGUGCAGGGCUUCGCCUAAGCACUACGACGAUAUGACCGAGGUGUGUCACUAUGGAGGGGGAACCACACACGGCUAAGAGAAGACUUCGUGUGUCUUUGGGGUGCCCCCUCCCAUGUAUAUAAAUGAGGGGGGAAGAGGAGGCCGGCCCAAGGGGGGACACGCCAAAGGGGGGAGUCCUACUUGGACUCCCGGUCCAAGUAGGAUUCGCCCCCCGUUUCCUAUUCCAACUAGGAUAAGGAGGGAAGGAGGAAGAGGGAAGGAAAGAGGGGGGCGCCGCCCCCUCCUAGUCCAAUUCAGACCAGCCAUGGGGGGGGGGCACCCCUUAAGGCCCUUAUCUCCUUUCCCCUAAAGCCCAUUAAGGCCCAUUACUCUCCCGGGGGGUUCCGGUAACCUCCCGGUACUCCGAAAAAUAACCGAAACACUUCGGAACCAUUCCGGUGUCCGAAUAUAACCUUCCAAUAUAUUGAUCUUUACCUCUCGACCAUUUUGAGACUCCUCGUCAUGUCUGUGAUCUCAUCCGGGACUCCGAACAAACUUCGGUCAUCAAAUCACAUAACUCAUAAUACAAAUCGUCAUCGAACGUUAAGCAUGCAGACCCUACGGGUUCGAGAACUAUGUAGACAUGACCGAGACACAUCUCCGGUCAAUAACCAAUAGAGGAACCUGGAUGCUCAUAUUGGUUCCUACAUAUUCUACGAAGAUCUUUAUCGGUCAAACCGCAUAACAACAUACGUUAUUCCCUUUGUCAUCGGUAUGUUAUUUACCCGAGAUUCGAUCGUCGGUAUCCUCAUACCUAGUUCAAUCUCGUUACGGGCAAGUCUCUUUACUCGUUCUGUAAUGCAUCAUCCCGUGACUAACUCAUUAGUCACAUUGCUUGCAAGGCUUAUAGUGAUGUGCAUUACCGAGAGGGCCUAGAGAUACCUCUCCGGUACACGGAGUGACAAGUCCUAAUCUCGAUCUAUGCCAACUCAACAAACACCAUCGGAGACACCUGUAGAGCAUCUUUAUAAUCACCCAGUUACGUUGUGACGUUUGAUAGCACACAAGGUGUUCCUCCGGUAUUCGGGAGUUGCAUAAUCUCAUAGUCGGAGGAACAUGUAUAAGUCAUGAUGAAAGCAAUAGCAAAAAAACUAAACGAUCAUUAAUGCUAAGCUAACGGAUGGGUCUUGUCUAUCACAUCAUUCUCUAAUGAUGUGAUCAUGUUCAUCAAAUGACAACACAUGUCUAUGGUUAGGAAACUUAACCAUCUUUGAUUAACGAGCUAGUCAAGUAGAGGCAUACUAGGGACACUCUGUUUGUCUAUGUAUUCACACAUGUACUAAGUUUCCGGUCAAUUCCAGAACAAAUAAUAAACAUUUAUCAUGAUAUAAGGAAAUAUAAAUAACAACUUUAUUAUUGCCUCUAGGGCAUAUUUCCUUCAUCUAGAGGCGGCGCUCGAUGGAGCCGGGGAAAACAAAUCUGGGUGCAAUAUUAUCGUUGACGUGGCUGGGAUUGACAUAGCCGUGGCCUUGAUCCAUGGAUCUGUCAUGUGCCUGACGGGAUUUGGGGCGUGGCCAUGAAGUGGAGAGGUAGUGGUGGAGAUGUGGUGUUGUGGUGGUGAGGACGUGGAGGCUAGAGGGUCGGGAUGGGUCGCGGGGUGGAAGGCCGGGGUACUAGCAACGGGCGGCGAAGGAGCAGUGGGAGGCCCACGCAGGUAAGCGGACCAGAGGGGAAGAGGUUGCGGUGGUUGGUGGGGUUCGCAUGGGGUGGCGGCGGGAAAUUAGCCGGUGAGGAAGAAGGUGGGGUGUGGGGCGGAUGUUGUUUUUCUGGCUGGUUUGGUGGUUCGUUUUUUCAGAGGAAUGCCUUUGGUGCACUUUAUUAAAAUCAAAUGACAGUUACAUCAAGAACAAUGUCUGGGUUAAUAAAACUGGAGGUUCGGUUAGCGUAGGGUGGAGGGCUUGGUUAGGGCAUCUCCAAAGCUGGCCCACAAAUGUCUCUGGUAUAUGUCCUUUUUUUGUCUAGGCGUGAUUCGUGGACAUGAUGCGGGACGGAGCCAUCCAAUGCUAAUCACAAAGUAUCCGGUUGAGAGGAAAAAAGUAGGUGGGGACCAUGCAUGUGGUGGAAUGUUUGUGGUUUAGUGUCCGGUUGGGACGAGAGAAAGAGAAGAGAGGGGCCAUGCAUGUGCGGUUGAGAGGAGAGAGAGAAGAGGGGGACCAUGCAUGUGAUUGAUCAAGUGUACUACCUCCGUCUCGGUGAAUAAGUCAUUCGCGUAGUUCUAGGUCGACGAUUUAACUAUCUAAAUAUGUAUUAUAUGUGACAAAAUAUAUAUAUUUAGAAACUACAUCCGUGUAGAAAUCUAGUGAUAUACUUUUCAUGGCAUAUAACACAUAUUUAAUUCCUCACAUCGAUGACCUAGAACUACGCAAAUGACUUAUUCACCUAGACGGAGGUAGUACUUUUGUUUAGAAAAGGAGGAUGACCUCCGGCCUCUGCAUCUGGACGAUGCAUGCAGCCAUUUUAUUAAUUAUUCACAAAGACCUUACAAAGUAAUACAUCAGUAAGUAUGAAGCCACCAUCUUGGCAACAUCUGCCACUACUCCUAUCUAGCUGAUGAAGGGGUGCCGGAAGUCCGAGCCAAGUACCAAACAGACCUCGCACCAAAGCCUAACAUCUAAAGCCGGAGGCCCCAACCAAGCCUCAUACCGGGUCUGGGGCACAAACCAGUCCGACGAAGUCUCAGAAGUCGCCGCCGCCAUCUUCCACUGAUCCAUCUUCAGAGCAGGCACUCAUGCAUCGACCUUGCUAGGCCUGCCGUCGAGGCCCCCACGACGCUAGAUAGCGCCCCCGCCCUGCGCGAGUCCAUCAACUCACAUCCGUCAGCGAGACCCUGCUACACCAUGCCGUCGAGACUCACCGUCGUCGACGCAAUAGAUGUACACCGCUCCACUCCUUGCGUCCUCCGUCCAGCAACUGCUCCAAAACAAUGCCCUCAUGAGGUAGAGCGACACAAAGAGCGCCGCCAUCAUCCGAUCCAGAAUACCCGGAUUUGGGGUUUCCCCUGGAACAGUGCGAGUGGGAAGAAGGUGUAUGCAGUGGCGAUGCCUUCAACAAGGUAGCGACGCUUAGACGGCGUCAUCGCCUGCCAUGACCGUUGUCGGAGCACGGUUUUCACGGGCAGCCACGCCUCCCCAACUCGCCGCCGGUACUUGAUGUGGGAUCCAGAGAUCCGCCACAGCCAGUUGGCCGACCAACUCUGGCGGAGGAGUAGACCGCCACCGCCAUGCCCGGGCAGCUGCCCGAGGCUUCCCCAUGCUGCGUGACUAGCCCAGGAGCACCUCCACGUACCGCCAUCGGAGCCGUCGAGAUGUAGUAGGGACAACCACGUGUAGGAUGAGGCCCGCCCAGACCCAUCUAUGCCUAGAUCAGGCCUGCCUGCACCACGCCACCGCCACCCACUGUCGUCUACGCCGCUCGCAGCCACAAGCACGCCAAGCCGCGCUUGUCGCCGCCACCCUGAAACACUGCUGCCGAAGAGGCCGGGACAUUGUAUGUCCAGACUCUGGCAAAGCCCCUAAUGUUGUCUCUUGGAUACGAGAAUCCGUACGUCCAGACUGCUAAGCGGACAUAUACAGGUCUCCGUUGGAUGACAAAAGUGGUCCGGACAUUGUGGUCUGGACAUGGGUCCGCUUUGGAGAUUUCCUAAGGGUCUCAAGUGUAUGUCCAGACUCCGGCAAAGCCCCCGACGUUUGUCUAUUGGAUACCGGAAUCCGUAUGCCCGGACUAUUAAGCGGACAUAUACGGGUCUCAUUGAAUUUGUGUAGCUUACAAAGCAAUGCUCAUUACACAGAAAAACUGUAAAAUCAUAGGCACAAUAUGUGCAUGAAAUGAACCAAAUUCUAGUUAUUUGACGUCCAAACCAUUCAAGUUGAUGCCCUUCCCAUGGAGCCUUAUUCCAAGCAAGCUCAUCUUUCCUAUUAGGGUUGAACAGCAAACCAAAAUUAGAUGCAGGUAGCCUCGACUUAUAGACUUAACUGGAAACUCACUUCGACGGUCCAAUGGGUUAUUUCCUAUUCUCCUGCAGCAAAGCACAUAUAUAUAUGUAUUCCCUUAAUUUAUUAAUUUAUGCUCAAUAAAUCUGCAGAAAAAUGUCCUAGUUUGUAUUUUUAACUACCCUUGUGAGGACCAGGGAUUUUCACCAUCGCAUCACACCCACAGAAAGGAUAGAGGCAGGCGGGCGGAGACCAGGAGAUCGCCAUAAGCACGGCAAAUAUACACAUCAAAAGUAUCGUCAAGCAUGCACUGGGGAAUUGACAUCCAUCACGUGCCUUGCCAACAUUGGUUGUGCCAAGCUCACAUUAGGUGGCCGUGCCAAGACCAGGAUUAGAUGUUGAUGCUCAAUGCAUAUGCAUAGAUUGCGGUGGCAGCUGCAAGCAUGAGUGGCGAGGACGGCGCAGCUCCAGUACUCCAGUGCGAGCCCCUUCUGUGUAGAUACGGCUUGCCUACGGGCAGGAGAAGGAGGCUGUGAAGUAUGUUUCAGUUGUGAAGCACGACGUAUCAUAAAGCAUCUCCAACAAAUCAAUGGUAAAAGUCUCACUUCAGUUAUAUGGUCUCACAAACACAUGAUGAAUGGGUACCUUUGCCAGAUCAGACAUGAUCACUAACUGUGCCCAUUAGUGUUACUUGCAUGUGGAAUACUCCCUCUGAUGCAUGGAUGCUAACUAAUCUUGCAUUCAGUUCUAAAACGAACAAUGCAUCAAAAUAUUGAAAGAAACAAAUAAUAAACCAUAACGCUAACAGGGUGUCCACAGUAAGGCGAAAAGGGAGUCAUGGCAUUACACAUCAAUACCAUUGCUGAAAAAUUAUGAGACAAACAAAUACGUAUAUUAGCAAAAAACAGUUGUCUCAGACAAAUGAAAAGAAAACCAAAAUCGCAUUGUCUAAUCUAAAAGGAGUGUAAUCCAUCACCAUGUAUGUGGUAAGGAUUCUGAUCGUGAAGGCUUAAGUAACCCCUUCUUAUCCAUUCCAUUUUCUUUCAUUAACACAAUAUUGGUAGGUCCACGAAAAAUAUAGAUCAAAACUGUUCUGAAUAAAACCCAAUUCGCAAAUCUGAAUGGACUGCAACUGGACAGAUCAUUCAAUCAAUAAUUUCAAUGAUCUUCAGAUUCGGUGAUGUAAAAGUAAUUAGGGCAAGAGUAAUACAAUACUGAAUCCCACAUACCUUACUGACGGGAACAUUGACGCCAAUGCUAGAGCAGUUCAGCUUGUGCAUUGCAAUGAAAUCCCACAAACUUCCUGCCGGGCUAGUGAUGUUUCGGCAUGAUUGAGAGUGCAGAGGGACAUGCGUAAAGAAAAUAUUUUGGUAGAGGCAAGUAGAGCCCAGCCGCAAGGAGCCCCUCUUAUUUUCUCCUGUCGCAGUCACGCCAACCGGAUCAUCAGAUCGGCGUUCUUCAUGCCAGGGCAAAGGGAGGAGGGGCUGGACGAUGGGCUGUACGACUGAGGGGCAACGCCGAUGCGGGGCGUCAGCCAAGCGCUGUCGUCCAGGCGCAGCACCGAAAGCGCAUCUUGGCGCCGCGUGGGGAUGAGGUCGCGCGCCGAAGCUCUAUUCCGGCGGCUACGACUGGAUCAAGAAUAGGGAGCAACUAGUUAACGAGCCCUCCUUCGGAAGACUUGCAACGAUCAGCGCCACUUGGCGCGCUCUCAGCCAUUCGCCACGUGUCGCGUUCUGGAUGCUCCCUUCGGNNNNNNNNNNNNNNNNNNNNNNNNNNNNNNNNNNNNNNNNNNNNNNNNNNNNNNNNNNNNNNNNNNNNNNNNNNNNNNNNNNNNNNNNNNNNNNNNNNNNNNNNNNNNNNNNNNNNNNNNNNNNNNNNNNNNNNNNNNNNNNNNNNNNNNNNNNNNNNNNNNNNNNNNNNNNNNNNNNNNNNNNNNNNNNNNNNNNNNNNNNNNNNNNNNNNNNNNNNNNNNNNNNNNNNNNNNNNNNNNNNNNNNNNNNNNNNNNNNNNNNNNNNNNNNNNNNNNNNNNNNNNNNNNNNNNNNNNNNNNNNNNNNNNNNNNNNNNNNNNNNNNNNNNNNNNNNNNNNNNNNNNNNNNNUCUUAGCUUUUUGAUCAAAAAACAAUUUUCAAAAAAAAAGUUUUUUGCGCGAAAAAACGCGUUUUUUUCCUUUCGAGAAAGUCACGGUUUUUUUCCGCAAGAGGCACGGUUGUGCUUUAUCGAGAGUCACAGCCGUGCCUUUCGGAAACGAAAAAAACUCGUUUUUUGUUUUUUUUUCUUUCGCGAGAGUCAUGGUUUUGCUUCCGCGAGAGGCACGGUUGUGCUUUCGCGAGAGUCAUGGCCAUGCCUCUCGGAAAGGGAAAAACAAAACGCGUUUUCUGUUUUUUUUCUUUCGUGAGAGUCACGGUUUUGCUUUCGCGAGAGGCACGGUUGUGCUUACGCGAAAGUCACGGCCGUGCCUCUCGAAAAGGGAAAAAAUACGCGUUUUUUUUCUUUCGCGAGAGUCACAGUUUUGCUUUCGCGAGAGGCACGGUUGUGCUUUCGCGAGAGUCACGGCCGUGCCUCUCGGAAACGGAAAAAAACGCGUUUUUUGUCUUUUUUUUCUUUUCACGAGAGUCACGGUUUUGAUUCCACGAGAGGCACGGUUGUGAUUUCGCGAGAGGCACGGGCGUGCCUCUUUCGGAAAGGAAAAAAAACCAUGCUCCCGGUUCGUUUUUUCGCCCGAUUUUUUUAAUCCGGUUUUUCUCGUGAAAAAAAAAUUCGUCAAAACCUAUCAACAUGGGAUCUAGUUUUGAGGAUCUCGACGCGAGGAAUCCAAUGGUGAAAACGGUUCGAGAUUUGGACGCAUGGUUUAAGAGAUAAAAUGUUUUGUAUAAGCGGAUCUACGAAAAAAGGGAAAACUCCCAGGUUGCGACAAGUGGCGUGCUGCAUGUGCGCCACUAGUCGCCACCCGGGAAAGUGGAGUGUUCUUUGCAACGAGUACUCCUUAAUUAGUGACAUCGUCAAGAAUAUAGGUGGGAUGGGAAGAUGAGAUGUGCGGACCAGGUCUAUUCAUCGGAGAGAUAUAAUAUGGUGGGGAGAUGAGACGAUAAAUCUGGGUUAGUGCCCUUGGAAGAGGAAGCAAUUUCGGUCGAGAGGCUGCUUUCAAUCGGGUGUUACGUUUGGAAACGAAACUGCUAGUUGAGAAGACAAAAAAUAGGAAGGAGUAGCGGGUCCUCCUGCAGUUCUGCUGGUAAUAGAAGGCUAACAUGGCCAUUCUUUUAUGCUGGUCAACAUGUGGCGGGUCCCUUUAAGUGGGUAACGAAGUGGUCAUGUGGCUGGCUUGCUGAUGUGGAUAGCUUGCAUGUUAAGAGAAAUGAAAUAGUGGGGAUGAAUUAUUUAGGUAUUAUAAAUUAAUUAAUAUUGAUUGAGCUUUUUCAGAACACAAUGGAUACAGUGGACGAGGAUUAAUAUGGAGAGAUGCCUCCCAUGAAGUCCUUUUUGCUGCAGCGGGCUCAUCCCAAUCAAUUUCCAAUGCUUUACACGCUGAGACAGUGACCCUUUGCACUGUAGUUAAAUGGGCUGUUCAAAUGGGGGUGGGCAGAGUACAUUUUGAGACUGAUUGUCUAGUGCUACAACAAGCUGUGUCAUCGGAUAUGUACGACCUGUCUUCCCUUGGUCAACUGUUCAAAGAGCAUAAGGCGAAUCUUGCCACACAAUUUAUCCAGGCUAUGGUUGUACACACGCCACGUGUUUGUAACAAGCGAGCGCAUGUGCUGGCUGCUAUUGGUGCGGGUUUAGUUGCUGGAGAGUCUAACCAGUGGUUCUCUAACUAACCUGAUGAUGUAACCCGUGUUGUAACCGACGAUUUAGCCGUGUCUUAAUGGAAUACGAGUGUUCCAUCUAAAAAAACUUGCACACGAUACUUCCUCUCUCGUCGCCGCCAACCGCUCAGUCGCCCCUCGCACCCGCCGCUCAGCCCCGCUGCACCCUUGCACAUGAACGGUGGAGGCCACACGCACGCACGCACCUGACAGGUAGGCCGGACGGGUGGAGGCCGCUCGCACCUGAUGGGGAGGCCGCAUGGGUGGCGGCCGCACGCACCCGAGGCCUGCCGACCUGGGGUUGCAUCGGCCGAAUCUCCGCCUGGCAGAUAGGUUGCACACGGCCCCGACGCCUGCCGACUGUCGUCCUCCUCUCCGCCGCCCGCAUAUUUUCCACUCUGUAUGGCCGCACCACACCCGCGCCCGCGCCCGCUGAUUCUCCACUUGGUCCAGGCCGCACGACGCCGUCACCCGCCCCCUUCACGUCACGCCCUGGGGUUAAUAGGCGCGCCACCCGUCGAUUCUAUGCCGCCGCCUGCCAUGUCACGUCCUAGGGUUGCUGGGCGUUGACGCCAACACAAUCUGCCAUCCCCAAAUCCUCUUGGCGCAGUUUUGCUGGCUGUGAACACCAUCUGCUACCGAAUCCUUUCCCACAUAAAGUACUGAUAUGCUCAUAUCCUUUUGUAUCCAUUUACAUAUUUUGAUUUACAGAUGGAGAAUCAUAAUCCACCUGUAUCACUGUUCGGAUUAGCGGAGCGUUCCCUGUUUAAAGACCUGAUGACGCCCCUGUUUAUGGGAAUGCAAAUCCCACAAGUAAAAAUCUGCGAGAAUAAAAAUUGAAGGGCGCUCAAAGUUGGUAUGCCCGAAUGUCCAAUGAGAAAAGAGCAGAAUACAACCAAAAGCGGCUCACAACCCACGCAGAAAAGAAGGCGCUAUAAAUAUAGGAUCUUUACUUGGUAAACUCCACUGCCAAUUAUUACUUUCAUGUUUCGACUACUUUUUUACCUAAUUUUACAGUAUGCAAUCCGUUCCCAUUUUUUAUUUUACAUUAUGUACUAUUGUUAUGCAUUAUCGUAUAUUUUGCUUAUUGUGGAUUCAACGUGCACAACGAAUUCUUUGUGAUGUUGAAUUUAUUACAGUGAUGAAGAAUUUGGAAUUGUUGCUGGGCAUGGCUGACAAUUACUUAUAUGAGGAAAACAGAUCAGGUGCUUUAUCAUGUGUGAGUUGAGUGCUAAUUUUACUCCAUCCCCCUUCUAUGCUUAAUACUCUUUCUAAGUCCAACAAGAUUCUUAUCUAGUAUCUAUAUGUAUGUACGAUCUUUGAUUAAGAGGGGACCAAUCACUACUAGGGAAAAUCUUAUACACAGAAUCUUAGCAGCAGCGCGGUUUAAAAAGAGACGCUACUGCUAAUUAGCACUAGCGAGCUCCAUAAAACCGCGCUACUAAUAGCACGGUAGCAGUAGCAGUCUAGGUGAAACAAGCGCUACUACUAUAAUUGCCACAGUGUUGGCCCUAGGCUUAAUAUAGUAGUAGCGCCCUUCCUCAGACGCGCUACUGCUAAAGUACUUAGUAGCAGCGUUUUUCUUCAAAACACGCUACUGCUAAGUAUUGCACCUAAUUAAGUUUAGUCCCAUACUGCUAAGCGAACAAGGUGUUUACCACCUUAAAUAUGUUACUUCUCAAACUAUCUCGAGCACUUGGUCUUCAUUGAACUAUAUGUGUAGGAUUUGUGGCUGCAAUAUGAAUCUUGACCAGUGCCUAUACAGGUACUGUGAGGAUUCAUGUUGACUAUUUAGAUUCUACACAAAAAGAUCAAUGAUGACCAAUGUAUAUAUUUGAAGUUUUUACAUGCUUAGACUUAGCAGUAGCGUUUUUUCAGGGCAAAGCGCUACUGAUAUUAUAAAACAGAAAGGAAUAGCUGUAGCGCGUUUCGCUUGCCACGCUAUAGCUAACUUAGCUAUAGCGCGUUCCGGCAAAAUGCGCUGCUGCUAGUUUGACUUAACCCCCGGCCGCGCGGGCUCAAAAUUUCGCUAAGUCCUUCCCCUCCACUUCCCACUCUGCCCCAACUGCUCCAUCGCCGCCGUCGCCCUACCGCUCUCGACCUCACUGCCGCCGCCCGCCACCGCCCUCAACCUUACCACCGCCGCCACACGCCGCACACCCUCGAGGCCGCCCCCGACCCCGACCUCGACGCCACCCCCGACCCCGACAUCGACGCCGCCCUCCGCCGCGCGCCCGAGCCCUGACCCCUUCCUCGACGCCGCCUGCCCCUCCCUCGCCGCAGUCACCAUAAGGCUCUGCCUGUCCUCUCCCCUACCCUCCUCUCUCUCUGCUAGGGUAAUUCAUAUAUGUGUUGAUGCUGUGGUGAUGUUCUUUGAACCCUAGGUGUUCAUAUGAACCCUAGGUGUUCAUAUGAACCCUAGAUUUGUUUAGGCCAGUAGGCAUUUUUUAGCAUUUAGGAAAAAUGAUUAGCAAUUUUUUUAGGAAAUUAGCUAGGGCAAAUUUUUAUGAAAAUGCCUAAACAGUAAUUUCAUUAAAAAAACAAAAAAACAGAAUUGUUUUUCUUUCAAAAACUUGGUUGAACUAAUUGUUGCUAUGUAAACAAAAAACAAGAUUGUUGUUAUAUGAUAUAUGUCAUUGAUGUUCAUUUGCAUAUUCCAUUAUUGAAGUGGUUCGAUUGUGCCCAAGUGGCUUGUUGUUUCCAGGGAAUGAAGUCGAGUGGCCUAUGUUUUGCCGGAAUGUUGAUUCAUUUCUGUUCCGGCAAAUUUCAGGUUCCCGAUUUGUCCACUUUUUAGUAAAACUCAUGCCGAAAUUUUGCGUGAAUUUCGGCAUGACUUGUGCUACAAACUAGGACAUAUCGAGUGCCCGGGAUUUGCCGCACCGGGAAGGAGUCAACAUUCCUGCAAAGCAUAGGCCUUUUUAUGUCAUUAUUCAUUUUAUUAGGUAUAGAAUUAAUUGACUAGAUUUAAUCGUAAGAACUAGUUGAACAUGCCACAUUUGUUGUUAUUUUUUUAGUUAAAGCAAUUUUUCGCGCAUCGACGUCGACGAUGCCUAUCCCGCAUCCUCGUCGUCGAGUCGGCGGAGGACACCUACGUCACCAGAUGGGCCAUGUCCGGGACUGGGCUCCGACGGGGUGGUACCGGGAGGUGCUACCUACCGGGGGCGCAGGUUGGUGAGGAGCCAGCCUGUCGUUGACCCGAACCUUCUUUGGUGGCGGUCGCAUGGGCCAGUGACGGUCCAGAGGCUCGAGGACCCCGCGGAGGUGGUGCGUCACCGUGUCAGUGAGGAGGACGCGCACGUCCGUCGCUACUUGUUUGCGUUGGAGCACAAGUUCUCCAAUACCUGGCAGGUUCUCCAGGGAUCUCACUGGAGCUAUGAUCAUACGAUGGUUCCUUCUCUUUGGGUGUCCACCGCCCGCGCCGAUACCCAUUGUGCGUUAGGGUUUUAGUUGUAUUAGUGAUGCUAUAUGUAUGAUACUAUUCGGGAUGUAUUAGUGAUAAUAUUCGACGAUGUACGGACGCAUGAGAUGAUUUACUUUUGCUUAUUGAAUGCAUGCUAAUUUGAAUACUUAUUUAUUUUACGAUUUGGUUUUGCUUAUUGAAUGCUCAAGUCAAUAUGAGUCCUAUAAGAUAUUUUGUGUAUCCUGGUAGUUGUCUUCGAUCGAUUUUCAAUUAAUGUUUCAACUAUGAACAUAGGAAAUGUCUGACAACGAAAAGGAUUUUGGUAUUUGCAAAUACUGCGAAGACGAGCGCGGCCUGUGCGACGGAAUCUUCCUAGAUGAUGAUAGGCGCUUCAGCAUCAAGCUUGACGUGAACUUCGAAGUGGAUACAGUAAGUCACAACGACAAGUCUUUUUUCGUAAUUAAGCAUGACAUCUGCUUCAUUUGCUUCAACUUAUAUAAUUUUUUACUAUUCUACUAGCGUAUCCCCUGCCAUGCAAGAGUUUUUGUCUUGGAUAAGAUAGGUUUCAGUCGUACUAUGGAGGUAAAGAAAGUUUACUUGAAGACCGAGCAUGGUUAUAUUUUCCACGCAAAAUUAUACAACGCAGACGACUACACCUAUUUUGGAUGCAAAACUUGGCGAGCACUAUGCAAGACUUAUGCAUUUGAGCCUGAUAUGGUUAUCACCUUUGAUAUUCGUCCGGAAGAUGAUAUUGAAGGUAAUACCAAUAUCUGGGUCGAUGUGCAGACGCCUCCAGUUAUACCAUUAUGUGAGUUUCUCAACCAUAUUUAUGUCUUUGAUAUUGUUUAUUCAAAAAUAGUUGACAACUAAUUUCUAUUGUCAGCUUAUUUCCGUGCAAGCAAACAUGUCCAGCGCUUGGUAGACAGGACCUACUCCUGUCCCGGGGCUGAACUAAACUGCGAGGAGCUAAAUCAUUAUGUUUCAUGGCUUGAGGAUCUUGAUACUGUCAAGACAAAUUUUCUUCCUGCACUUAGAAAUGUUAGUACUGAAAACGUGCGACCAAUAGUGUUCGUAAUGAACUACGGUCACAUCUAUUUAGGAAAGAUGGUAAGAUUUUUACUAUUUGUCCUCAGUGCAUCUUUUGCAUACAUUAUUUUUUAAGCUAAACUUCAUUGCUAAGUAUGUUACUAUACGAUGUUCUUCAACAGAGACUCCCGAUGAAUGUUGUGCCUCAUGGGAUCGAGACUAAUGGUACCAUGAGUAUUGUUAGCUUACGGCUAAGAUAUCCUACAAUGCACUUUAGUGCAUUCAGGAUUUCUAAGAGCGAGGAAGUCUUAAUAGUGAAAGACUGGACCAAAUUUGUGAUGGAGGAGUGCAGAGAAGUACUAGGGGGCAGUAAUCAGAAGCGCAGCCCACGAUUAGGAGACAGGUUCAUCUGCAUACUCCAACUUGAUGAAGGAGGAGAGCUACACAUGUUUUAUGUUAUUUUACCUAAGAGAGAGCAGCAGGAGUGAUUAGCUAGCUAGAAAUGAGUUUGAAGAUGAUGAUGUGCUACACUAUGACUAUGAUGAUUAAAUAGCUAGUGUUGGUGGUAAUGACUAUGAUGAUUAUUAUUAACUAGUGUUGGUGGUGAUUAGAUAGCUACCGCAUCUAGUGUUGGUGGUGAUUAGCUAGCUAGAAUGAGUUUGAAGAUGAUGAUGUGCUACACUAUGACUAUGGUGAUUACAUAAAUACUGUUGGUGGUAAUGACUAUGAUGAUGAUUAAAUAGCUUGUGCUGGCGGAUUAGAUUCAAGUGGAGGCAACAUGUGGUGCACAUCGAAAGUACUACUAGUCCAAACUAGAUCAAGUUUGGAUUAGUAGUAUACUUUUGACAUGCACCACACAUUGCCUCCACUUGAACCUAAUCCACCUUCAUUUGACACACUGUUAUGGACAUAAUGAUAUAAACCUCAUAAUUGGCAUUGUACCAAAAUUUAUAUAACGGCGUAUAAAUACACUAAAAAUGAAAAAAAAGAAUACUAGUAGCGAUGGAUAGUAAACACGCUGCAACUAGCUAGAUUAGCAGCAGCGCGGGAUAGAACAAGCGUUGCCGCUAUGUGUCUUAGCAGUAGCGCUUGUCGCACACGCUACUGUUAAGUAAUAGCUGUAGCACCUUAAUUAUUAGUAGCGCGGCAGCCCGCGCUACUAGUGGGCAUUAAACCCGCGCUACUACUAGGGUUUUCCCUAGUAGUGAAUGUCUGAUUAAUAUCUAGAAUGAUCAAGCUCUAUAUGUUCAUGUUUGAGCUGUGCUCAGAACUUCAUAAUGAAUUGCUUACAUCUAACUAUAAUAAAUUUAUACACCCCAGUCAAAUAAAUAAAUAAAUUUAUACACAAGGGUAUGUUCCAGUGCCUGCUUUUGAUCAUAGGAAACUGAACUAGGCAGAAGGAUCUUGCUAUACUCACUGACACCAAAAUCAAAGCUAAGUUGCUCCGAGUUACUCUCACUGCCUAUUUUGAUAAAUGCAGCCCUUAUUCUGUAAAACAUUUGGUGCCAGGCCCGUAGAGUGCCAGGGUGACUGAAGAUUGAUCUGAUAUUUGAAGAAUACAGUAAUGUCUCCAACAAAUAAUUAUUGUUUGACAAAGAAAAGGUGAUAUACAAUUUUAUGCUGACAUAUAUUCUACAUAUUAUUUUAUUUUAUUUGAGGUUAGUAUUGAUAUCCACAAGAAGCAUGUGGUCAGCAGGGGGGUGAUUUGCAUGUGACAAAUGUAUGAGACAGAAAGCCAAAACCCUUGUCCAAAUCUUCCUGCUGAUGUUUGCUUGGUUAGCUCCAAGACAGCUCGAACAAGUCCAUCUCAAGCUUAUAUUGGAUGGUGCCCUCUAUCGAAAAAGGUUUGCGUUAUAGAAGAUGAUGAUAGUGCCAACGUUCCAGACAAAUCUGACAAUAUGCUGGGAGUGAGAAAAUUUAACAACUUGGCUUCACUGUAAGUCCUUGACCAACUAUAUCUAUAUUCACUCCAAGAAUUUCAAAAUUGGCUUGCAUUCAUCAGUUUAGCAAAGAACAUAACAUUUGCCUGAUUGGCCAUUUAGCCAUUAGUCUACUGUUCAGUUGAAACCAUGGAAGGUUGCCUUAGUUCACCAGACUGAACUGCUAUGUUCACUUGAUCACAUGUCAAAUUUUUAUCUUAUUACAACACCUGAGGAGAACUCAUGCAUACCCUAACCUACCACUUGCAAGGUACUCAUGCUCAAGGUUUUGGUUACCGGUCGAAAUUUCGAGAUUUCCCAUGGUUACCGCGUAUUUCCGUGCCCCUCAAUAAAUCCCCUUACCGAGCAAAAAAUACCUUUUUUUGAAAUUUUAGAAUUUAAACACUCGAUUUAUAGAAAAGUGCGUAGGAUGUAAUUAAUGCCAUGAGAGUUGGUUCUACUGUGUUGGUAGCAACCUAGUUCCUGUUUUGAGAGGUCUCUGGAUCAAAUGUUCAUUCAUCCACUUAUUUGAAUUCAAAAUUCAACUAUAGAAUUCGUUCGAAAUAUUCUCGGUAUUUCUCGAUAACCGUGGUAACCACAUUUACCAGUCCCCCUCGGUAGAAAUGCCUCAUUCGGUAACCAAAACCUUGCUCAUGCUAUCCUUCUUAUUUCACUAGAAUAUUCACUUGCAUAUUUAGCUAACCUUGCAAGGUUUUAUUGUCAUCUGACAUCUGUCAGAAAUAUGUAUGUGCAAGUAUUAUAAAGCUGGAUCUAUCUGGUAAUUUCUCAUGACAUAUUCGUAAAUGAAAAUAUAAUUCCAAGGUGUGCUGAUGUAUACGAAAGUACUGCUGCAUUAUAAGUUGUACAAGCCCUUUCUUGAUUACUUUUACUGAUCUUUUGCGGGAGCUUCCAGUGGCAGCCUUCCUACUCUCCUGAUCUCAAAGGACUCGCCGCGGCUGCCCCGGGUCUCUGUCUCCCCCAUGGUGCAGCGCUUGCAGGAUUGAGCCACUUUCUCCGAUCAUCCUCUCACAAGUAUGAGCUGCCUGCGCAUGAGCUAGGUGUGCAGACUGCGUAAGCAUCGAGCGGCGAGACAUGGACGUGAACACACUGUAAGAUGAUUCAACUUAGUGGUUGUUGUAGCUAACAUUUAAACUGAGAUCUUCAUUUUAAUACAUCAACUUGCAUUUGUUCACAUAUAAUGAGUGCACUGGUUUAGCUCGAUGAUAAUCAUGCUAACUGUGCCUUUAUGUGGUGACCUUGAGUUUGUCAUUGCAUAUGUGGCACCAAAUUUAAAUAGGUGUGGUUUCUCCUCGUGCAAUCGCAUUGAACCAACUAAAUUGAACUGGUCAUAAACAUAUUUUUUUUUCAUUUGUAAUAUUUUUAAUGCAAUCAGAAUAUCUUUCUGUGUAUGUUAAUUCUCACAUAUGCCCUCGCAAUUUUAUCUCUCUUAUAUAUGUUAAUAUUAGUCUAGACGUGCAUUUGCACGUGCAAGCUUACUAGUACUACACUAAGUAUUGUUAUAAAUAUCUGUCAUUGUAACGUGAACGGUGCAGUAGCUUGGAUAGCUUGCUAUCCAACAGUUGUUCUCAUGUUCGAGAUGCAGAGGCCGUCUGUUAUGUUUUUAUUUACAUGUACUGACAAGCGGGCCCCAUGUCCCAUGAGUCAAGAAAUGAAAUGGCAUCUGCCGCGUUGACAGGGGCUUUUUGUGAGAAAUACAUUUUUGUGGGGGGUUUCGGCAAAAAAAAGGCUACACGCGCUCCUCUACGCCUUCAAUUACCGACAACAGUCACGAUGCUACGCUGGCACGACAAGUUAGCGUCGACUUCGUAUCCAAACGCGAUUAGCACCAUAUUUGCAUGUCUGAGCCAAGUUUUUACACCAGUUCAAUGUAUGCCGCAUGUUCUAGCACCAAAGUGACUGUUCCUGGCAAGUUUAAGCACCACCACUGUAAUUGACUCAAAAAAGUACUAAUGUAAUAGCUAAUCUUAUAGCCCACACCAUUGUAUGAGUGAAUAGAAAUGAUGGUUAUAAAUGACAUGGUAGUUUCAUAUAGCCAGCAGCUAGCUAUACUAUUAACCAUGCUCUAAAAAAACAAAUCUAUGACAUCAGCAGGUGACAUGGCUUCACCAGAAUGCAGGAAAAUCAUGCAGUGGGGUGGGGUGCUCCUAUUUAGGAUAUCCAAGAUUUGUUACCUCGCCGCCAAUGAGCUUGCGUGUGGAUCCUCACCUCUCCGUUCCCUUUCACCUCCCCCGACUCUCAUUCUAACCCAUCCCAUGUUGCUUCUGAUAUCGACCUCAUGUAGCGCCGCGGUACGAUUCGAUCACCUCUUCACCCAGGUAAUUGUCCUCCUCCACCUGUCCUUUCAUCCCCUCUCUCUCAUGCUAUUUCAUAUUUCUUGAACCCUAGCCCUAACCUGAGUAUUUGACUCCAAUAGCACAUCAAGCAACACACCCCUCUCAAUUCUCAAGGACAUUGGAUGCGGAGCAGGCGACUAUGCCUUGACUCUCAACAGGGCCCUACACCUUGUCCUUAACCUACAACCCUGAACUUAGAGGACAACAGCUUGCAAGGAUACGCCUGAUCAUAGCUUUGGUACAGAUGGAAUAAACUUCUCAACUAGUGGUUUGUGAUGAUAUGGUCAACCUACGACUUAUUGAUGGUCGUAAGAUCUAGUUCAUUAGGCUGUUCAAAUCGCCUAGGUUGGGUAUUCACAGAAACACAAAUAUUUGCCCUCCAUCGACUUUGGUAAUUGCUAAUGUUCACUACUACUUCUGUGUAUAAAACCUUUUUGAAUACUCUAUCGCUCAAUGCAGUUUUUAGUGUUCUGUUUAACUGACACUACUAGAAUCAGGAUCUUUGCCGUCGGCCCGUUCUUUGUUGUCUGCUAGCUGACGGCAAAGGAGGUCUUUGCCAUCAGCCCAGAGAAGGCUGACGACAAAGAACUAGCGGACGACAAAGAGCUUGUUUGCCAUCAGUAAUCUCUUUGCCGCCUGCUAGCGGACGACAUAGAAGUUUUGCCAUCUGCUAGCGGACGGCUAAGAGGGAGGGUGGCCCACUAGUUGUCAACCCGUAACGGGCCCCUCUUGGCCGUCCGCUAGCAGACGACAAAGGUGGGGCUGACGGCAAAGCUUGAAAAUUGACUUAACAGUCGCGCCCCGCCAUCGCCCUCUCUCUCUCUGUCUCUCUCCUCUUUCUUCCCCCUCGUGCCACCCCGCGACGUCGUCGCCGCACGCCGUCGCCGCCGCACCCUCCCCGCGUCAUUGCCGCCCCGUCGCUGGCCCCUUCCCGCCCCGUGGCCGCCCCCUCCCUGCCUCCCCACCCUANNNNNNNNNNNNNNNNNNNNNNNNNNNNNNNNNNNNNNNNNNNNNNNNNNNNNNNNNNNNNNNNNNNNNNNNNNNNNNNNNNNNNNNNNNNNNNNNNNNNNNNNNNNNNNNNNNNNNNNNNNNNNNNNNNNNNNNNNNNNNNNNNNNNNNNNNNNNNNNNNNNNNNNNNNNNNNNNNNNNNNNNNNNNNNNNNNNNNNNNNNNNNNNNNNNNNNNNNNNNNNNNNNNNNNNNNNNNNNNNNNNNNNNNNNNNNNNNNNNNNNNNNNNNNNNNNNNNNNNNNNNNNNNNNNNNNNNNNNNNNNNNNNNNNNNNNNNNNNNNNNNNNNNNNNNNNNNNNNNNNNNNNNNNNNNNNNNNNNNNNNNNNNNNNNNNNNNNNNNNNNNNNNNNNNNNNNNNNNNNNNNNNNNNNNNNNNNNNNNNNNNNNNNNNNNNNNNNNNNNNNNNNNNNNNNNNNNNNNNNNNNNNNNNNNNNNNNNNNNNNNNNNNNNNNNNNNNNNNNNNNNNNNNNNNNNNNNNNNNNNNNNNNNNNNNNNNNNNNNNNNNNNNNNNNNNNNNNNNNNNNNNNNNNNNNNNNNNNNNNNNNNNNNNNNNNNNNNNNNNNNNNNNNNNNNNNNNNNNNNNNNNNNNNNNNNNNNNNNNNNNNNNNNNNNNNNNNNNNNGAGGAGGAGGAGAAAAAGAGGAGAAGAUGAGAAUAAAAGAGGAAAAAGUAAAAGAAGGAAGAAGAAAAAUAAGAAGAAAAAGAAGAAGAGGAGGAGGAGUUAUGUUCUUUUCUCUGUUUUAGAUAAUAGAUAUAUUAUCUAUAUAGUUAGCUAGAUUAAAUUAUAUUAGAUUAGACUAGUUUUAGGUUUUAGUUGAAUAGUCAUAAUUAAAGGAAGUGAAAAAAGAUGAAAAAAGAAGAAGAAAAGUAGAAUAAGUAGAAGGGGGAAGAAGAAGAAGAAGAAAAAGAGGAAGAAGAAGAAGAAGAAGAAGAAGAAGAAGAAGAAGAGGAGGAGGAGGAGGAGGAGGAGGUUUUAGUUAGGUUAGUUUGAUUUUCUAGGUUAGUUAGGUUAGUUAUCUCUAGACUAGGUUAGUUAUGUUAGUUUCUAGGUUAGUUAGGUUAAUUAGUUUGAGGGGUUUUGGUGAUGUCAUUUUGUUCUCCAAGAGAUGAUACUUGGCAAGAUAACCAAAUAUGGCAUUUUUUACAUGCUAGAAUUUUCUUGGAAUUUAUAGAGAAUAUUUCAUUUGUAAAUAUUCCAAAAGCUUGAAAUAUCAGAAAACGGUUUUCACCCACCAAAUAUUUUAUUAUGUUUAUGUUGUACUAAUUCCGUUUACUCUUUGUCAUUGCAGGUGUUGAUAGAUGGUGGGCGCGGGUCGAGACCGCUCCGAGGCUCCUUCCUCGGCGCGUGCUGGGAGGGGUGUUAUUAUUCCACCCCAGCACCUUCGGAGAGCGCUGGAUGAUAGUAUGCAGACACCGGCGGGCGCUUCUUCUUCGGCCGGGAGAGGUCGGGGGAAGCCGAAGAGGGCUGCUAGAGGUGGACAUGGCGGCGGGAGAGGUAGGAAGGCUGCUGCGCCUUCCUUGCCGCCACCCCCAGCUGAUUCUCCGGACCACCGUAGUGCUCCGUCUCAGGAGGACUGGUCUCGGACUCCGGUCCACGAGCAUCAGGUCGAUGAGCUUUCGUCCCAGGAGACUCCGGUCCCAGAGCCUUCGUCCCAGGAGACUCGGGCCCUAGAGUCUUCGUCCCACAAGACUCCGGUCCCAUAGUCUUCGCCCCAUGUAUCUCCGGACACUAGUGGCCAUGCUGAUGACGAGGAGACCUGGUCUGAGGAUAGUUUUAGCGAGGAUGAGCUGGUUGAGCAGGGCAAGAGGGUCUACCAGCGUGGUGGUACGAAGCUCCCGACCGUGCCGGCGACCCGCGAUCAGAGGUGGUUGAUUCAGCCUAACAGGGAGAAGUAAGUGCAUUUACUCUUUUUUAACCUUUGUCCUUAAUGUUUCUUGAAAUUAAUAUCUAAUGUGUUGGCCUUGUCAUACUGCAGUGGUUGGAUACACCCCAAUGGUGUCCGCAUGCCCAACCAGGUCCUUGGUGUGAUUUGCCGACAGCACUUCCCGGGGUGGGUCACGUUGCCCGGUGAGGGUUAGGCUCCACAGUUAGCAAUGAGAUGGGAGCUGUACGGGGCUGCCCCGGCCCAGCCAGAAGAGAGGGUCGACGGUGUCGUGUGCGAGACGGUGGCCGACAUUGUGAGGCGGCGGUUUUGGGUAAUUUCUCCUUUACAGAAUUAAAAAUCAACAUUACCUAGUGAUUGUACUAAUCAGUGUUGUCUUGUUCGAUUGCAGACCUUCUACAGGGUUGCUGAGGAACACGAGGCGGAGGCGGCUAGGGUUCUUGAAGCCGAGUGCAAGCGCCUACUUUAGAACUUAUGGCACGAGGCUAGGGUGCAGGCUGUUCAAGACUACUACCCCUCGACUAACAUUAGGAGGGCCAAGAAGAAGUGUCGUCGCAAGUAUCUGAGUAAGGAGAAGUACAUGAGGGUAAUUACCUAUUCUUAAGGCCUUGUACUUACUUUCCUUGAUUUCAUUCGUAGGCGUAGCGCUGAAAUUUCUCUUAGCCAAACUUAGAUGCCCCUGAGAUGAUGUGCAGAUAUGAUGGACUGUUGGGAGGCGUUGGUGGAUGAGUGGUGCUCUCCCCAAUGGCUAGCCAAACACAACAAGGCCAGGGAUAAGCGUUCCCAAAUGCGAGGUGUGCCACACCAUCAAGGGAGCUCCAACCUGUUUGAGUACGGGGAUCACUGGGUAUGUGGUUUCAACCCUUAACGAUUCAUGCAAUUUCAUUCUUCAUGCUAGCUUCAGCCCUUAACUAAUAUGUUGUUCCUCUCUUUUAGGCAAAACACAACAAGAAGGAAGUGCCACCGCUGUAAAACCUCUAUGCCAUGGCCCAUAUGGCCCCGUUCAAGAAGGCCAAGGCAUUCUUUGAGGAUGACCUCGAUCAUCCAGAGAGCUUCACCAACAUCUCCUCCCACAAACAAGCUCGUGAGGUACAGAGACUUUGGGAAGGCGACGAAAGGGGAUGACUUCAACCCGAGCCAAAGUCCUUUUGAUACAGAGCUCGUGAUUCUAUCUGGUGAGGGGAGGAAACAUGGCUCGGUAGCCAUUGGGGAUGGACUGAUACGUUGUCCUAGAAGUCUCCCGGAGAUCAAGAAGCGCCACGCGAGGUCUCUUCCUGAGAUACCGCCUCGACCACGGCUAGUGGACCUCGCCAUGGAGGUUAGGGCCCAGGAGCUUCUGGCGGAGGCAACCAGGCAGGCCAAGGAGAGGGACAUCGAGCUGGAGCAGAAGACGGCUAGGAUGCUAGAGGAGGAGAGGAACCGGAAUGACGCGUCUCACCGGGCCCUAUAUGAGCUCCUCGUGGUAAGUUUCUCCUGCUUAUUAGACAAAUCAUGCAUGCAAUGUUCGUUUCAUUACUAGCUAAUAUGACUGACUCGUGAAAACAAAAUGUCGUGUCCGAGAAAAACGGUCAGACCCCUCCGCCGAUGCCUCAGAUUGCUAGAGCGGACACAGUGAGUUUCAUUUGAAUGGUCAUUAGUUACUAGUAUUCACAUUUCAGUUGCAUCAUGCUAACGAGACAUUGCAAAUGAUCUUUGGUGUAGCAUGCCUCCCGACAAGCAUCGACCAAUCCUUCUCCGUCUCCCACUAGCGCAACCCCGACCCUGGCCGGUCCUUCUCCGUCUGGCACUGGCGUAGACCCGACCGGUCCUUCACCUCCGUGAUGACGGUAAGUUUUCUCUAGUGUUUUGCCUACAAAUGCAUAAAGACCUAGACUUAGCUUUAUUUCCUCCAAAAUGGUUACCAUAAUGACCUAGACUUAGCUAAUCUUCCUACAAAAUGACAUAAUUAGCUUACUUAGCUCCAAAAUGAUCUAUACUUAACUAAAUUAGCUCUAAUAUGCUUAGUUACCUAGGUUAGCUCAAUAAAGACAUAUACUUAGCUUACUUAUGUCAAAAAAGGCAUAAUAUGCUUAGUUAACUCAAAAAUGGCAUAAUUACUUAUGUUAGCACAAAAAUGACCUAUACUUACCUUAAUUUCCUCCAAAUUGACACAAGAAGAUUAGUUAGCUAAAAAUGGCAUAAUUGCCUAUGUAAGCUUUAAAAUGACACAAAUAAGGAAUAAGAAGAAGAAAAACAAUGAAGAGGAGAAAAAGAAAGAAUAGAAGAAGAAAGAGAAGAAAAAGAAAGAAUAAAAGAAGAAGAAUGAGAAGGAAAAGGGUAAAAACCUUCUUCUUCUUCUAGUCUUCUUGUUCUUCUUGUUCUUCUUGUUCUUCUAGUCUUCUUCUUCUUCUCCAAAAUGACCUAAGUUAGCUCUAAGUUAGCUCUAAUAUGCUUAGUUCCCUAGGUUAGCUCAAUAAUAACCUAUAAUUAGCUGCUUUAUAUCAAAAAUGGCAUAAUAUGCUUAGUUCACUCAAAAAAGGCAUAAUUAGCCAUUUUACCUAAGUAUGCUUACUUCUUCUUCUUCUUCUUCAUUUUCUUCUUCUUCUUCUUCUUCUUCUUCUAGUUUUCUUCUUCUAACUUUCUUGUUUCCCAUUUUGCAGAUUUCAUUUACUUCACGGAAGCUUGCAUGGAUAGAGUGUUCCCUUUCUGCUUUUCUUUUGUAUCGAUGACCAAUGUGGAACUUGUUAGAUGGAUGGAUAGGUGUUGGAUGAACAAUGUGAUGAAACUAUGUGUUGGUGAUGUAUGGAUGGAACCAUGUGUUGGUUAUGUAUGUGGGAUGAAACUUGUGUGUUGGAUAUAUCAUAUGUCUACUGUGAAAUUUGUGUGUUGAAAUUGAAUGAAUAUAAGAAGAAACAAAAAAAAACAGGGGUUGUACAGGCUCUUUGCCGUCUGCCAGCAGACGGCAAAAAGCUUUGCCCUCUACCAACAGACGGCAAAGCUGCCACGUGGCAGCUACCUGUGCAACCUGGGGUACUGGCUGGCCUAUUUGGUUACUUUGCCGUCUGCUGGCAGACAGCAAACAGCGUUGCACCUUUGCCGUCCGCCAGCAGAAGGCAUAGCUUGACACGUGGCAGCACCUGGGGGCUGCCUAUUUCGCUACGUUGCCGUCAGCUGGCAGACAACAAAGGUGCAAUGGUCUUGGUGGACGGCAAAGCACGCCGUUAACCCCCUAACGGACCUAACCUGGCACUUGUGCCGUCCAGGCUCUUUGCCAUCUGCUGGCGGACGGCAAAGAGCCUUUCAUCUUUGCCGUCCGCCAGAAGACAGCAAAGAACCCUUCGUCGUAGCCUAUUCACCCAGACCUGUUGCUGUUUGUUGGUGGACGGCAAAAACCUUUGCCGUCAGUCAGGCAUGCCUUUGUCGUCAGCCAUGGCAGACGGCAAAGUGCCUGAUUCCUAUAUUGUGAUUGUGUGAAAGUUAAAGAUACCCAGAAACGUGAUAUUUGUUAGCGCCUCUGAAAUGUCACCGAAAAGCUGGUUCUGGGACAUGUGAGUGAUUUUGUUGAGUCAUCCUACCAAAUUCCUGUGGAAUAUCACUAGUGAAGGCAUUGCCUGACAUGGCAUUGUCAGAUCAGACAAUUGAUUGUUGCAUGCAUACUUUGACAACCAACACUUGCAAAAUUUAUUUCAUAGAACUUGUUUGAAUGCUAGAAACCUAAUUGCAUCACAUGAAACCGGCUGAACUCCAAAUAUAAAUCUAUGCCCCACUCAUUGGCUGGUUCCAAUCAGGGUUUUGGUUACCGCUCGAAAUUUCGGGUUACGCAGUUACCGAGCUUUUCGGCCCCCAUGGGUAAAUGGGCAUUUCGAGCAAAAAAAUCAAUUUUAAUUGAAUUUUUUGAAUUUAAACGACCAAUGCGUAGUCGACUAGUGGAGAAACCGACUAUGAACACGUACACUUGGAAAAUAACCGAAACACUUCGGAACCAUUCCGGUGUCCGAAUAUAACCUUCCAAUAUAUUGAUCUUUACCUCUCGACCAUUUUGAGACUCCUCGUCAUGUCUGUGAUCUCAUCCGGGACUCCGAACAAACUUCGGUCAUCAAAUCACAUAACUCAUAAUACAAAUCGUCAUCGAACGUUAAGCAUGCAGACCCUACGGGUUCGAGAACUAUGUAGACAUGACCGAGACACAUCUCCGGUCAAUAACCAAUAGAGGAACAUGGAUGCUCAUAUUGGUUCCUACAUAUUCUACGAAGAUCUUUAUCGGUCAAACCGCAUAACAACAUACGUUAUUCCCUUUGUCAUCGGUAUGUUACUUACCCGAGAUUCGAUCGUCGGUAUCCUCAUACCUAGUUCAAUCUCGUUACAGGCAAGUCUCUUUACUCGUUCUGUAAUGCAUCAUCCCGUGACUAACUCAUUAGUCACAUUGCUUGCAAGGCUUAUAGUGAUGUGCAUUACCGAGAGGGCCUAGAGAUACCUCUCCGGUACACGGAGUGACAAAUCCUAAUCUCGAUCUAUGCCAACUCAACAAACACCAUCGGAGACACCUGUAGAGCAUCUUUAUAAUCACCCAGUUACGUUGUGACGUUUGAUAGCACACAAGGUGUUCCUCCGGUAUUCGGGAGUUGCAUAAUCUCAUAGUCAGAGGAACAUGUAUAAGUCAUGAUGAAAGCAAUAGCAAAAAAACUAAACGAUCAUUAAUGCUAAGCUAAAGGAUGGGUCUUGUCUAUCACAUCAUUCUCUAAUGAUGUGAUCAUGUUCAUCAAAUGACAACACAUCUCUGUGGUUAGGAAACUUAACCAUCUUUGAUUAACGAGCUAGUCAAGUAGAGGCAUACUAGGGACACUCUGUUUGUCUAUGUAUUCACACAUGUACUAAGUUUCCGGUUAAUACAAUUCUAGAAUGAAUAAUAAACAUUUAUCAUGAUAUAAGGAAAUAUAAAUAACAAUUUUAUUAUUGCCUCUAGGGCAUAUUUCCUUCAUCUAGAGGCGGCGCUCGAUGGAGCCGGGGAUAACAAAUCUGGGUGCAAUAUUAUCGUAGACGUGGCUGGGAUUGACAUAGCCGUGGCCUUGAUCCACGGAUCUGUCAUGUGCCUGACGGGAUUUGGGGCAUGGCCAUGAAGUGGAGAGGUAGUGGUGGAGAUGUGGUGUUGUGGUGGUGAGGACGUGGAGGCUAGAGGGUCGGGAUGGGUCGCGGGGUGGAAGGCCGGGGUACUAGCAACGGGCGGCGAAGGAGCAGUGGGAGGCCCACGCAGGUAAGCGGACCAGAGGGGAAGAGGUUGCGGUGGUUGGUGGGGUUCGCAUGGGGUGGCGGCGGGAAAUUAGCCGGUGAGGAAGAAGGUGGGGUGUGGGGCGGAUGUUGUUUUUCUGGCUGGUUUGGUGGUUCGUUUUUUCAGAGGAAUGCCUUUGGUGCACUUUAUUAAAAUCAAAUGACAGUUACAUCAAGAACAAUGUCUGGGUUAAUAAAACUGGAGGUUCGGUUAGCGUAGGGUGGAGGGCUUGGUUAGGGCAUCUCCAAAGCUGGCCCACAAAUGUCUCUGGUAUAUGUCCUUUUUUUGUCUAGGCGUGAUUCGUGGACAUGAUGCGGGACGGAGCCAUCCAAUGCUAAUCACAAAGUAUCCGGUUGAGAGGAAAAAAGUAGGUGGGGACCAUGCAUGUGGUGGAAUGUUUGUGGUUUAGUGUCCGGUUGGGACGAGAGAAAGAGAAGAGAGGGGCCAUGCAUGUGCGGUUGAGAGAAGAGAGAGAAGAGGGGGGACCAUGCAUGUGAUUGAUCAAGUGUACUGCCUCCGUCUCGGUGAAUAAGUCAUUCGCGUAGUUCUAGGUCGACGAUUUAACUAUCUAAAUAUGUAUUAUAUGUGACAAAAUAUAUAUAUUUAGAAACUACAUCCGUGUAGAAAUCUAGUGAUAUACUUUUCAUGGCAUAUAACACAUAUUUAAUUCCUCAAAUCGAUGACCUAGAACUACGCGAAUGACUUAUUCACCUAGACGGAGGUAGUACUUUUUUUUAGAAAAGGAGGAUGACCUCCGGCCUCAGCAUCUGGACGAUGCAUGCAACCAUUUUAUUAAUUAUUCACAAAGACCUUACAAAGUAAUACAUCAGUAAGUAUGAAGCCACCAUCUUGGCAACAUCUGCCACUACUCCUAUCUAGCUGAUGAAGGGGUGCCGAAAGUCCGAGCCAAGUACCAAACAGACCUCGCACCAAAGCCUAACAUCUAAAGCCGGAGGCCCCAACCAAGCCUCAUACCGGGUCUGGGGCACAAACCGGUCCGACGAAGUCUCAGAAGUCACCGCCGCCAUCUUCCACUGAUCCAUCUUCAGAGCAGGCACUCAUGCAUCGACCUUGCUAGGCCUGCCGUCGACGCCCCCACGACGCUAGAUAGCGCCCCCCGCCCUACGCGAGUCCAUCAACUCACAUCUGUCAGCGAGACCCUGCUGCACCAUGCCGUCGAGACUCACCGUCGUCGACGCAAUAGAUGUACACCGCUCCACUCCUUGCGUCCUCCAUCCAGCAACUGCUCCAAAACAAUGCCCUCAUGAUGUAGAGCGACACAAAGAGCGCCGCCAUCAUCCGAUCCAGAAUACCCGGAUUUGGGGUUUCCCCUGGAACAGCGCGAGUGGGAAGAAGGUGUAUGCAAUGGCGAUGCCUUCAACAAGGUAGCGACGCUUAGAUGGCGUCAUCGCCUGCCAUGACCGUAGUCGGAGCACGGUUUUCACGGGCAGCCACGCCUCCCCAACUCGCCGCCGGUACUUGAUGUGGGAUCCAGAGAUCCGCCACAGCCAGUUGGCCGACCAACUCUGGUGGAGGAGUAGGCCGCCACCGCCAUGCCCGGGCAACUGCCCGAGGCUUCCCCAUGCUGCGUGACUAGCCCAGGAGCACCUCCACGUACCGCCAUCGGAGCCGUCGAGAUGUAGUAGGGACAACCACGUGUAGGAUGCGGCCCGCCCAGACCCAUCUAUGCCUAGAUCAGGCCUGCCUGCACCACGCCACCGCCACCCACUGUCGUCUACGCCGCUCACAGCCACAAGCACGCCAAGCCGCGCUUGUCACCGCCACCCUGAAACACUGCUGCCGAAGAGGCCGGGACAUUGUAUGUCCAGACUCUGGCAAAGCCCCUAAUGUUGUCUCUUGGAUACAAGAAUCCGUACGUCCAGACUGCUAAGCGGACAUAUACAGGUCUCCGUUGGAUGACAAAAGUGGUCCGGACAUUGUGGUCUGGACAUGGGUCCGCUUUGGAGAUUUCCUAAGGGUCUCAAGUGUAUGUCCAGACUCCGGCAAAGCCCCCGACGUUUGUCUAUUGGAUACCGGAAUCCGUAUGCCCGGACUACUAAGCGGACAUAUACGGGUCUCAUUGAAUUUGUGUAGCUUACAGAGCGACGUCUUGUGUUCGAAUCCCAUCUCUGACAUUUGUUCUUUUUGCCUAAUUCUUUUGAUAUAAACGGAAUUAAGAAGAAUACUGGACGUCGGGGUGCUAAUUCGAGACCAACAAGGUAACCAGGACGUAAGGCUACGAGUAAAAACCAUUGCGCUAUGAGCAGAUUGUUGUGAAAUAUUAGUGCCUUAACUACUUGACUUAGUCUAAAUAUUUGUAUUCGAUUUACAUUUGAAAAUUUCGAACGGUAUUUCGUGAUAACCAUGGUAACUGCGUUUUCGGCCCUCCUCAGUAAUUUUUUGGUAUUCGGUACCCAAAACCUUGGUUCCAAUGCUUCCUGAUUUUAUAAAAUGAAUUCAAUUUGGGUAUACUGUUCUGUCUAGUCAUAGGUAGUGAUGGAAAGUGCAACACCAAGUAGUCUCUACGCUGGUCUUGUUCAGUAUAGAAUGUGCAUAUAGUUAUGUGCACAUCACGAAGUAAACAUUUGACUUUGUUAUUUUUUCAUGAGAAAGCAAGUAUCUGACUUCUAACUGUUGCAUGGUUCAUAUAUUCUGGAAAAUGGAUGCCACAUCAUAAUCCACAUAUAUAGGCAACUGGACGCAGGUUUCUUCCUGGAAGUCUUUUUUCUACUUGCAAGUUGCAAUUUAAUUUCAGCGCUACUGUAAUAGGGACUUAACUGUGAGUUGCUUACUCUCUGUGACAUGCAUUUUCUGCCUUCUAUUUACUAGAUAUAUCAUGUACCAAGUCUCUAGACUGCCGCCGUUCCACAGUUAAUGAUAUGCAUUCAUUCUCAUUUUGGUUGAUUUGUUCAAACUGAGAAAAACAUAAAAUACAUAAAUGCAUAAUACCUUCAGAAAGAUUUGGGAGAUAAGGUAACUGAUACAUUACAUUGCCCACAAGAAUAGAAGAAUUUGUUUUUAUCAGUAACCCUUAAAUAUUAAAAGGUAUGAGCUAAAAUCUGCUGAUUUUCUCCCUUGUUGUGAAUGAGGACAGUCUUAUCGGAGUAGCACUAUCUAUAUUUUUCCCACUAGGUAAGCAGCACUCUUACUUCAAAUUUCCCAAGAUAUGUAAUCUAAAGUGGGGUUUCAGGGAGAGCUUUUAGAACUAAGCGCAACAGUCUGGCUUGGAAUUUCCUUAGAAAAUUACUACUUCCUUGUAAUAAUUAUCUAUAAGUUGCAGCAAAGUUGGCUUUCUUUUGAUAAGUAUGUUAUAAAUAGCCAUCUCUUUAUAUACAGACAUUAUAGCUCGUAGUACAUUGUUCAACUUCAUUUGUUGUAGUCGUGCUUUUUAUAGCAAAGUAGUAGUGAUCAAUAUUACGAUGCUUUUACAGGAUGGAACUAAAAUAUUGGUCCGGUGUUUGUUGUUGCACACUUCACGUUUAUUAACUACAUUAGCCAGUUUUCUUACACACCUCAUCACAUUUGUAGGACAAUAAGCAAGCCACAAAUUCAUGCCUCUUCAAGCCUUAGCAAAUGUAAUGAAAAGAAAUUAGUCUUGAUGCAAAAUUUUUUUUUUUAUGGUCUUAAAGGUUAUGAUGGCAAGUUGUAUUCUUUUCUUGUCCAGAACUUGCCUAAUUCAAGCUUUGAACCUUGAUUUUUUUUGGUUAUGAGUCAAUUAUAUUGCCUUUGUGCCUUCUAGAUCUGAACCAUGUUUGUCUGAUUGAAUUAUGAUGCAUUUGUGCCUUCUAGACCCUAGACAUGACCCAUCCUUGCCUGGGUUAAUUAUGAUAUUAAUCAGGAAAAAGUGCAUUAUUAUUUUUGGGUUUAUUAGCUGCCUUAGAUUGUAAAUGUGUUGAAUGUAUAGAUGGAGUUCUGGACGUUUAUUAUUUCUGAUUAUAAUUCAGAGCAGCCAAACAGCACAUGACAUUUAUUUCAUUUCAUUUCAUAAACCCAUGUCAGCCAAACAAGAAAAUUGGGUAUGGAAUCCAAAUCCCACCAAAUGAAAUCCUCUCAGGAUUACGUUUUCAUGUCAUUUCCACAAAACGAAAUGAAAAGGUAGGUGCCAAACGAGCUGGUAUAGAAUAGUGAAAUGUAGAUAUAGCCACUGUACUACUAUUUGGAGUGUCCUCUCAACUCAUAACAUGCUCAUCUAGACAACCACAAAGAAAG